UCCUGCCAUUCCUACCAUCGUCGCGCUCUUCAAGUCAAAAACCAAAGCCCCUGUCAAGAAGGUUUUCAUUUUUUAUUAUUAUAAAUAUUUCUCAUAGUGCUUUGUUUUUGUUUGUAACCAAGACAUAACUUAUCUACAUUUGUUUGAUUUGGUUUCGUUUUUUGUUUUUACUAAAUUGAGCAGGCACCAGCGCCGAAGCCGAAGGUUGAAGAUGGUAUCUUUGGAACCUCUGGAGGCAUUGGUUUCACAAAGCAGAAUGAGCUCUUUGUGGGUCGGGUUGCCAUGAUUGGCUUUGCUGUGAGACAAUCUUCUUCUUCUUGCUGUCUUUGUUCUGUUUCUAGUCUUCUUUGUCAUUUAUAAAUAAUUUUCUAUUUUUUCAUAAUUUUAUUGCUAAUAUAAAGUUGAGACAACUUCUGCACAAUUUUUUUUGAAGGCCGGUUUAGGUUCAAAAUCUCCGACUCACUGGUUUGAGAUGUCUUGUUCAAUCUUUAAUUUUAAAUGAGUUAAAAUUUCAAAAUUGGGUGAGCUGUGGGCUCUAAAAAUACCUAAAUGUUGUUUUUGGAAUGUGGAUUGUGGGCUGUACUUAAAUAAAUUUACUUUCAAAAAUUGCAUAUUUCUGCUCAGAAUUUAUCACAUACACAUAAAACACUAAUUACAUUAUUAUGAAAAAAAAGAGUAGUACAUAUAUACACGGGAGUCGGGACAACCUAAAAUUCAUUGAAUGAAAAAAGAAAAAAAAAAUAAAUUGUUCAACGUUCUUUGAGUGAAACAUAUUCACAACAAUUUGCCUGGCAGGGGCAUAAUUGGCAUGAAUGGCCGAAAGCUUAAGAUAAGGUCCAAAAAAAAACUAAAAGUGAUUUCACAUCAUACAUAAGCUUUUUAAAUAACAUACACAUACAAAAUAAUGGGCUAGUCAUGUGUGAUAAGAAUUAGAAGAAGCUUGAAAUGUUACCUUCUUUUUUUCAUCUUUUGUUAUGAGCCUUUAUUUGCAAACAUUGCAGGCAUCAUUGUUGGGAGAAGCAAUUACAGGGAAAGGAAUUCUUGCACAACUGAAUCUGGAAACUGGAGUUCCGAUCUAUGAAGCCGAACCUCUCCUUCUCUUCUUCAUCCUUUUUACCCUGCUUGGAGCCAUUGGAGCCCUAGGUGACCGUGGUAGCUUCGUUGAUGACCCGCCCGCUGGAAUUGAAAGGGCAGUCAUCCCUCCAGGCAAAGGAUUUAGAUCAGCCUUAGGUCUCAAGGAAGGAGGUAACCACUUUGCAACUCUACAUUAAUGUUCAAACUAGAGUAAUGGCCUUUGUGACGUGUUAUAUAUGUUGUCAAAAUGUCAAGUUCGAACACAAGUUCAUACAAAACUCUAAUCAAUGACUCAUAUUGACAUUUUGUCAACAUAACAUUUUUGACAAGAGAACAUCUUACUAAUGAAUUUUUGUUGUCUUAUAUAUAUAGGUCCUCUAUUUGGAUUCACAAAGGCAAAUGAGCUAUUUGUAGGAAGAUUGGCACAAUUGGGAUUUGCAUUCUCUCUAAUAGGAGAAAUCAUCACAGGGAAGGGAGCUCUAGCACAGUUAAACAUUGAGACUGGGGUCCCCAUUAAUGAAAUUGAACCGCUUGUGUUGCUCAAUGUUGUCUUCUUCUUCAUUGCUGCUUUGAAUCCUGGGACUGGUAAAUUUGUCACAGAUGAGGGUGAGGAAGAAUAGAGGCUUGUGAAGCUCACAAAAAACAACUUAUUUCAAUCAUGUAUGAGAUAAUACUCUCUCUUCCUUCUCUAAUUUUCAUGUCAUGAAUUUUUUUUAUUUAGUUUAUAGCUUUUCACAAAUAGAUAUAUUCUAACAUGACAUUUUAUGAUAUAAAAAACACUUCAAGUCCAACAUACUAAGAAUUAAUUAGAAAAUGACAACCGCUAGUCGAUGAUUUAUUCACCAAAUAGUCGAGCUAAGAGUUUUUAUAUAAAAUGUCAUGUUAAAAAGAGCCUAUUUGUGAAACGCAUUUUUUCUCCGUCAUAUGGAACUUACAAUGGCUACCAAAAGAAAAGAAAAUGAAAAAAGAACACCAAAAAAAAAAAAAAAAAAAAAGAAGAAGAGAAAUUUGAAGCAAACUCAAUCGUAUGUACCCAAAAAAAAAAAAAAAGUGACAGUGGUAACGGCCUAAAUUUGGAAGUGUGAAAAGAAAUGCAUUCUUUAACAUCAUUUGUUAAAGAUAAAAUAAUUAAUAUUGUAAAAAAUAAAUAAAAAAUUCCACAUUAAUUUAUCUUAAAUAAAAACUCCCAUAUGAUGCAUUAAAAACGACAAUCACAAAAGAAAUAUUUGGCCAAAUAUACCUAACAAUCUUAACUAUUUAAUUCUCAUUCAAACUCCCUUUAUCCUGGACUAGCUUUUCUCACUCAAACUCCAACACUCUUAAAUAUUUAAUUCUCACCAAUAUCUCAAUAAUUCAUAAAUAAUCUCUGAUAAUAUUAAAAAAAUUAAUUAAUUAAAGAUAAAAAGAUAUAUAUUUUCUCUCAACAUACCGUUAAGGACAGGCAACUAACUUAACUUCCCGGCGAUUUUGCGAUUGCCUGCAUAUACACGGAUGUUCGUUGCAAUUGUUCACAUCAUAUAGUUGUGUAUAUUUUAGAUAUAGUAAACCCUCAUAAAAUUAGUAUUCUUUCUUUCUUUAUUUUCAUUUUUAUUAUUUUGAUUCAGAUAUGUCACGUUCUUUGAGUGACUGUACACCCACAAACACAUAUUAAUAAGAAUUUUGCAUAUUCAUCUACCCUUGAUCAUCAUUGCCUUUUGUUAAUUUGAGCCAUAUUUUUAUUUUUAUUUAUUAAGUUGAAGUUUCUUUUCACUUCUCAUUUAUGUGGACACAUAAUCUCUGUUGUUAUAAAGUUAUGCCUUGGCCUUAGUCUAGUGUCACACAGUUUCUCUUUAUGAUGCGUGAGCAAGAAAAAAAAAAUCAUAUACCAACACAAAAUAAAUUAAAAAAAUCGUGAUUAAGAUAAAAAGUGCAUGUGAAGAGGUUAGUAAUCUUUAAUUGUUUAUGACUUUUCUUUUGUCGUCCAUUUGAUAAAUUGGAUUAUGUAAUUGAAUAGGAUAACCUACUAAGUCAUGUAAUAACACAUUUCAAUUAAUUCGACCCCGUAAUCAUGUGUAGCACCAAAUGUAUCAUUGGAUUAGUGUUAUCGUUUUCAAUUCAAUUCAAUACAAUCUAAUGCAAUCUAAUUCUACCUCAUAAUUCAAUCCAAUAUCGGUCACCAAACAUGGUCUACAAGAAAAUGAGGUCAUUACUCUAGCUAAUUUUAGUUUAUUUAUAUGUUUAUAUUUACACUGAAAUGAUAACUCAUAACUUGAUCUACUCUUUGAUUCUUUUCUCUUUAUUGAGGUAGUCCAAUGGCAAUGAAUUUUGGGAUUAAAAAAAAGUUGGAAAAAGGCAACUUCAUUAUCAAAGCAUUUGGUUAUCAUAGUCAUCGAGCCUUUACAAAAAGGGAUGACAGCCAAACAAACACAAAAAUUCCACAUCCAAGACUUAAAAUAAGGACAAGCAUAACGUAAAUUACACAAAUCUAUUUGACAUUUCAAUUUAAUUAAUGUCGUUUCUCAUGAUCUUCUGGCAAAAAUCCACUGUUCAUAUUCUUUUGUGACUAGAUUAUCCUAGAUUUUAAAAUAAAUAAAUAAAUAAUACUUAAUAAAAAAGAAGCUCCUCGUUGCCGUUGUGCUCCACGUCAGCACAAAUAAAAAUUAUUCAUGGAGAGAGAGAAUAGCAAGCGGAGUCUAUUUACUUUGUAAUCGCUUCCUCUCAGCUUUCUUCUCUUCUCUUCCUCUUCUCCUCUGCGUCUUCGUCUUCGUCUUCUCUGCGACAUCUUUUUAGUCUUCAAAACUGCGUCGUAUUGGAUUCAAUCCGAGCUCAAACCGCUACUAUUGGCGGUUAAUUAAACUCACCCGAAUCAGGCGGGGCACGUUCGUCACCAACUACUUCUUAUCCACCUCCGUCGCUCUCUGUUCCCACAACUGUAAUUUCCAAACAAAAAGGUCCAAUUUUCAGAAAAGUCACCGUCACCGUCACCAUCGUAGCCGUUGAUUUCAGCGUCUAGGAUGGAGAAAUCGAAUGUAUUGAGAGGCAGUUACCUAAAUGGAGCUUACCAUCCUUCCCUAUCUUCUUCUUCUCGCGCAGAUGUCAAUUACAGGUUCAAUCUCUCUCUCUCUCUCUCUCUCUCUCUCUCUCUCUCUGAAAUCAGACUUGCUUAUAUAAAAAUGGGGUUUUUCCCUUUUUUUAAUUAAUUUGAUUAUAUGAAGAUAAAGAUUGAAUCUUUGAUAUCUGGGUGUGGAUUUAAUUGUCAUUAAUUUUUACUUGAUAAUAAGAGAAUGAGAAAAAUGAAAGAAUCUGUAGGAUGUAUUUGUGCUUGAUGAGUGUUUGGGCCCAGAGACCCUUUUUUAGGAUUAAUUGAUUAAACAAAUGAGAAAAUCUUUUGAGAUCUAUGAAAAGGGUCAUCAUCAAAAUUCCCGAAAAUGGUAUUGAUUGGAAGAAAAGGGUAAAUCUAAAUUGACUUUCUUUCUUGCUGUGGUUGACAAAUAAAUUACAGUUCCUUGAGACUGCGUCUUGUAGGAAAGAGUGGGAUGCAAAUAUUUAUCAUCAGUUUCAGUACUUGAAGUUUUGUUAUAGUGGUAGAGCACUAUGCCACUAGCCUCAGCCUACUUCAAGCCAAAACAGAGUUCUAAGACCUUGUUGUUCAUGAUCAAAUUCAAUAACUCAGAAAUGCCGAGAGUAGCAAAAAUUUUGUUUUAAAUGUUACAGGAAUAUAGAUGUUUUAAACUAGCUUCUACUAUCCGAGCUCUAUGGGUCAUUUUCAAUUUAGUUGGCUUCGUUUUGGAUGGAUUUAUAGAGCAUGUUACAUAAAUGGUUUUUCUCAUGCAGCUGUGGAUCUUGUGGCUAUGAGCUAAACCUAAGCUCCAACAACCGGAACACUUCUACCAUUGGCUCUAACAAGUAUGGGAAAUCUAUAAAGCGAGGGAUUAUAUCAUUCUUUCACAUCGAUGACAGCAGAUUUACGCAGGUUGAUGAACUUCAAUGUAAACCCCAUUUCUCUAAGCGGUCUUGGGGUUUGUUCAGCCGGAGAACUAAACUGCUUUGUCGCAAGUGUGGUAAACAUAUAGGAAAUGCUUAUGAUGAUUAUACUUCAUCUUCUUUCCCACUAGUAUUAGAUGGAUCGGAUUCAUCCUCAGGCCGUGAACUUUCGAAAUGCAGAAAAUAUGAUGUUAGAAUUCGAUCUUUGCAGCCUUCAAAUUCUGAAGGAUGCGGCACUCCGAUUUUCGGUUGACAUAUCUGAGCAGGCCUAGUUUGUAUUUUCCUUCAUGCUAAAGAAGCACCCGCAGCAACAGCCGCCGAACAUUUGCUUCUGCAACACUCCUAUGUAUGAGGUUGUUCUCUGUAUUGAUUGGAUUGCAGUUUUGUGUUUUACUAUAUUUAUUUAGAAAAUUACUUGUAUAUAAAAAAGUUUGUUCUGCAUUGGAGGAAUUAUGGUGUGGAAUUUUUGAAGUGCUUUGAAUGAUUAAGCGAAGUUUGUUAGAAGAUAUCAUUGCUGGCCCCUUAAUAUGUCAGAUUUUAUCUAAUUUCUGAACUAUUACCAUAACCUUGUUCAUGUCUUUGGCAAUUAAACACACAUGGGAAGAGCCUGAAUUGAUCUUCUUUUCUGUUUCGGGUUUAAAAUGUACCAAUGAGAAAAGUAGGUUGGUGAGGUGCCAAACUUGGUGGAUUUACAGAUUUGCUUAAAUUUGUCGUAGUAUUAUGUUAGGAAAUCUGGAGCCAUAGACACACUUGUAACAACCACUUUGAGAGUCUGAAAUUACUCGAUCAUAUAUAAGAGUUUGCUGAAUAAAUAAAAAAUAUUACACAAUUUAAUGUGUACAAAUCAACCAAAAAAAUACAAACCGACCAAAGAUGCAGUGAUUCUUGCGUAGAGGCUGCCGCAUACAACAAACUCUCACAUGAGGCUCAAAUGCAGGGAGUCCCCCUUGAGUCGCCAUUGUAUGCGGCGGUCCCUACGCCACAACUUCUCUCAUACAUAUAUAUACUCUUGAUGUCACAUUUUACAGUUUCAUCUUAUAGACAUUAUUUAACAUUUGAAACCCAGAUUAAAUUCUUCUUUUCUAGGUUGGACAAUGCAACCCACGCAUAAAAUGCUGAAAUAUGUCCCUUGGCAUUUGCCUUUCUGCAAAUACAAACGAAAAUUCCACCUUCCUUGCACUACAUAAAAACAAACAUACUCUUGGAUUUCCUUAAUUCUCAUCUGCAACAUCACAUCUUUUUGGUAUUUUCUUUUUCUCCACCAUGGAGUCUCCCAGAAUUACUAUCAAAGUUAUCAUUUCUCUAUUUUGCUCUUAUAUGCUUUUGUCACAUUAUAUCACCACUUUGAGCCCUGCCUUGGCUUUGGAAGACUGUCACUUUCCAGCAAUCUUUAACUUUGGAGACUCAAAUUCAGAUACUGGUGGAAUGGCUGCGGCCAUUUAUCGACCACCACCACCCUCUGGGAAAACCCAUUUUCAUACGCCAGCGGGAAGAUUCUCAGAUGGCAGGCUCAUAAUCGAUUUUCUUGGUAUGUAUAUUUUUCUUUUUAUUUAAGGAAACUGUAUAUCAUCUUUGUUCUUCUGUGUAUGUUUGGCUCUCAUUCUCUGUAAACAACCAUUCCCACUUAUGUGCGAUUGCGAAUCACAAUUCGCGAUAUGAUUUUUACACAUGUUUGUCACAUGUCAUGACUUGAUGAUCGACCUAAAUCGAUCAAAUUUUUUGGCCAAAGUACUUAAAAACUCUCUAUAUCCAUGACCAAAUUUUUAAAAAUUUGAAGGGAAAAAUCAGACUUAAAAUCAUCCCAAUUAUUUCCCACAUUGGUUGCAUACUUGAAACAUGCUUUUUUUUUUUUUUUCUCUCUCUUUAAAUUGUUGUCUGAUAAAACUUGUGGUUCAGCCAAGAGUCUUGGUCACCCCUUUCUAAGCGCAUAUCUGGAUUCAAUUGGGACCAACUUCUCGCAUGGUGCAAAUUUUGCCACUGCAUCUUCCACCAUCAGAUUGCCAGAUCCCAUUAUACCAGCUCCUGGAGGAUUUAGUCCCUUCACCCUCAAUAUUCAAUGCUCGCAGUUCUUGCAACUAAAAUCCAGAUCACAACUCAUAAGGCAUCGAGGUAAAACAAAAACUAAAAAGCUCUAUAAUUAUUUAAUUAUUAGGGUGACAAAACUUUGUGACUGGAGCUUUGUUCAAUAUGUAUGUAGGGGGAAUAUUUGCAAGUUUGAUGCCCAAGAAGAAGUAUUUUGCCAAAGCCUUAUACACAUUUGACAUUGGCCAGAAUGACCUUCCAGAAGGGUUUUUUGGUAAUUUGACUGUUCAAGAAGUCAAUGCAUCUGUUCCUAAUAUAGUCAGUACGUUCUCAGCAAAUAUUAAGGUAAUUAAUCUUCCAGUGAAAAAAAUAUUGAAUUAAUAUAACAUGUCAGACUGUCUAAUAAUGAAAUAUUUUCUAUUUUUCAGCUCGCUCGUUUUUUACUUUACUUAAUUAUAAUCUUAAUGUUUAUGAUGUAGAAAAUAUAUGAUUCGGGAGGGAGAUCAUUUUGGAUACACAACACUGGGCCAAUUGGGUGUAUCCCUUACAUCUUAGUUAAUUUCCCAGCUCAAAAGGAUGAGGUUGGCUGUGCAAAGUUAUACAAUGAAGUAGCUCAGUAUUUUAACCACAAGCUGAAGGAGGCCACAGUUCAACUUAGGAAGGAUCUACCUUUGGCUGCAAUAACCUAUGUAGACAUAUAUUCAGUCAAAUACUCUCUUUACAAGGAACCCCAAAAAUAUAGUAAGCCACUCAAUCUUAUGAUAUUCACAAAACGCACCGGCAAAAAGUUGUAACCUGUCACAUAAUUUCAAGUGACUUUGUUGGACUUAUCAAGCAUACAUAACACCUGUCACAUAAUGCGGCUUAAAAAAUAUGAUCUUUUAAGUAUUAUUUAAAAGAAAAGCAUACAAGGAGAAAUUCGGUGAAUGAAAUUUAUUUUCACUUUGUAUUAAUUGCUUGGAAAUGUUUCAGGGUUUGAGCAACCACUUGUUUCUUGUUGUGGCACUGGUGGCAAGUACAACUUUAACAGUAAAACUGUUGAAUGUGGAAGAACAGUUACAGUUAAUGGAAGACAAAUAUUUGCUGACUCAUGCAAACGUCCUUAUGUUAAAGUGAACUGGGAUGGGAUUCAUUAUACUGAUGCAGCUGCCAAGAUUAUUUUUGAUAAAAUUUCAACCGGAGCAUUUUCCGAUCCACCCCUUCCUUUGAAGCAAGCAUGUCACAGGAGUUUGGAAUAACUCAUACAUUAAUCAAUAAUUGUGUGGUACCUUUGUAACUGCAGGUCCCAUGAUGUUUCUUUCUCUUAUUUUUGAGGUCAUCAAUACUUCUCUUGGUAACAUUACUUUUUGAGAGAAAAGCGAUAGUGUUUUAUUGAAUAUGGAUGAGUAACAAGUACAAAUUGGGGUUUUGUGUUCAUCCAUUUAUUUAGAAAAUUACUUGUAUAUAUAAAGGUUUGUUUAGCAGUGAAAGAAUAUGGUGUGGAAUUUUGGAGUGGUUUGAAUGAUUGAGCAAAGUUUGUCAGAACAUUAGCAUUUCCGGGCUCUUAAUCUGCUACAUUUUAUCUAAUUUGUGAACUUAUUACCGCUAACCUUGUUCAUGCCUUUGGACAUUAAACACAAAUAGGACGAGCCUAUUUUUUUUCCUAUUUUUUUCUCUUUCUUUUUGGGUUUAUAAUAAUGUAACAAUGAGCAAAAUAUGUAGAUGAGGUGCCAAGCUUGGUGGAUUUACAUAUUUACUUAAUUUGUCAAAGUAUUACGUUAAGAAUUCUGGAGCCAUAAACACAAUUGUUAGGUUUUUUGGUUAGAUAUAUAUUUAGCUUUCCUUGACAACUUGAUUAAAUAAAAUACAAAAUAUAAUGAAUGGUUCUACUACUAAUGAUACCAAAGUCUUUUGUGAUAAAACUCCACAUUUAUUGGGCUUUGUAGGUGGUUCAGUUGGGGACAAUAUCAGUAUUGUUAGUAGUAGGCUGUUGACCCAUCUCUCUGAAUUUAACAUGGUAUCGAUGUUUUCACUGUAGAUGACUAGACUAGUCAUCGUUUAGUUGACGUGUUAUUGCCACCUCAUGUUCUAUAACUAAUUGUUGACUAGUCAUGUUGUAGCUUGGUUUGUUUGAUUGUUAUUCCCUUAGAUCUAUCUAGUUGGUUUAAAGUUUUUACCCCUUUCACACUUAAAUAACAAUUUCACUUGUAACAACCACCGUGACAAUUGAGAUUACUCGAUUAUAGUCAUUAAGAGUUCUCUCUAUAAAAAUAUAAACAACAAUGAUCAAUUGAAUGUACACAAAGGGACCAAUCUGAACAUUUUUUCUUUUAUGUAGGAGUUAUUCUAACUCUGGACAUGAGUGUGAAGGUGAAAGUUUUAUUACCGGAAGAAAGUCUUCACAGAUGGAGUAAUUCUUGUGUAGAAACUACCGCGUACAACUAACUCUUACCAUGUGGCCCAUUGUGAGGAGUUGUUGUAUACGGCAGGAAGUGACAUAGACAUUAUUUACAUUUGAAACCCACAGCUCCAACCUAGGCAUAAAUACUGAAAUUAAUGUCAGCUAGCCAGAUAUUUCAAGAUGAGGUUGAAAAUGUCAGCACUUUGCCUUUCUACAAUGCAGUAAAAAAUUCCACCUCUCUUGCACUAUACAACAAACAUAAUCUUGGAUUUUAUUAGUAGUUCUCUUCUGCAACAUAUUACUGCUACUUGUAUUCUCCACCAUGGACUCUCCUAGAAUUACUAUUUUUAUCUUAUAUGUUUCUGUCACUGAUUACCAUUUUGAGCCUUGCCUUGGCUUUGGAAGACUGAGUUUCCAGCCGCCUUUAACUUCGGAGAUUCAAACUCAGAUACUGGUGGAUUGUCUGCAUCCCUGUUCCUACCACCACCACCUUAUGGGGAGACCUAUUUUCAUAUGCCGGCUGGAAGAUUCUCAGAUGGCAGGCUCAUAAUCGAUUUUCUUGGUAUGCAUUUUUUGUUUUUUGUUUUUUAAAGAAAAGGGAAAUGAUAAGUUUUUUUUCCUUUUUCAACAUGCAUUUUUCCAAAAUUCUUGUCUAAUAAAACUUGUGGUUCAGCAAAGAGUCUUGGUCACCCCUUUCUAAGCGCAUAUCUGGAUUCCCUUGGGACCAACUUCUCGUAUGGGGCAAAUUUUGCCACUGCAGCUUCCACCAUCAGAUUGCCAGAUCAAAAUUUUCCAGCUGGUGGAUUUAGUCCCUUGCAACUAAAAUCCAGAUCACAACUGCUUAGGCAUCGAGGUAAAAAUCUAAUUUAUUAAUUAGGUUUUUUUUUAUUUUUUAUCACAAAUAGUCUUUAAGGUUUAUGAAAUUGUCAAAAAUUCUCCAAAGCUUUAUACACAUUUGACAUUGCCCAGAAUGACCUUGGAGAAGGGAUCUUUGGUAACUUGACUGUUCAAGAAGUCAAUGCAUCGGUUCCUGAUAUAAUCAGUGGGUUCUCAAUAAAUAUUAGGGAGAUUCACUAUUAUACCCAAUAUGGGGGCCCAAAUUAUAAAAAUAUCCUAUAUAAAAUGGACUUUAGAAACACACCCAAAGCCCAUUUACAACAUAACAAAAAAGCUUUUAACUUCUUAUAAAUUACAAAACUGCCAUCAAUUUCUUAAAACAAGCCCAACCCCAAAAUCUCAUAAAAAUACCCAAAGCACUCAAUAGGGCAUCAAAGUAAUUUAAUAAUCAAUAUUAAAUUCAAUAAGGCCAGCUAUCAUUUUUUGAGUUUUUUUUGGGUUUGUUUAUAGGAAUUCAAUUGUGUAGGGUUUAUUUAUAAUAUUAGUGCUAGAAAUGGGUAUAUCACUAAAUAUCUCUAAAUAUUAAGGUAAUUAAACUUCUAUAUAAUAUAACAUAUCAGACUAUCUAAUAAUGAAAUAUUUUACAUUUUUCAGCUCGCUCUUUUUUCAGUUUAUUGAAUUAUAAUGUCAAUGUUUAUGAUGUAGAAAAUAUAUGAUUCGGGAGGCCCCCCUCUCUACCCUCACGAUUUUAUUUUUGGGAACUCACGAGCAACUUCCUAGUGGGUCACCCAUCUUGUGAUUGCUCUAGUCCCGACUCGCUUAACUUCAGAGUUCUCAUGAUUUCAAAGUUAGUGAGCUCCCAAAAGGCCUUGUGCUAGAUGGAGGUGGACAUGUACAUAUAAGGCACAUCACCCCCUCUCCGUUGGUCGAUGUGGAAUGUUACAAUCAACCUCCCUUAGGGGCCUGAUAUCCUUAUCGGCACACUCGCACCACACGGCAGAGUGGCUCUGAUACCAAAUUGUCACAUCCCGGAAUCGGCUCCGCACGAUAUUAGUCUCAAUCCAAAGUCGCUUGAUAAAAUACCCAUAAUCAUUCUACACCAUAAUAUUAACUUUUUACUGAAAUAUGAAAAUCCACCUUGAAUUUUUGGGGUAUUACAUCAAGCUAUAACUUGUCAAAAAGGAAACAAAUUACAAUCAAUAUAGGAAAUCUGGUAAAUCUGGUCAACUCACGUCAACAUGGAUACGUGAUCAUAUUAACUAUGACAACUUGGGGUUGGAGAGAUUUGAGUUCGACAAUAAAGCUAACUUCGUAAUUGCAGCGUUACUAUCACUCACCAGAAAAGAAGAUAACUAUGACAACUUGGGGUUGAAGGGAUUUGCUGACUUCUUUUUAGUGUAACAACAAGAACCUUUGACUAUAGGGCUCGUUUGUUACACAGGACUGUCUUGACAUGGACUAUGCUUAGGGACUGGCUUGGCUUGGUUUGGCUUGGUCUAAGUUGGAUAACACUUAUUUUGCGUUUGGUGUAUGCUUGGACUAGGACUAGAAUUUUUUUAUUUUUUCAAAAAUAUCUAUAUAUAUAUAUGUAUAUAUGUAUUUUAUAAUAUAUAUAUAUAUAUAUAUGUAUAUAUACAUACAUAUAAUAUAUAUAUAAAACAUAUAUGUGUAUAUACAUGUAUAUAAGUAUAUUAUAAUAAUAUUAUAUAUUUUAAAUAAUAUAAACGUACAUAUAUAUUAUAAUAAUAUACAUAUAUACACGUAUAUACAUGUAUAUACAGUCCCCUUCUAUUGAGGGAUCCCUCAAAUAAAAUUAUUUGAGGGACGCCCUUUAGGGUACCCUACAAUUUUUUUCCCAAUGAUCCAAACCAUCUAUUUUUUAGGUCUUCAUUCAUAGAUCAUCCUAACAAAAAAUUAGAGAAAUCGGAAACCGUUUCGACAUCCAAUUGUGUCUUACAAAAUCAAUGAACACGGUACUUCAAGAAAAUGCUAAAAUUUCAAUAACUUAAUUGAGUAGUCAAAUGAUAUCGGAUUCAAGUGAUUUUUUGUAGGGAUGAUCUUUGAAUGAGUAUCUACAAAAUAGACGGUUUGGAUUAGUGAAAUACAAUCUGGAGUGGGGCCUACAAGGGGUGUCCCUCAAAUAAGCUUAUUUGAGGGAUCCCUCAAUGGAAGCUCUCUGCAUGUAUAUAUAUGUGUAUAUAGGUGUAUAUUUGUAUAUUCUAAUAUACAUGGGUAUAAUACAUAUACAUAUAUUUAUAUAUAUGUAUGUAUAUUAUAAUAUAUAAUAUAUAUGGGUAUGUUAUAAUAAUAAUAAUAAUAAUAAUAGUAAUAAUAGUAAUAUAAGUACAUUAUAAUAAUAUAAUAUAUGCAUCUUAUACAUUGGUGAACAUAGGACUAGCUAAUCCUCCAUUUUUACAAGGGCUUAGUAGUCCCCUCCUAAGGAGGUGUUUUUGGUGAGCUCGGUAUUAGCAAUUCCAUCUAAGACUAGAAUUAAAUGAAACAAACAUGGUAUUAAAUUUAGUCUAUACCAGUCCAAGCCACACUUGUGUACCAAACGACCCCUAAGAGACUAAUGCAUUUGACUAACUCUCACCAUAUGGUCUAUUGUGAGGAGCUGUACGUUGUAUAGAGGAGGGAGUCACAUAGAUGACAUCUCUUGAUGUCAUAUCUUACAAAUUGCAUCUUACAGACAAUAUUUACAUUUGAAAAACGCACAGCUUUUCCAGGUCGGCCAAGGCAUAGCUAGAUUUCUAGAUGGUUGAAAACUUACGCAACUUAGCAUUUCUGGCUUUCUACAAAUGCAGUUGAAAAUUCCACCUUUUCCUUGCACUAUAAAAGGAACAUACUCUUGGAUAAUUUAUCACUUCUUAUCUGCAACAUCUUUGUGGUAUAUAUUUGCUUUCUCAACCAUGGACUCUCCUACAUUUCCUAUCCAAGCUAUCGUUUCUCUAUUUUGCUCAUGUAUGCUUUUGUCGCAUAUCACCACUUUGAGCCCUGCCUUGGCUUUGGAAGACUGUGAGUUUCCAGCCAUCUUUAACUUUGGAGAUUCAAAUUCAGAUACUGGUGGAUUUGCCGCGUCCCUUUCGCCACCAACACCACCUUAUGGGGAGACCUAUUUUCAUAUGCCGGUUGGAAGAUUCUCAGAUGGCAGGCUCAUAAUCGAUUUUCUUGGUAUGCAUUUUUGGUUUUUGUGUUAAUAUUUAUUUAGGAAAAGGUAUUAACAGUAUAUGCUUUUAAAUUAAUUAUCAUCUUAUUCUUAUGGCUGACAAUUCAAACAUGUAUAAACGGUGGAAAAAUUGCUUUCGUUUUCCAAAUUGUUUUCAAACGCUGUACACAAUAAGCUUUCCAAAUUGUUUUCCAAAUUGUUUUCAAAGACCAAAGUGGAUGGCAGGCCCAAUAAGCUUUCUGGACACUCAUUUUUCUUGAUAAUUUUCGGCAGUAAGUUUUAUAUAUAUCAAAUAGUGACUUGACUUCCAGAGUGAUUUUAGGUUCAAACAGAGAGACACUUGAUACUGUGUGUGUGAUAAAAUUCCCUUCUCCCAAUAUAAUUUGUCUGAUGAAACUUGUGGUUCAGCAAAGAGUCUUGGUCACCCCUUUCUAAGCGCAUAUCUGGAUUCCCUUGGGAGCAACUUCUCGUAUGGUGCAAAUUUUGCCACUGCAGCUUCCACCAUCAGAUUGCCAGAUCAAAUUUUUCCGGCUGGUGGAUUUAGUCCCUUCUACCUCAAUAUUCAGUACGUGCAGUUCAUGCAACUAAAAUCCAGAUCACAACUCAUUAGGCAUCGAGGUAAAAAUUUAAUUAUUUAUUACUUAUUAGGGCAACAAAUUAUUUUCAAGCCAAAAAACUUUGUGACUGGAGCUUUGUUUAAUUUGUAUAUAGGGGGAAUAUUUGCAAGUUUGAUGCCCAAGGAGGAGUAUUUCUCCAAAGCUUUAUACACAUUUGACAUUGGACAGAAUGACCUAGGUGAGGGGUUCUCUGGUAACUUGACUGUUCAAGAGGUCAAUGCAUCGGUUCCUGAUAUAAUCAGUGGGUUCUCGGCAAAUAUUAAGGUAAUUAAUCUUUCAGGUGAUAAAGUUGUGGUUUAGCAAAGAGUCUUGGUCAAUGGGGGCCCAACUCACUGUAUCAAUUAUAUUUUAAGCGUCAUACAUUCAAAUAUUUAAUUAUAUACCAAUUUUUAACACUAGUAAUAUAGAUAAAUCUUAUACCAUUUAAUUUUUAUAAAUACAUCCUAAAAAAACCAAAAAAAUUACAUUUAACCCUAUUGAAUUUAAUUUUAAUUAUUAAAUUACUUUGAUGCCCUAUUGAGUGUUUUGGAAUUUUUUUAUAGUAAAUUUAGGUUUUACCCAUAAAAAAACUUUCACUUUUGGAAAAAGCCAAAGCUUUUUCAAAAAAGACAGAAAAACCUCUCAACUUUCAAACCAAAGACAUGCAAAUGUAAAGGAUUCCUUAGGAAAUCAAAAAAUAAAUAAGGGCAAUUUUGUCCAUUUUGGCUUCUUUUAAAAUUUUUCUCUCUCCUUUGGGUUUUUCCAAAGUCUCCCUUUUUUUAUUUAUGAGGUUUUGGAGUUGGGCUUGUUUUAAGAAAUUGAUGACAAUUUUGUAAUUUAUAGAAAGUUCGAAGCCUCUUUGUUAUGUUGUAAAUGGGUUUUGAGUGUGUUUCCAAAGUCCAUUUCAUGUGGGGUGGGGGGUUUAAUUAUAAUUUGGAUCCUUAUAUUAGGUAUAAAUAGUGAAUCUCCCUUCAAAUAACAUGUCAGACUGUCUAGUAAGAGAAUAUAUUUUAAUUUUUCUGCUUGCUGUUUAUUUAACUUUUGGUGAAGUAUGAUGUUAAUGUGGUGAUUACUAUGAUGAUGCAGAAAAUAUAUGAUUUGGGAGCGAGAUCAUUUUGGAUCCACAACACUGGGCCAAUUGGCUGUCUCCCUUACAUCUUUGCCAAUUUCCCAGCUCAAAAGGAUGAGGCCGGCUGUGCAAAGUCAUACAAUGAAGUAGCUCAGCAUUUUAACCAGAAGCUGAAGGAAGCCACAGUUCAACUUAGGAAAGAUCUACCUUUGGCUGCAAUUACUUAUGUGGACGUUUAUUCAGUUAAAUACUCUCUUUUCAAGGAAUCGCAAAAAUAUGGUAAGCCACUCCACCUUAUGAUAAAAUUUGCAUUUUUUUUUUUUGUUUUUUUGUUUUUGCUUACAUACGUAAUUUCAAAUGAUUUCACUGGACUGAUAAGUAUAUCACUUGUCACAUAAUGUAAUUCACUAAUGCGGUUUAAAAAUGUGAUCUCUUAAGCAUUAUUAAAAUGGAAAGCAUAUGCAAAGAAAUUCCAUGAAUGAAAUUUAUUUUCCCUCUAUAUUAAAUUGGUUGCACAUGCUUCAGGGUUUGAGCUCCCACUUGUUGCUUGUUGUGGGUAUGGUGGCAAGUACAACUAUAACAGUAGUUCUGAAUGUGGAGGAACAGCUAGAGUUAAUGGAAGGCAAAUAUUUGUUGGCUCAUGCAAAGAUCCUUCGGUGAGAGUGAAUUGGGAUGGCAUUCAUUAUACUGAGGCAGCUGCCAAGUUUAUUUCUGAUAAAAUUUCAACUGGAGCAUUUUCUGAUCCACCCCUUGCUUUGAAACAAGCAUGUCACAAGAAUUUGGCCUAAUAAUUAAAUAAAUUAAAAAGUUAAAUACGUACAGACAGAUGCAUGCGGGUGGAAAUUAUUUUGUAUUGGAAUAAUUGUGUUGUACCUUGUAGCUGCAGGUCCCUUGAGCCAUUUAGGUAGUAAUUUAGAAUAUCCAAUAAAGUCAGUGGGGUAUAGCUCAGUUGGUUGAACUCUUCCACCUCCAUUCAUGUGGGUAGAUGUUCGAAACCCCAAGGCACUCAAUGAAUAUUUAUGUAAACCUACCCCCCAAAAUUGCUUGCAAUAAAAAAAAGUACCUCAUAAAAAAUAAAGGCUCCUAUACUUGGUUUUUAAUAAAAGAGAUGCUAGUCAUAAUAAAAGAGUAAUGCUAGUCAUACCACAUUUAUAUACCAUUUUGUGUUGACCAUCCAAUUUUUUUAGUUAUCAUUUUUCUUCUUCUUAUUUAUGAGGUUCAAUACUUCUCUUCGAAUUCGAACAUUACUUUGAUUUAGUGUGUUUAUUCGAAGUUUCAACAAACAAUGCAAACUGAUUCGAUAAAGUCUCAUAAUUAAUAUGAAUUAAUAUAUUCGACAUUUUGGGUAGAAUUUGGUUAACAAAAAGCAUUAUGUGUUGAGAGUGUGAAUCUCACGUUGGGAACUUAAAGUUUUAGAGCAUCCACAGUCAUACUCUCUAAUUUUCAGUUAAAUUUGAGCUAAAAACAUAUAAAAGUUAUUUUAGGAGCUCUCUAUAAAAUUUAAACUCCAAUCUUGCUCUCUAGUUUAGGGAGUCAUAAAUGCUAUAACUCUUUUCUAAUUGGUCAAUCUUCAUUAAAAAAUAAUAUAAAAAAUAAUUAGCAUUAACUAAAGGUUUGAAAUACUCAUUAAAUAAAGCAGCAUUAAAUUAUAGGGAGCCACUACUAAUCCUUUCUCUCUCUUCAGAUUUAGGAGCUCCUAGAGGUCUUCUUAUUUUAGGAGGUGGAUAGGCAGCAUGGUUGGAGUUGUAUGUUUUCAAUUCCUCUCUAAAAUUUGUCUAAGGAGGUAGUUUAGGGAGCCCAUUGUGGAUGCUCUUAGAGCAUCUAUAAUGGACUCCCUAAACCAAAAUUUGAAAAUCUUGAUUUCAAAAUUCUUCUUUUGAUUUUCUUAUGCCUCAAAAAGUUUAUAAAUCAUUCUCUAAUUGCUUCUACACUUGAUAAAAUGAACUUAGAACAAGAGUCCCACUUUUCAUCCUUCCAAUUACUUCAACACUUCACCAUUUUCUUUUCUACGUUUCACAUUUGCUUUCUUAAUUCUCUCCUUGAUGUAAUAGUAAUAAACUCCAUCUCCCUUAUUUCCAAGUCUUCUCUUCUUCUUCUUCCACCAUUUUCUUUUCUACGUCUCACAUUUUCUUUCUUAAUUCUCUCAUUGAUGUUAUAGUAAUAAACUCCAUCUCCCUUAUUUCCAAGUCUUCUCUUCUUCUUCUUCCACAAUUUUCUUUUCUACGUAUCGUAUUUGCUUUCUUAAUUCUCUCAUCGAUGUAAUAGUAAUAAACUCCAUCUCCCUUAUUUCCAAGUCGACGUCUUCUUCUUCUUCUUUUGGGAGGAAGAGUGGGCUGUUGCCCUCCACGUUUCAGAUUCUUCUCUUCUUUCUCUCUUUUUUUAAAAAAAAAGCCUAUAAGGGCAUUUUGGUAAUUUUUACAUAGAGGGGUAUUUUGGUCAUUUUUUCCAAACGUCAAAAAAGAUUUCCUGCACGUUCAUUGAGUCGACUACUAUUGUCCUACCUAAUAAUCAUAAUUUUUUCAAUCCAAUUUCUUAUACUUCCUUUGAAAAAUUCACAAAAUGUUAAGGGCAUUUUUGUCCAACUCGAAAUUAAACACACUUAAUCCAAUAGUCUCAAUACAAAAUCAUUUGAUAAAAUACUAAUAAUCAUCAUUCACCAGAAUAUUAAUUUUACUGAAAUAUGGAAAUCCACCUUUAAUUUUCAGAGUAUUACAUCAAGCUGUAGCUCGUAAUUCUAUUUAGAGUACAUAGAAAAUCAAAAUUAGAAAAACAAACAAAUUACAAUCAAUAUGAGAAAUCUGGUCAACUCACACCAACAUGGACCGUGGUAAUUUGAAAUUACUUGAUCAUAUUAACUAUGACUCAACUUGUGGGUGGAGGGAUUUGAAUUUGACAAUAAAGCUAAAUUCGUAAUUUCAGCGUUACUAUAGGCUUUACUCACCAAAAAAGAAGGUAACUACUGCUGACUUUUUUUUAGUGCAAAAACAAGAACCACAUAAGAGACUGCUGCAUUUGACUAACUCUCACCAUAUGGUCCAUUGUGAGGAGCUGUUGUAUAUAUUAGCCAUAACUCUAUGGUUGAUCAAAAUGAUCAUCACACCCAGCAAAAACCAGAAAAUGGUUAACACACCCAUGCUAUGACAGCUGUUGUGCUCGAACGGUCACAAAGGCAUAUUCAACACAAGUACAAGCAUAUUCCUUGUUCUUAUUUGCUGAGUCAUCCUAAGGGUUCCUUGUCCUAGGAUUUUUUAUAUAGUCUGUUGUGUGUAUAUAUAUAUAUACAUUUUACCUCAAUUGUAAAUGUCAAGAGCGGCAAUCUUCUAUUGUCUCAUACAUUGAUUGUAACCCAUGUAUUAGACAAUGAGAAAGAAACUGAAAGGGGAAGAGUGCCCGCCCAUGCCCCAGGAUAAGUAACUCCAUUUGCAUUAGCAAUACUCGUCCGUCCAGGUUGGGUGGUACUUAGAAAAUCAUUGGGAUCAAACGUCGUACGGUCAGUUGUGCCCGAAAUAAUUAUCCAGCCAGUAGAAUCAUUCUUAUCAUAACUAUGGAAAACAUAACCACGGUUACAUGAGUCACUGAGGGUCGUAGAACCAUAAUCAAGUGUCAAAGCACUAGAAGAUCCUACCCGAGGAACAAAAGAUAACUGGGUUUUGGCAAUUACAAGGGUGGCACAACCCGAACCACUACUUGUAGCUUAUCAUUCCUUUUGGACUUUGAGUUCAUCCCACCAUUUUGGAUAUUCAUUCAACUUGGAACAAGUGUCUCAACUAUGUUUCGGACUGCCACAAUGUGUGCAACCUCCUCCAUUUGUCUGAGUCUUCAAUCAUGAAGCCAUAUUUGGCUUCGCGGUGUUCGCAGGUUGGGUGGUUGUCUUUGCAUAUGACUGUAUUUGAAGCGGUGCAAUGUCAGUAGAAGGCGGUGUCGGUCCCGACCGAUCAGUUUGUACUUUUUGUAGGAAAUAGAUUCAUUUAGAGUACAUCCCUGCAAGCCUUGUCAAGUCGAUCAUCUAAUCCAUCUAGGAAAGUGUAAAAUCAGUGAAACUUAACCAAAAUUAGUGAAAUCAAAAGGAUUUUGACCGUUACUAUUCCUAGUUUCCAAAACAUCAAAAUCUUUCAAAAAUACUUCACAGAUCAAAGGAACAUGGAAGCCAAAGGAAGGCCAGGGAAUUGAAAUUUCUAGAAAAACACAAAGUUUCAGAAUUUUCUCACAAGUCUUUUUCAACACACCUCAAAUACCAUCCUUAAGGCUCGACAUCAUACUCCAACAUCAUACCCUUGGCCUAAGCUUCCCAAAAACAAGAUUUGGAACUAAAAUGUGAACACCCAAACCCAAAAAUUUAUCAACAGACCCAAAAUCCGAAAAUCCUGAUUUCAAAAUUCUUCUUUUGAUUUUCUUAUGCCUCAAAAGGUAGUCUCUAACUCAGUUAUAACUAUAAAUCGACUCAAACAAUUAAUUUCACAAAAUCUCAAGAAUUGAAAAUGAACUUAAAACAAGAGUCCCACCUUUCAUCAUUCCAAUUGCUUCAACACUCCACCAUUUUUUUUUCUACCUCUCACAUUUUGUUUUCUUAAUUCUCCCAUGGAUGUAAUAGUAAUAAACUCCACCUUCUUCUUCUUCUUUUCAUAAUGGUGGAUUUGAAAGCUUGAGGCAAGGAGGAAAGAAUGGGAGGAAGAGUGGGCUGUUGCCCUCCACGUUUCAGAUUCUUUUUUUUUUUAUAUAUAUAAAUUUUAUAAAUAUUUAUUUAUUUAAAUUAUUAUUUUUUUAAUAUCUACAAGGGCAUUUUGGUAAUUUUCACAUGUUGGGGUAUUUUGAUCAUUUUAGCCCAAAAUUCAGAAACAAUUUCCUACGUGUUCGUUGAGUCCACUACUUUCGUUCUACCUCAGAAUCAUAAAUUUUUCACUUGUUGCUUAUUGUGGCUUUGGUUGCAAGUACAACUAUAACGGUAGAACUGUUGAAUGUGGAAGAACAGUUACAGUUAAUGGAAGACAAAUAUUUGCUGACUCAUGCAUACGUCCUUAUGUUAAAGUGAACUGGGAUGGGAUUCAUUAUACUGAGGCAGCUGCCAAGAUUGUUUUUGAUAAAAUUUCAACUGGAGCAUUUUCCGAUCCACCCCUUCCUUUGAAACAAGCAUGUUACAGGAGUUUGGACUAACCCAUAAAUUAAUCAAUCAUCAAGUACUGCAAACACAAGCAUGCAGGUGGAAACUAUUUCGUAUUGUGUGGUACCUUUGUAACUGCAGGUCAGGUCCCAUGAGCCAUUUAGGUAGUCAUUUCGAAUCCCAUAACAAAUAAAGGUUCCAGUACUUGGUUUUUAAUUAAAAUUUCAUUGAUUUUUCUUCUUCUUAUUUUUGAGGUCAAUACUUCUGAUAGAACAUUACUUCGAUUUAGUGUUUCACAUGAAAAAAAGAGGUGUAUUUUUUUUUUAGGGGGGUUGGGUUGUUGGGGAGGCCACUUCGCCUCCUUUCUUCCUUCUUUCGUCCUAGUGUCAUCCCACCAUUCGACUAAACUGAGUUAUCUCCCCCAUAUUUGUGGAGGGCUUUUCUUCCUAGCUGAUUUCGUGCUAGGUUUUGCUUCCCUUGUGUUUUGCAAGAGAGAGAGAGAGAGAGAGAGAGAGAGAGAAUUAAUUAUUUUUAUUUCUUUCAGAUAUUAUUAUUUUUUAUUAAUAUUUUAUUUCUUUUAAAUAUAUACAACAAACAUACUCUCGGAUUCCACCUCUCUUCUGCAAAAUUUUUCUGGUACUUGCUUUCUCCACCAUGGAGUCUCCUAGAAUUACUAGUAAACCUCUGUUUCUCUCUUAUAUGCUUCUGUCGCAUAUCACCACAAUUAAACCUUGUUCGUGUCUUUGGACAUUAAAUACACAUGGGAAAAGCCUGAGUUGAUCUUCUUUCCUUUUUUGGGUUUAAAAAAUGUACCAAUGAGAAAAGUAGGUUGGUGAGGUGCCAACUUGGUGGAUUUACAGAUUUGCUUAAAUUUGUCGUAGUAUUAUUAUGUUAGGAAAUCUGGAGCCAUAGACACACUUGUAACAACCACUGUGAGAAUCUGAAAUUACUCAAUCAUAUAAGAGUUUGCUGAAUAAAUAAAAAAUAUUACACAAUUUAAUGUGUACAAAUCAACAAAAAAAAAUAAAAACAGACCCAAGAUGCAGUGAUUCUUGCGUAGAGAUUGCCACAUACAACAAGCUCUCACAUGCAGGGAGCCCCCCUCGAGUCGCCGUUGUAUGCGGCAGUCCCUACACCACAACUUCUCUCAUACAUAUCUACUCUUGAUGUCACAUUUUAGGAUUUUCUUAGUUCUCAUCUCCAAUACAUCACAUCUUGGUAUUUUAUUUUUCUCCACUAUGGAGUCUCCCAGAAUUAAUAUCAAAGUUAUCAUUUCUCUAUUUUGCUCUUAUAUGCUUUCGUCACAUUAUAUCACCGCUUUGAGGCCUGCCUUGGCUAUAAAAGAGUGUGAAUUUCCAGCAAUCUUUAACUUCGGAGACUCAAAUUCAGAUACUGGUGGAUUGGCUGCAUCCAUUUAUCCAUCACCACCACCUUAUGGAGAAACCUAUUUUCAUAUUCCGGCUGGAAGAAUCUCGGAUGGCAGGCUCAUAAUCGAUUUUCUUGGUACGUUUAUUUAAGGAAAAUGUAUUAUAUAUUUAUGUUUUCAAAUUUCAUCUUUGUUCUUCUGUGUAUGUUUGGCACAUUCUCUGUAAACAACCAUUCCUAUUUACAUGCCAAUCACAAUUCGUGAUAUUAUCUUUACACAUGUUUGUCAAAUUUCAUGACUUGAUGAUCGACCUAAAUCGAUCAAAUUUUUUUGCCUAAGUACUUAAAAUCUCUAUAUCCAUGACCAAACUUUUUACAAAUUUAAAUGGAAAAAUCAUCCCAAUUAUUUCCCACAUGGUUGCAAAGGUGCAACUUGCUUUUCUUUGCUCUGGGUUUGUUUUGUUUCUUUUUUUCUCUUUAAAUUGAUCGUCUGAUAAAACUUGUGGUGUAGCAAAGAAUCUUGGUCAACCCUUUCUAAGUGCAUAUCUGGAUUCACUUGGGGCCAACUUCUCGCACGGUGCAAAUUUUGCCACUGGAUCUUCGACCAUCAGAUUGCCAAAUCGCAUUUUACCAGCUCCUGGUGGAUAUAGUCCCUUCACCCUCACUAUUCAAUACUCGCAGUUCUUGCAACUAAAAAACAGAUCACAACUCAUUAGGGAUCGAGGUAAAAAACAUUACUGAAGCUCUACAAUUUAUUAAUUAUUAGGGUGACUGAUUAUCUUCAAGCCAAAACUUUGUGACUGGAGCUUUGUUCAAUAUGCAUGUAGGGGGAAUAUUUGCAAGUUUGAUGCCCAAGGAGGAGUAUUUUUCCAAAGCCUUGUACACAUUUGACAUUGGCCAGAAUGACCUUGGAGAAGGGUUCUUUGCUAACUUGACUAUUCAACAAGUCAAUGCAUCUAUUCCUGAUAUAAUCAGUAGCUUCUCAGCAAAUAUUAAGGUAAUUAAUCUUUUAGUGAUAAAACUGUAUUAAUAUAACAUGUCAAGCCGUCUAAUAAUACAAUAUUUUCUAUUUACCCGCUCGCUCUUUUUUCACUUUUACUGAAUUAUAAUGUUGAUGUUUACGAUGUAGAAAAUAUAUGAUUUGGGAGGGAGAUCAUUUUGGAUCCACAACACUGGGCCAAUUGGCUGUCUCCCUUACAUCUUAGCCAAUUUCCCAUCUCAAAAGGAUGAGGCUGGCUGUGCAAAGUCGCACAAUGAAGUAGCUCAGCAAUUUAACCACAACCUGAAGGAGGCUACAGUUCAACUUAGGAAAGAUCUACGUUUGGCUGCAAUUACUUAUGUAGACGUCUAUUCAGUCAAAUACUCUCUUUACAAGGAACCUAAAAAAUAUGGUAAGCCACUCGACCUUCACAAGCACACCGACAAAAAGUUGAAACAUUUCAGUUUCCUUACGUGCAAGUGACGUUGUUGGACUUAUCAAGUAUACAUAAAGCUGCUUAAAAAUAUGAUUUUUUAAGUAUUAUUUAAAAGGAAAGCAUAUGCAUAGAGAAAUUCCUUGAACGAAAUUUAUUUUCACUUUGUAUUGAUUGCUUGGAAAUCUUUCAGGGUUUGAGCUCCCACUUGUUGGUUGUUGUGGCUCUGGUGGCAAGUACAACUUUAACGGUAGAACUCUUGAUUGUGGAAGAACAGUUACAGUUAAUGGAAGACAAAUAUUUGCUGGCUCAUGCAAACGUCCUUAUGUUAAAGUGAACUGGGAUGGGAUUCAUUAUACUGAGGCAGCAGCCAAGAUUGUUUUUGAUAAAAUUUCAACUGGAGCUUUUUCCGAUCCACCCCUUCCUUUCAAACAAGCAUGUCACAGGAGUUUGGACUAACCCAUAAAUUAAUCAAUCAUUAAGUACUGCAAUAAUUGUGUGGUACCCUUGUAACAGCAGGUCCCCUGAGCCAUUUAGGUAGUAAGUUAGAACCCCGGAAAAAAUAAAGGCUCCAGUACUUGGUUUUUAAUUAAAAGUUGACUAUCCAGUUUCUUAGUUAUGAUUUUUCUCUCUCUUGUUUUUGAGGUUCAAUACUUCUGUUGGAACAUUACUUCGAUUUACUUCCAUUCAAACUCAAAGGAUAAGACACACGAUCACUCACAUUUAAAGUCUGAGUCACUAAAAUUAGAAAACAAAUAUGGUAACAGACAUUUCAUAUAACUAAAAUAUGGAUGCACCAAACGGUGGUGCCAUAGCCAGAUCUGCCAUUGUUUGCCAUCAGAUUGAUGCCCCGUACUGUUAGCUUUGCAAGUACUGAAGUCAUCCACAUAAUAGAUCCCCCUUUGUCUUAGUACCACGACCAAUGAUAUUCUUGGUGAGAAUAUCAAGAAGAAAACAAAAACUCGGGUUAUUUAGUGCAUACCAAUUAAAUUGUUCAGUAGCCUGACCAAUAAACAUCAAUUUCUUCGACAGAGAUGGAACAAGCAAAGUAUUAGACAGUGAGAGAGAAACUGAGAGGGCAGCAGUGCCCGCCUAUGUCCCAGGAUAAGUAACUCGAUUUGCAUUAGCAAUACUCGUUCGUCUAGGUUGGGUGGUACUUAGAAAGUCAUUGGGAUCAAACGCCGUAUGCUCAGUUGCACCCGAAAUAAUAUCCAACCAGUGGAAUCAUUCUUAUCAUAAGUAUGGAAAACAUAACCACGGUUACAUGAGUCGCUGAGGGUCGUAGAACCAUCAUCAAGUGUCGAAGCACUAGAAGAUCCUACCUGAGAAACAAAAGAUAACUGGGUUUCGGCAGUUACAAGGGUGGCACGACCCAAACCACUACUUGUAGCUUCUCGUUGCUUUGGGACUUUGAGUUCAUCCCACCAUUUUGGAUAGCCAUUCAACUUGGAACAAGUUUCACGAGUAUGUUUCGAAUUGCCACAAUGUAACCUUCAUUUGUCUGAGUCUGCAGUCAUGAAGCCGUAUUUGGCUUCGCGGUGUUCGCAGGUUGGGUGGUUGUCUUUGCAUAUUACUGUAUAUGAAGCGGUGCAAUGUCAGUAGAAGGAAGUGUCGGUCCUGACUGAUCGGUUUGUACUUUUUGUAGGAAACAAAUUCAUUUGGAGUACAUCCCUUCUAGCCUUGUCAAGUUGAUCAUCUAAUCCAUCUAGGAAAGUGUAAAAUCAGUGAAACUUAACCAAAAUUUGAUCCCCCAAGACCUAACUUCACUCUAAUAUUUGAUCCCCCAAAACUUAACCAAAAUCAAUGAAAUCAAAAGGGUUUUGAUCCUUGCUAUUCCUAGUUUUCAAAACAUCAAAACCUUUCAAAAAUACUUCACAGAUCAAAGGAACACGGGAGCCAAAGUAAGGCCCAUGAACUGAAAUUUCCAUAAAAAUACAAAGUUUCAGAAUUUUAUCAAAAGUCUCUUUCAAUACACCUCAAAUACCAUCCUUAAGCCUCGAAAUCAUACUCCAACAUCACACCUUUGGCCUAAGCUUCCCAAAAACAAGAUUUGGAUCUAAUUGUGAACACCCAAACCCAAAAAUUUAUCAACACACCCAAAAUCCGAAAAUCUUGAUUUCAUAAUUCUUCUUUUGAUUUUCUUGUGCGUCAAAAGGUUCAUAAAUCAUUCUCUAACUCAGUUAUAACUAUAAAUCCACUCAAACAAUUAAUUACACAAAAACUCAAUAAUUAAAAAUGAACUUAAAACCAGAGUCCCACCUUUCAUCCUUCAAAUUGCUUCAACACUCCACCAUUUUCUUUUCUACCUCUCACAUUUGUUUUCUUAAUUCUCUCAUGGAUGUAAAAGUAAUAAAUUCCAUCUCCCUUCUCUCUCUCUCUCUCUCUCUCUCUCUCUCUCUCUCUCUCUCUCAUUAUCUUCUCCAUUCUGCCAACAACUCACCUCUCUCAGCUCUAAAAAAACCAGCUUCAUUAGGGAAGAUCCCUUAACUAGGUGAGUCAUAACUUUAAGCUAGGUGACUCAUCCUUUCAUAAUGGUGGAUUUGAAAGCUUGAGGCAAGGGGGAAAGAAUGGGAGGAAGAGUAGGCUGUUGACCUUCACGUUUCAGAUUCUUCUCUUCUUUCUCUUUUUUUUAUAAAAAAAAUGCCUACAAGGGCAUUGUGGUAAUUUUUACAUGUAGAGGGUAUUUUGGUCAUUUUAGCCCAAAAUUCAGAAACUAUUUCGUACGCGUUUGUUGAGUCGACUACUAUCGUACUACCUCAUAAUCAUAAUUUUUUCGCUCCAAUUUCUUAUACUUUGAAAAUUUCACAAAAUGUUAAGUAAGGGCAUUUUUGUCCAACUUGAAAUUAAACACACUUAAUCCAAUAGUCUCAAUCCAAAGUCGCUUGAUAAAAUACCCAUUAUCAUUCUACACCAUAAUAUUAAUUUUUCACUGAAAUAUGAAAAUCCACCUUGAAUUUUCGAGGUAUUACAUCAAGCUAUAACUCGUCAUAAAAGGAAACAAAUUACAAUCAAUAUCGGAAAUCUGAUCAACCCAUGCCAACAUGGACCGUGGGAGAUUACGUGAUCAUAUCAACUAUGACAACUUGGGGUUGGAGGGAUUUGAAUUUGACAAUAAAGCUAAAUUCGUAAUUGCAGUGUUACUAUAGGCUUUACUCACCAAAAUAGAAGAUAACUACUGCUGACUUCUUUUUAGUGCAACAACAAGAACCACAUAAGAGACUACUGCAUUUGACUAUCACCAUAUGGUCUAUUGUGAGGAGCUGUUGUAUAGAGGAGGGAGUCACAUAGAUGACAUCUCUCGAUGUCGUAUCUUACAAAUUGCAUCUUACAGACAUUAUUUACAUUUGAAAAACGCACAGCUUUUCCAGGUUGGGCAAGGCAUCCCAGCUAGCUAGAUUUCUAGAUGGUUGAAAACUUACGCAACUUAGCAUUUCUGGCUUUCUACAAAUGCAGUCGAAAAUUCCACCUUUUCCUUGCACUAUAAAACGAACAUACUCUUGGAUAAUUUAUCACUUCUCAUCUGCAACAUCUUUGUGGUAUAUAUUUACUUUCUCCACCAUGGACUCUCCUACAAUUCCUAUCAAAGCUAUCGUUUCUCUAUUUUGCUCAUGUAUGCUUUUGUCGCAUAUCACCACUUUGAGCCCUGCCUUGGCUUUGGAAGACUGUGAGUUUCCAGCCAUCUUUAACUUUGGAGAUUCAAAUUCAGAUACUGGUGCAUAUGCAUCCUUUCUUCCACUACCACCACCUUAUGGGGAGACCUAUUUUCAUAUGCCGGUUGGAAGAUUCUCAGAUGGCAGGCUCAUAAUCGAUUUUCUUGGUAUGCAUUUGUGGUUUUUGGUUAUUUUUUAAAAAUUUAUUUGGGAAAAGGUAAUAAUAGUAUAUGCUUUGGUCUGUUUGGAUGAGGAAAAAUAAUUCGGAAUUUAACUAAAAGUCGGAAAUUUAAGAGGAGAAAUUGACAAUUCCUUUGUUUGGCAACUUAAGCACGGAAUUUAUUAAAUGACAUGCGGAAAAGUCGUGGAAAUUGGUGCAUCAAAUUCCCGAGUCUAAUUUUCAUUUAAAUAAGCGUCAUUUCACAAUUUCCACAGUAUUAUUUACAAAAUUCGACAUACAUAAAUCCAAACACUGAAAUUUUCAGUUGUCAGAAAUUGAAAUGAUAGAAAUCUAAAUUCCGUCAUUUUAGAAUUCCAUGUAAAUUUCAAUUCCUUCAUCCAAACGGUAAAUUAAUUCUCAUCUUAUUCUUAUGGCUGACAAUUCAAACAUGUAUAAAUGGUGGAAAAAUUGCUUUUGUUUUCCAAAUUGUUUUCAAACGCUGUACACAAGGACUAAAGUGCACGGUAGGCCUAAGAAGCUUUUUGGACACUCAUUUAUCUUGAUAAUUUUCCGCAGUAAGUUUUAUAUAUAUCAAAUAAUAUUGGAUGAAGAGAACAUAUAGCUUGUGGAAAGAGUCGUGAUUUGCAGGCUGGUGGUUCUAGGUUCGAAAUACUUGACACGGUGUGUAUAAAAAAUAAAAAAUAAAAAAUAAAAACCUUCCCAUAAUAUGGACAUGAGUUGGCAUAAUACCUCUAUUUGCAUCAGUACUUUGUACUAAAUGAUAAGUUUUUUUCCUUUUCCACAUGCAUUUUUCCAAAAUUCUUGUCUAAUAGAACUUGUGGUUCAGCAAAGAGUCUUGGUCACCCCUUUCUAAGCGCAUAUCUGAAUUCCCUUGGGAGCAACUUCUCGUAUGGUGCAAAUUUUGCCACUGGAGGCUCCACCAUCAGAUUGCCAGAUCGCAUUUUUCCAGCUGGUGGUGGAUUUAGUCCCUUCUACCUCAAUAUUCAGUACAUGCAGUUCUUGCAACUAAAAUCCAUAUCACAACUCAUCAGGCAUCAAGGUGAAAAUCUAAUUAUUUAUUACUUAUUAGGGUAACAAAUUAUUUUCAAGCCAAAAAACUUUGUGACUGGAGCUUCAUUUAAUUUGUAUAUAGGGGGAAUAUUUGCAAGUUUGAUGCCCAAGGAGUCGAAUUUUUCCAAAGCUUUAUACACAUUUGACAUUGGCCAGAAUGACCUAGCAGAAGGGUUCUCUGAUAACUUGACUGUUCAACAAGUCAAUGCAUCUGUUCCUGAUAUAAUCAGUGGGUUCUCGGCAAAUAUUAAGGUGAUUAAUCUUCCAGGUGAUAAAGUUGCGGAUCAGCCAAGAGUCUUGGUCAAUACUCAACGAGGUCCCAACUCAUUGUAUCAAUCCCAUGUUCAACAGUUUGUCGUGUCUCUAUUAUCGGCGUCAUACAUUCAAAUAUUUAGUUAUACAGUCCCGAUCUCUUGGACCACAGGAGUCCAAGAGAUUGUGGUCACCCACCGUUGGAUAUUAAUCCAAUGGUUCAAAAAAGUUUCUUAAAAGGAGUGCAAAAGUGAGUGAACCGUUGAAUUUACAUCCAACGGUGAGUGACCAUAAAUCUCUUGGACCCCUAUAGUCCAAGAGAUUGUGGUCACCCACCGUUGGAUAUUAAUCCAAUGGUUCAAAAAAGUUUCUUAAAAGGAGUGCAAAAGUGAGUGAACCGUUGAAUUUACAUCCAACGGUGAGUGACCACCAAUCUCUUGGACCCCUGUAGUCCAAGAGAUCAGGACUGUUUAGUUAUCAGUCCCUACCAAUUCUUAACAUUAGUGAUAUAAAUAAACCAUACCGUAUUUAAUUUUAUAAUUACCCCAAAAACAAAAAAACAAAAAAAAUGACAGUUGAUCCUAUUGAAUUUAAUUUUAAUUAUUAAAUUACUUUGAUAUUCUAUUGAGUGUUUUGGAUUAUUUUUAAUGAGGUUUUGGAGUUGGGCUUAUUUUAAGAAAUUGAUGGCGGUUUUGUAAUUUAUAGAAAGUUCGAAGCCUCUUUGUUAUGUUGUAAAUGGGCUUUGGGUGUGUUUCUAAUGUCCAUUUCAUGUGAGUUUUUUUAAAUAAUUUGGAUCCCUAUAUUAGGUAUAAAUAGUGAAUUUGUCUUCAAAGAACAUGUCAGACUGUCUAGUAAGAGAAUAUAUUUUAAUUUUUCUGCUGGCUGUUUUUUAAAUUUUCAAAUUGGUGAAUUAUGAUGUUAAUGUGGUGAUUGCUGUGAUGAUGUAGAAAAUAUACGAUUUGGGAGCGAGAUCAUUUUGGAUCCACAACACUGGGCCAAUUGGCUGUCUCCCUACCAUCUUAGCCAAUUUCCCAGCUCAAAAGGAUGAGGCUGGCUGUGCAAAGUCAUAUAAUGAAGUAGCUCAGCAUUUUAACCAGAAGCUGAAGGAAGCCACAGUUCAACUUAGGAAAGAUCUACCUUUGGCUGCAAUUACUUAUGUGGACGUCUAUUCAGUUAAAUACUCUCUUUUCAAGGAACCCCAAAAAUAUGGUAAGCCACUCAACCUUAUGAUAUUCACAAAACAUACCUAUAUAAAGUUUGCAGUUUUUUUUGUUUUUUGUUUUUGCUUACCUACGUAAUUUCAAAUGACUUCAUUGGACUGAUAAGUAUAUCACCUGUCACAUAAUGUAACUCACUAAUGUGAUUUAAAAAUGUGAUCUCUUAAGCAUUAUUAAAACGGAAAGCAUAUACAAAGAAAUUUCAUGAAUGAAAUGUAUUUUCACUCUAUAUUAAAUUGGUUGCAAAUGUUUCAGGGUUUGAGCUCCCACUUGUUGCUUGUUGUGGGUAUGGUGGCAAGUACAACUAUAACAGUAGUUCUAGUUGUGGAGGAACAGCUAGAGUUAAUGGAAGCCAAAUAUUUGUUGGCUCAUGCAAAGAUCCUUCGGUGAGAGUGAAUUGGGAUGGCACUCAUUAUACUGAGGCAGCUGCCAAGUUUAUUUCUGAUAAAAUUUCAACUGGAGCAUUUUCUGAUCCACCCCUUGCUUUUAAACAAGCAUGUCACAAGAGUACUUGGCCUAAUAAUUAAAUAAAUCAAAAAAUUAAAUACGUACAGACAGAUGCAUGCAGGUGGAAAUUAUUUUGUAUUGGAAUAAUUGUGUGUGUACCUUUGUAACUGCAGGUCCCUUGAGCCGUUUAGGUGGUAAUUUAGAAUACCCAAUAAAGCAAGUGAGGUAUAACUCAGUUGGUUUAACUCUUCCACUUCCACUUAUGUAAAUCCAAUAAAGGCUUCUAUACUUGGUUUUUAAUAAAAGAGUAAUGCUAGUCAUACUACAUUUAUAUACCACCUUGUGUUGACCAUCCUGUUUUUUAGUUAUCAUUUUUCUUUCUCUUAUUUAUGAGGUUCAAUACUUCUCUUUGAAUUCGAACAUUAUUUUGAUUUAGUGUGUUUAAUCAAAGUUCCAACUAACAAUGCAAACUGAUUCGACAAAGUCUCAUAAUUAAUAUGAUUUAAUAUAUUCGACAUUUUGGGUAGAAUUUGGUUAACAAAAAGCAUUGUGUUGAGACUGUGAAUCUCACAUUGGGAACUUAAAGUCUUAGAGCAUCCACAAUCAUACUCUCUAUUUUUCAGUUAAUUUUGAGCUGAAAACAUAUUGAAGUUAUUUUAGGAGCUCUCUAUAAAAUUUAAACUCCAAUCUUGCUCUCUAGUUUAGGGAGUCAUAAAUGCUAUAACUCUUUUCCUAAUUGGUCAAUCUCCAUUAAAAAAUAAUAUAAAAAAUCAUUUGCAUUAACUAAAGGUUUGAAAUACUCAUUAAAUAAAGCAGCAUUAAAUUAUAGGGAGCCACCAGGAGUCCUUUCUCUCUCUUCAGAUUUAGGAGCUCCUAAAGGUCUCCCUAUUUUAAGGGGUGGAUAGGGAGCAUGGCUGGAAUUGUAUUUUUUCAAUUCCUCCCUAAAAUUUGUUGAAGGAGGUGGUUUAGGGAUCCCAUUGUGGAUGUGCUUAGAGCAUCUAUAAUGGACUCCCUAGACCAAAAUCCGAAAAUCUUGAUUUCAAAGUUCUUCUUUUGAUUUUCUUAUGCCUCAAAAAGUUCAUAAAUCAUUCUCUAGUUGCUUCAGCACUUGAUAAAAAUAACUUAGAACAAGAGUCCCACUUUUCAUCCUUCCAAUUGCUUCAACACUUCACCAUUUUCUUUUCUACGUCUCACAUUUGCUUUCUUAAUUCUCUCAUUGAUGUAAUAGUAAUAAACUCCAUCACCCUUAUUUCCAAGUCUUCUCUUCUUCUUCUUCCACCAUUUUCUUUUCUACGUCUCACAUUUUCUUUCUUAAUUCUCUCAUUGAUGUAUUAGUAAUAAACUCCAUCUCCCUUAUUUCCAAGUCUUCUCUUCUUCUUCUUCUUCCACCAUCUUCUUUUCGACGUAUCACAUUUGCUUUCUUAAUUCUCUCAUCGAUGUAAUAGUAAUAAACUUCAUCUCCCUUAUUUGCAAGUCAUCGUCUUCUUCUUCUUCUUCUUCUUCUUUUUCUUCUUCUGGGAGGAAGAGUGGGUUGUUGCCCUCCACAUUUCUCAGUUGGGCAAGGCAACCUUUUUUUGUUUUUUUUGUUUUUGGGUCAAAAGGGAAACUUCAUUGAAGGGAAAACAACCCAAAAGGAACAGAAAUAAGGAAAGAAAAAGAUAGCGGCCUAGGGGACAGACCCACCCAGGAGCAAGCAGAAAAAAAAAAAAAAAAACCCACAUAGACAGGCUAGAGGAAAAGAAAGCAGAAAGUAACAGAAACUAGAAGGCCACAAACUAGGACGUCACCAAAGGAGCAAGUCAGCCUCUAGCCAAAAGAAGGAGAAUAACAUGGGGGGCGAGGCAGACCAUCCGAUUGAAGAACAAACACGUGGGAAGAAGGAGGUCUAUCAAGCCAAACUUUAUCUCACUUCGUCCUCUAGCAUUAGCCGAAACGGCGUCAGCGGCCCUAUUGGCCCAGCGAGAGAUCCAUUGCCAAUCACAAGAGAUAAAAUUCCCUUCUCCCAAUAUAAUUUGUAUAAAAAUAAAUAAAUAAAUAAGUAAAACCUUUUCUAAGCGCCUAUCUGGAUUCACUUGGGGCCAACUUCUCACACGGUGCAAAUUUUGGCACUGGAUCUUCGACCAUCCGAUUGCCAAAUCGCAUUUUACCAGCUCCUGGUGGAUAUAGUCCCUUCACCCUCACUAUUCAAUACUCGGCUCGCAGUUCCUUUAACUGAAAAACAGAUCACAACUUAUUAGGCAUCGAGGCAAGAAAAAUUACUAAAGCUCUACAAUUUAUUAAUUAUUAGGGUGACACAUUAUUUUCAAGCCAAAACUUUGUGACUGGAGCUUUGUUCAAUAUGCAUGUAGGGGGAAUAUUUGCUUUAUUUCUGUCAACCUCUAUACCUCUCUGGUGGACCAAGAAUCCUAAGAAAUUUCCUGCUUGGACUCCAAAAACACAUUUUUUGGGUUCAUUUUUAGUUUGUGCUGCCUCAUUCUUAGGAAUGCCUUUCUCAAGCUUGCUACGUGGUUUCCUUCCUCGGGGGAUUUAAUCACUACGUCGUCUAUAUAUACUUCCAAGGAAUGUCCUAUCAUAUCAUGAAAAAUGGAAUUCAUUGCCCUUUGGUAAGUGGCCCCCGCAUUUCUCAAACCGAAGGGCAUUACAGUAUAUUCGAAAGCACCUAUAUGUUCUAGGCACAUAAAGGCUGUCUUGUGGAUGUCUUGUUCUGCCAUCAUAAUCUGGUUAUAACCUGCAUUGCCGUCCAUGAAAGAUAGCAUCUGGUUAUGAGCAGCUCCAUCCACUAGCAUGUCUGCCAUUGGCAUAAGAUAUUCGUCUUUGUUUGAUGCCCAAGGAGGAUUAUUUUUCCAAAUCCUUGUACACAUUUGACAUUGGCCAGAAUGACCUUCGAGAAGGGUUCUUUGCUAACUUGACUAUUCAACAAGUCAAUGCAUCUAUUCCUGAUAUAAUCAGUAGCUUCUCAGUAAAUAUUAAGGUAAUUAAUCUUCUAGUGAUAAAACUGUAUUAAUAUAACAUGUCAAACUGUCUAAUAAUACAAUAUUUUCUAUUUGCCCGCUCGCUCUUUUUUCACUUUUACUGAAUUAUAAUGUUGACGUUUACGAUGUAGAAAAUAUAGGAUUUGUGAGGGAGAUCGUUUUGGAUCCACAACACUGAGCCAAUUGGUUGUCUCCCUUACAUCUUAGCCAAUUUCCCAUCCCAAAAGGAUGAGGCUGGCUGUGAAAAGUUGCACAAUGGUAGCUCAGCAAUUUAACCACAACCUGAAGGAGGCUACAGUUUCAACUUAGGAAAGAUCUACCUUUGGCUGCAAUUACUUAUGUAGAGGUCUAUUCAGUCAAAUACUCUCUUUACAAGGUGUUCACCUGUUUUAAGUUUGCUCCUAUGACGGAAGGGUAAAGUUCCCUACUGUCUUGAAAACCAUUGACUGGUCAAUAAGUUGGCUUUCUUUAGUGUGUGAGCGUGCCACUGCUAGUAAUGAAAACCCUAGCAGACUUCUUUCAAACAGAUAAUUUGCGCCCCAAGUUACUGAUUUCUAAACAAGCGAUUAUGAAUUUGGCUGAGGAAUAUCUCCCAAGUAAGUUAUUUUCCUGCCUCAGAGUUGUGAGGACUUCAUAAUUUAUCUAAGUACAAGAUGGUAGUUAUGGCCAUAAUAAAUGAUAAUAAAGUGGGUUGUUUUUGGGCAAAACUGCCCUUUACAAAACUAGAAAGGAAAGAAUCAACUCUAGAAAGACAGAAAGAAAGCUGGAAUUCCAUUUCUGCCUGGAUAGAAGUCGCUGAUCCGGGUUGGACUGGGUAUGUCUGUGCUGGACUGAACUGUCAACAACUUCAAAUGCUUAGCUUCAGCUGUAAAUUGAUACCAAAGUUUAAUUUUGGCAGAGCUUUUAAUUUAUUUCAAGCCUUGGGAGACUUCUGAAUGGGCAGAACUGCGGCCUUUUCAGUCUGAAGGGGCCGAAGUGGCUGGAUUUGAGGACUUACUGAGCUAGAACUGCACUGUAGUACCUGUUCUGCUUGAUUAGGGCUCUCCAUAAAUUUGUUGAGGUUUUCAUAUUUGUAAAAACUCAAACUCUGCUUAUCUUGGCUUUUGCUGAACCAAAUUUGUAACGAGAGAAUUCUCGAUUUGAAUGACUUAUUUCUUUAAGUAUGAACUUGGAAGUUCUGAUCUAUAGCUGGCUUCUUUUGUGGAUCAACUGAGCUUUUAGUUGCUUCAGUUUGUUUUGAAGGUUCAAGUGAUCAUUUGAGUUUUUGCUUUUGCUUGAUUUUUGAUUGUUGGUUGAUUGUUGAAUUGAGUGUCUGUGCCUUGUUCACCUCCUCUUAUAUUUAUAAGAAAUGCUUUGUAGUAGGGUUUCUUUCUUUUAAUAAUGGGCGGCAAAAUUCUCAAAAGAUCUUUCAUUUUUUAAAUGCAAAGAAGAAAGGGUUUUAUCAAUUCUGGCAGAUAAGCUCUCAAUGGUCAGUUCUUAAGGCAAUCACUUCUCUGUUUUUGAAAAGAAAACCUAACCCCUCUUUAAUUCCCAACUGCCCCUUGUGAGAGCUCAACCGUGAUGGUUAGUUUGCUUUUCCAGUUUGAACAACUCCCUGUCUUCCUUCUUAUCUCUUUUUGAGAACAUAGCCUGCUUAUCUCUCGGACGGAUCACAUUCUCUAACGUAGAAUUGUAUAAAAAAGGAUUAUGAUCUUUUAGCCCCAAGGUUUCAGAGAAGUCUUUUGCUAAUGUCCUGCUUUCAUUUAAUUCCCAAUCACUUCUUCUAUGAUAGUUGGAAUUGUUGACUUUUUCUAAGUCAGGUAGCCAUGUGAUUUAUGAAAAUAGGGUUUUUUUUCAAAAAGGAUUUUUGCUUUCUUUUGAUCAGCUUCAGUGGUUGAUUUGCCAUUUUGUAAAAAUCAUGGGCCCUUUGAUUUGGUCUUGGGUUCUCCUUCUUUUUCUAUCAUGCCAGGCCCAGUCUGAAUUUCCGGAGCUAUGGGCUGAUUUCUUUCUUUCUGUUUUUUCUGAGGCCCAGGUUUUGUUAUGUUUUGAUGUGGGCUUGGUGGCCUUUUGUUAUUCUAGGCUCUUUUAGUGUUUGGCUGGGUGCGCCAGAUUUUGGCCCAAACAACGCCCUCUUGGAUCUGAAUUGUUUCAGAAAUGUUUUUUUAAACUUUUUAAUGGUUCAGAUUGAAUCAAUUGGCCAAUUAAUGUUGCGCGCCACUUUCUUCCGUUUCUGCUAACCCACGUCUGCCACGUCUUGUCAAUUGAGCUAGAGUUCGUGGGUAACUGGGUAGUUACAAGCUAGCUACUAGCUUAGCUCAACGACAGAUGACGCUUAGUCUUCUUCUUCUUCCCACAUUUCUGAACUUUUUAAAAGAGAUUCAAACUCAUAGUCCUGUUCAUUCGAAAACCUAGCUUCUCAAACCUUGCCCUUUCCAGUGUUCUUCAAAGUUCCUACCUUUCUCUUUGCUCAGACUUUAAUCCUUCAUUUGUCUUAAUUCGCAAUCCCUGUAAAAUGUCUUCUCCAAAAACUCGUGCCCAGGGUUUGUCUUCUUCAGUUCUGCCAAAUUACGUCACUGGGACUAAGGUUGACAAUCACGCGAUAGAGGUCAAAAGCAAGCUCCACCCUUUUGCCAAGAAAAAUCUGGACGAGAAUGUCCUCCACCUAGUUGAGAAUACCCUAGUUUUGGGUCCUCACUGGUUUGGUUCUGUCCCUACCGAGAUGGCAAAACUGUUCAAAAACGACGCUGAAGCUCCCCUAUGUUUCGAGAGUUCUUCUGCCCUGGCCUCUUACACCUAGGUCAGCAAGAACCUGAGCCGCUUGUUCCCAUCUAGUGAGUCCAGGAAAGUGGGCAGACUGGAUUGACAGACUUCUCCCACGGUAUGUGGCUCACUGGAAGAGGCUGGCAUCUAUGAUGCAAUUCUUUUGUCCAAGCAAUCUAUCAAUAGAGACGAAAAUCUUCUGGCUGCUGCCCUCUGCUUCUGGAACUUCGCCAGCAACACCUUUGAUUUUCGUGUGAGCCCUAUGGCUCCAACUUUACUGGAUAUGGCUCAGGUUUUUAGGUUCAAGCUCUAUGGAAGACCUGUAGACGCAGUGGGAGACUGUCACAGGAGAAAGAAGCAGGAGAGACUAACAAAGCCUUUUAUUGUCUCUUCAACCAUAAUCAACCAAAACUGCUCAUUCUCCAACUAUUUGAAGAAGUUUAGUGCUGAGAAGGACGAGGAUCAGCCGCACAUGCUAUUCCUUCUAUUCUGGCUGAACAAAUUUAUAUUUUCGAACCGUUCUUCGGCAGUAUUGCUCGAAUAUAGGCACCUGGCAGAAGCACUGCACAACCAUACGGAUGUCGGGCUUGGGCCUACAGUUCUGGCGCACUUAUUCAAGAAUCUGCACAUUGCCACUUUGGAGAAUCCACUGAACCUGUCUGCUCUCGGCGCAUUCUGUAUGAUCCAGAUCUGGCUGCAGGUGUAUUUCCCUAAGUUGAGGUUUCCAGACAUAGUUCUGCCUGAAAAUCAAGUCUUGGCUCUUCCUCUAAAUACGAAGAGGUCAGUAGCUUAGUGGCAGGUGGUGAUUAGAAGGACCUAUCUUUGGUUCCAGCCUGGAUACUGGCUGUUCGAGAAGGAGCCAGAAGAGGAGGCCGCCAGAAUUGAUUUCAGGAAGAAGUUCCUGAGCGUCACCCUGCCAAGAGAUCUGCCUCAUGGAGUUGGGAAGCCUCCAAAUUAUCAUCUAGGGGCAGAAGCAUACCAUCCCAACUUCUGCGCAAGACAGCUUGGCUGCCCUCAGCUUGUUCCACUCAAAUCUUACAGGUGCUGCAAUCGAGCUACUUCUUGGAAGGACUUAGAUAGCUUGGAAGUGCACAAGGAUGCUAGGUGUGCGGUGAACAAGAUAAACAAUAGUGCAGAUGCCCUCUAUCCAUCCUGGGAGCCUAAUUCCUGCAGUUCUACCGAGUUUGACGCUUGGUGAAAAGCUAGAUUCCAAGGUCUUCCUGCCUCCAGUACUGCACUGAAAAUCCUUUUUGAUGGCUGGGACUCCUAGGUUGUUCAUGCAGGAAUGGAAACUCACAAAUUCAUGGUGCAGACCAUCAAGGACAUUAAUGCUCAAGUCAUAGAAGGUAGACUUUCAAUUUUGUCUUUGUUUUGCUCAUUCUGCCCUUUGUGAUGAUGCUUAAUAUUUUUGUUCUGUCUGCAUCAGACCCUUCUUUGACAAGGAACAUCGGUGGACAGUCUGUCCAGGCUGGAGAAGUCAUUAGUAAGUUUUUUUUUAUUGUUCUAUUCUUUCUAUUAUUUUUCUGCUGGAUUGAUUUCUGACUCUGUCUAUUUCCUGUGUAGUGACUUCUGUCAUUAUUGCUGGGGAUUUGGAGCUUCCUUCUGGAGAUGAGGAGGAUGAAACCCUAGCAGAACAACCUCCUAUUGAGGCUACUCCUUCUGCCAGAAAGAAGAAGAAAGAAACUGCUCCUGCUAAAGACAGUGCUGUCCUGCCUGACAUUUCUGCUAAGAUUCUGACAUUUCCAACUAUUUCCUUGAAUCUGUUCUAUUUUGCCCAUUCUUCUAACCUUUAUUUCACUAUUCUGUGUAGUUGAAAAUCAUCCUCCUCCUCCUACUACUAAGUCCAAAAGACUUAGAAAGAGGAGUGUGGUGGAGUAUGUGGCCACAGAAGAACCUACAGCAGCUCCCACAACCACUUCUGGCACAGAUGAAGAACUUAGGGAGGCUUUUGAAGUUGUGGAGCAGGAGAAGGAGCAAGGAGAAGAAAACGAAGAAGCUCAAGAGAAGACGAAAGAGAUGGAAGAGGAGGUUAGUCUUGUUUUUUGGCUGUACCAGCAAUUUCUGUCUUUGUAUAUCUUCUGUUUCUGAUUUCUGCUUAUUUGUAGGAGGAAAUUCCUACUAAGGUGAUAGCAGAAAGUAUUGCCUUGGCCAAACAGCAAGAGAAGGCUCAGAGGGCUAAACCCACAAGCUCAGAACUGGCCUUUUUUGAUGAUUUGGAGGCAGAACACUCUGCUUUAGUUCAAGUGCCUGUGGUGCAGGCAGAACCGUAAGCUUCAGAACCUGUGGAACAGGCAGAACUUCCUGUUGCUGUCCCAGAAGCUGAAGUUGAGGUAGCUACUGAUGUUCCCGAUCUUGUGGUAACUUUCUACUCUUACUCCACCUCCGCCUGCCUUCUAUAGUUCUGUCCCGUUUUUGCUUUUCUGACUAUCAGUCUUUGCAGGUUGAAGUGCCCAGAACUGCUGGGACCUUGACAGUGGUGACCAGCCCUCUAAAGCAUCCAAUCGUUGCUGUGAGUAUUCUUGUACCUUAGUCCUUUUUUCUUUUCUUGUUCUGACUCAUUUUUGAAAGACUGACUUGAGCUUAUUUUGCAGAUGCCCAUCCAUUCUCUUCCAGGUUCAUCCAUCACGGCCUCCUUUGCUGAUCCAGAAUUGACAGAGUUUGAAGCUAUGGAUCUGGAUGCUCAGCUGGAUAAACUGGAAAAACUUAGCUCCACUCCAAGCAAGGUAAAGUCCAAGGCAGUGGAGGAGGCCAUAGAGAGGCUAAAGAUCUGGCAAUCUUCUAAGCUGGAACUGGUUGAGGACAAGGAGGCUGUUGAUCAAUUGAUGAAGGACCUGGACCUUCUGCACAGACAGAACAUGGCUCCCAAGCCUAUACUUGAGAUGAGCCUUGGCUUGGCAAGAGAUGAGCUCAACCUCUAUGGCCGUUAUGAGGAUCUGAAGCCCACCUUCAAGACCUCUGAGUUCUGCAAAGCAACUCAUGAAGCCAACUUGGCUUAUUACGCGAAACAGAAGGCAGAACUGGAUCAGAUGUUUGCGGGGUAUAAGGAAGCCAAGGCCACUGCAGACAGGCUAGAGAAACAGAUUGAGGAGCUUCAAAAGAAGUUGGCAGAAUGCAGGGAAAUGUAGAGCAGGCUUGGGGCUGGCCUGAGUUCUAAGACCAAGGCUACCUUUCCUGUGCAAAGCAUGGUUGCAGCCUCUAGACCAGCUUUGAAAAUUGCAGAGGCUUCAAUCCACCAAGGAGUGUUGCUUCAGAAGGAACUUUCGAUCAAGAAAACCAGUUUGCAAGAAACCCUUAGGAAGUUAGGGUUUUGACCUUAGAUUCUGAAUGUAAUAAACAAUUAGUCAUAACAAAUGACUAUAUUUAAAUAAAAAGCCUAAUUAUUUUGUGAAACUUUGCAUUUUUUUUUUCUUUGGCCUAAAUAAAAACGAAACGGGGCAGAAAUACACUAAGGCAAAUUUUAAAGCACAUCUCUAAUCAAGAAUUUAAACAACAGCUCUAUCCUUUUCUUUUUCAAUCCCAGGAUCCGUUUGUACUGCCUGUGAAUCCCACAUAGUUGGAUGGAACUUCUUUAACCACUUUCCAUUUAUUGGUGCAGCAUGAACAACUCCAUCUUGAUCCUGUAAUCUGUAUGCCCCCAAUCCAAGGAUUUUGUUAAUUAUGAAAGGCCCUUCCCAUGUAGGUGACCACUUCCCAUAACCAGCUAUGUGUGUUCCAAGGGGCAGAACUGCUUUCCAGACUAUCUCUCCUUCUUCAAAACUCUUGUUUUUAACUCUUUUGUUGUAGGCCCUGGAUACAACCUGCUUUCCUGCUAAGAGUUUGUUGAGGGUAUCAAUCCUACUUGUAUCCAAUCCUUCCAGUUCUAGAAGCAUGGCUUGAGAAUAAUCCUCUCCAACCAUAUUGUGUUGAUGAGCAAUAAUGAGGGACUGAACUUCUAUUUCCAUAGGCAGAAUUGCAUCAUAGCCAUAAGUCAGAGCAUAGGGGGUCAUGCCAGUUGCCUCUCUUUUUGAAGUUCUAUAUGCCCACAGAGUUUUUAACAACUUCUCAUGCCACUGUUUUGGAUUUGUCUCACAUUUUUCUGAUAAUGUUGAUGAUCACCUUGUUACUUGAUUCUGCCUGCCAUUGGCUUGAGCAUAAUAAGGAGUGGAUUGAAGCAGCUUGAAUUUGAACGCUUCUGCCAUAUCUAGCAUCUCUCCAUAUAUGAAAGAAUAUCCCCUGUCAAUUGUGAUUGAUUCUGGAAUGCCAAACCUUUGUAUAAUCUGCUCUUCUAUGAAAGUGAUGAUCUCUUGAGAUGUAGUGGACUUAACAGGCUUGGCUUCCACCCAUUUGGUGAAAUAAUCUGUAGCUACAAUGAUGAAAUAGUGCUGCAUGCUGCUAGCUGGAUAGAUCUUGCUAAUGAGGUCCAUUGCCCAUCCUCUAAAAGGCCAUGGCUUGACUACUGGAUUCAUGGGAACUGAAGGAGCCUGUUGGAUUGGACCAUGCCUUUGACAAGCCUCACACCCCUUGGAAUAAACAAUGCAAUCCUUUAUCAUAGUUGGCCAGAAGUAGCUAUAUCUCCUAAUUAACCAGCACAUUUUUCUUCCUCCUUGAUGAGCUCCACAGAUUCCUUCAUGGGUCUCUCCCAUGACCUUCAUAUAUUCUUUCUUUCCUAAGCACCUUAGAAGUACCUCAUCUUUGCUUUUUCGGACCAAAUCUCCAUUCCACAUAAAGUAGUUCAAAGCCAUGAUUCUGAUUUUUUUCUCAGAGGGCAGGGUUGGAUACUGCAAGUAAUUUAUAAUGGGAUUUCUCCAAUCAUCUUCAGGGAUUAUGGCAGAAUUGACAUCUAUCUCCAUCCCUCUGGUUAGAACAGAUGGUAAACUUUUCUUUCCUACCUUAAUGAUCCUUUGUACACAGUCUUCAGGCAUUUGUAUACCUGUUGCUACCUGAGCCAAUUCAUUGGCUGCAAAGUUUUCUUCUCUCGGGAUAUGUUCCUAAGUAGCUUCUCUGAAUUCUGUCAGAAGAUUCCUGGCUGCUACUAAAUAGACAGCUAAAGAAGGACUUAGACACUUGUAUUCUCCAGCAAUCUACUUUAACGCAAGCAUAGAAUCUCCCAAGAUUUCCACUAACUGGAUUCCCAACUCUACCAGCAUUUCAAGUCCUAUGAUUGAAGCUUCAUAUUCAGCCCUGUUGUUAGUGCAUUGGAAGUCUAGCUGGAAACAAUAAUAGUGUCUGAUUCCUAGUGGUUCCUCCAAAACAAUUCCUCCCCCAGAAGCUGCAUCAGUUUUUGAUCCAUCAAAGUACAGCUUCCAAGGUGUGAGGUGGAUUGAAUAGAUGGGAUUGUUAAGGCAAGUAUGGGCUCUAGUCAACAAAUUUGCAUUUGCUAUAUCCAAAGAGUCCAUGUUUUCAAUCUCUUCCCUUGGAUGAUCUACUAGAAAAUCUACUACAGCUUGUCCUUUGACGGCUUUCUGAGGAACAUAUAUGAAAGCAAAUUCUGUCAAAGCUAGAGUCCAUUUUCCAAUUCUGCCUCUCAACAUUGGCCUUGUCAGCAUGUAUUUGAUUAGGUCUGUCUUGGCGAUGAUGUAGAUGGUAAAUGGCAGAAUGUAGUGUCUGAGUUUCACAACAGUGAAGUAUAAGGCUAGACAAAGCCUUUCAAUUGCAGAAUAUUUCCUUUCUACCUCUAUCAGAGUUCUGCUCAGAUAGUAGACUCCCUGUUCCUUCCCUUCCUUGUUAUCUUGAACCAACAGACUCCCUAUGGACACUUCUGAUGCAGAAACAUAGAGUUUGAGUAGUCUGCCUCUCUUUGGUGGGGACAGAACUGGUGGGUUUGAGAGGUAGUGCUUGAUUUCCUCAAAAGCCUUUUGAUGCUGUUCUUUCCAUUUAAAUGUCUGUUCUUGCUUUAACCUCAGCAAUGAGGAGAAUGGCUGAAUUUUUCCUGCAUAAUUAGAUAUGAAUCUCCUUAGAAAAUUAAUUUUUCCAAGGAGACUCUGUAGUUCUUUCUUGUUCCGAGGUGGGAAAGCUUCUAUGAUGGAUUUUGCUUUAUUUUUGUCAAUCUCUAUGCCCCUUUGGUGAACCAAGAAACCUAAAAAAUUUCCCGCUUGAACUCCAAAAACACACUUCUUGGGAUUCCUUUUCAACUUAUGUUGUCUCAUUCUUAAGAAUGCUUUUCUCAGAUUUGAUACAUGAUCUCCCUCUUCUGGGGAUUUAAUCACAACAUCAUUUAUAUAUACCUCUAGAGAAUGACCUAUCAUAUCAUGAAAAACAGAAUUCAUUGCUCUUUGAUAAGUGGCCCCUGCAUUUCUUAGGCCAAAAGGCAUUACAGUGUAUUCAAAAGCACCUAUAUGUCCUGGGCACAUGAAAGCUGUCUUAUGGAUGUCUUCUUUUGCCACCAUAAUCUGAUUAUAUCCUGCAUUACCAUCCAUAAAAGAUAGUAUUUGGUUAUGAGCAGCUCUAUCUACUAGCAUAUCUGCCAUUGGCAUGGGAUAUUCAUCAUUGGGAGAUGCUUCAUUCAGAUUCCUGUAAUCCACACAGAUUCUAACUGCCCCUGUUUUUCUUUUCAAGACUGGAACAAUAUUGGCUAACCAAUCAUCAUAAAUGGCCGGUCUGAUGAAUCUUGCCUUAAGCAAUCUUUCUAUUUCUUCCUUGACUUUGAGUUCUGUCUCCAUGGACAUUCUUCUUCUGGCCUGUUUGACUGGAAUGUAGCUUUUUUUGAUUGGCAACUUGUGUUCUACCAGUUUUCUGUCUAGUCUAGGCAUCUCAUGAUAAUGCCAAGCAAAACAGUCUCUAAAAUCACGCAAAAGUGCAAUGAUUUCACUCUUGAGUGGUUCUUUCAAUAGUGCACUAAUGAAAGUAGGUCUUGGAUCCUCUUCUGUCCCUAAGUUUAUCUCCUGUAAUGGAUCUUCUACUUCUGGUAAAGAAUCAUCUAGUGCUGCUGGUGCAAAUUCUAAAACUUCAUCCUACAAACUCUCUUCUUCUUGUUCUUCCGUGCUCUCGUGAGUGAAUUCUGCCAUAUUAAUGGCUGGAUUCUGCAUAUAGAGCUCCAUUUCUUCCCAAUAUAUCAACAAUCUUUUUGUAAUGGAUCGGAUUGUUGCAGCUCAAUCCUUUUCUUGUUGAUUGAGACUAAACAUUAGAAUUCUAGAGGUUUAGAACAAAAGGUCUAUUACAGUCUUCUAGAGAACUGGCUAAACCAUCUUCAAUGAGUCUCUGGGCCGUGACACCAUGGGGGCGGCCGUUCUGGUUGACUCCAAGGAAAGUGAAAGGUUUAAGGUCAUCAUGAUAAUACCUUGCCUCAAAACACACGGCAGAGGGGAGAAAUGGUCGUGGAUUGGCCUCUACUAUCUCCGUGUAACCCUCUUCAUUCCAUAAAGCUAGUUGCUGAUGUAGAGUGGAAGGAAUACAUAAGCUUUGGUGAAUCCAGUCCCUGCCAAGUAAUGCAUUGUAAGUGGUUGACGUGGUGUCCACCACAAAGAAUGCAAUCUUUAGCUCUUUGGUUCCAACUAUGACAUCUACAUCCAAGAUUCCGUGAGUUUUAGUGAUGCCCCCAGCAAAGUUGGUGACAGUUAAGCGUGUUAGGAUUAAAUCCUUCUCUGUUCUGCCCAUCUUGCUCAACAAUCUGUGAGGUAGAAGAUUAAUGGCUGCACCUCCAUCUACCGUGACUUUGAGAAUGGGAACACCCCUAAAGUUUGAUGUUAUGAACAGAGGUCUGAGGUAGAAGAUUAAUGGCUGCACCUCCAUCUCUUUCUCUCUCUCUCUCUCUCUCUCUCUCUCUUUCUCUCUCUCUCAUUAUCUUCUCCCUCCCGCCAACAACUCACCUCUCUUAGCUCUAAAACAAUCAGCUUCAUUAGGGAAGAUCCCUUAGCUAGGUGAGUCAUAACUUUAAUCUAGGUGACUCAUCCUUUCAUAAUGGUGGAUUUGAAAGCUUGAGGCAAGGGGGAAAGAAUGGGAGGAAUAGUGGGUUGUUGCCCUCCACGUUUCAGAUUCUUCUCUUCUUUCUCUUUUUUUUAAAAAUGCCUACAAGGGCAUUUUGGUAAUACUCACGGAUAUUUUGGUCAUUUUAGCCCAAAAUUCAGAAACGAUUUCCUAUGCGUUCGUUGAGUUGACCACUAUCGUCCUACCUCAUAAUCAUAAUUUUUUAACUCCAAUUUCUUAUACUUUGAAAAUUUCACAAAAUGUUACGUACAUGCAUUUUUGUCCAACUUGAAAUUAAACACACUUAAUCCAAUUGUCUCAAUCCAAAGUCGCUUGAUAAAAUACCCAUAAUCAUUCUACACCAUAAUAUUAAUUUUUCACUGAAAUAUGAAAUUCCACCUUGAUUUUUCAGGGUAUUACAUCAAGCUAUAACUCGUUAUAAAAAGAAACAAAUUACAAUCAAUAUAGGAAAUCUGGUCAACUCACGCCAACAUGGACCGUGGGAAAUUACGUGAUCAUAUUAACUAUGACAACUUGGUUUGGGGGUUGAGGGGAUUUGAUUUGACAAUAAAGCUAAAUUUGUAAUUGCCGCAUUACUAUAGGCUUUACUCACCAAAAAAGAAGAUAACUACUGCUGACUUCUUUUUAGUGCAACAACAAGAACCACAUAAGAGACUACUGCAUUUGACUAACUAUUACCAUAUGGUCUAUUGUGAGGAGUCACAUAGAUGUCAUAUCUUACAAAUUGCAUCUUACAGACAUUAUUUACAUUUGAAACCAAACAACUUUUCUAGGUUCUUCAAUCCUAGAAAUAAAAUGCUGAAAUGUCAGCUAGCUAGAUUUCUAGAUGGUUGAAAGAAAACUUACGCAACUUAGCAUUUCUGGCUUUCUACAAAUACAGUCGAAAAUUCCACCUUUUCCUUGCACUAUAAAAGGAACGUACUCUUGGAUAAUUUAUUACUUCUCAUCUGCAACAUCUUUGUGGUAUAUAUUUGCUUUCCCCACUAUGGAGUCUCCUAGAAUUCCUAUCAAAGCUAUCGUUUCUCUAUUUUGCUCUUAUAUGCUUUUGUGGCAUAUCACCACUUUGAGCCCUACCUUGGCUUUGGAAGACUGUGAGUUUCCAGCCAUCUUUAACUUUGGAGAUUCAAAUUCAGAUACUGGUGGAUUGGCUGCAUCCCUUUCGGCACCACCACCACCUUAUGGGGAGACCUAUUUUCAUAUGCCGGUUGGAAGAUUCUCAGAUGGCAGGGUCAUAAUCGAUUUUCUUGGUAUGCAUUUUUGGUUUUUGGUUUUUUUUUUAAAUAUUUAUUUAGGAAAAGGUAUUAAUAGUAUAUGUUUUGGUCCGUUUAGAUGAGGAAAAAUAACUCGGAAUUUAACUAAGAGUCGGGAAUUUAAGAGGAGAAAUUGACAAUUCCUUUGUUUGGCAACUUAAGCACAAAAUUUAUUCAAUGACAUGUGGAAAAAAUCGUGAAAAUUGGGGCAUCAAAUUCCCGGAUUUAAUUUCCACCGAAAUAUGCGUCAUUUCACAAUUUCCACAGUGUUAUUUACAAAAUUCGACACAUAUAAAUCCAAACACUGAAAUUUUCAAUUGCCAGAAAUUAAAAUGAUGAAAAUCUAAAUUCCGUUAUUUUAGAAUUUCAUGUAAAUUUCAAUUCCUUUAUCCAAAAUUUAAAUUAAUUCUCAUCUUAUUCUUAUGGCCGACAAUUCAAACAUAUAUAAAAAAAUAAAAAGUCGUGAUUUGCAGGAAAGAGUCGUGAUUUGCAGGCUGGUGGUUCUAGGUUCGAAAUACUUGACACGGUGUGUAUAAAAAAUAAAAAAUAAAAAAUAAAAACCUUCCCAUAAUAUGGACAUGAGUUGGCAUAAUACCUCUAUUUGCAUCAGUACUUUGUACUAAAUGAUAAGUUUUUUUCCUUUUCCACAUGCAUUUUUCCAAAAUUCUUGUCUAAUAAAACUUGUGGUUCAGCAAAGAAUCUUGGUCACUCCUUUCUAAGCGCAUAUCUGGAUUCCCUUGGGAGCAACUUCUCGUAUGGUGCAAAUUUUGCCACUGGAGGCUCCACCAUCAGAUUGCCAGAUCAAAUUUUUCCAGCUGGUGGAUUUAGUCCCUUCUACCUCAAUAUUCAGUACAUGCAGUUCAUGCAACUAAAAUCCAGAUCACAACUCAUUAGGCAUCGAGGUAAAAAUCUAAAUAUUUAUUACUUAUUAGGGUAACAAAUUAUUUUCAAGCCAAAAAACUUUGUGACUGGAGCUUCGUUUAAUUUGUAUAUAGGGGGAAUAUUUGCAAGUUUGAUGCCCAAGGAGUCGUAUUUCUCGAAAGCUUUAUACACAUUUGACAUUGGCCAGAAUGACCUAACAGAAGGGUUCAUUGGUAACAUGACUGUUCAACAAGUCAAUGCAUCUGUUCCUGAUAUAAUCAUUGGCCUCUCGGCAAAUAUUAAGGUAAUUAAUCUUCUAGGUGAUAAAGUUGCGGUUCAGCAAAGAGUCUUGGUCAAUACUCAAUGGGGGCCCAACUCAUUGUCAAUUAUAUUUUAAGAUCCUAUGUUCAACAAUUGGUCGUGUCUCUAUUAUCUUUCUCAUACAUUCAAAUAUUUAGUUAUAUACAAAUUCUUAGCAUUAAUAAUAUAAAUAAACUCUACAGCAUUUUAUUUUUAUUAAUACACCAAAUAAAUAAAUAAAUGACAGUUUACCCUAUUAAAUUUAAUUUUAAUUAUUAAAUUACUUUGAUAUCCUAUUGAGUGUUUUGGAUUUUUUUUAAUGAGGUUUUGGAGUUUGGCUUGUUUUAAGAAAUUGAUGGUAGUUUUGUAAUUCAUAAAAAGUUCGAAGCCUCUUUGUUAUGUUGUAAAUGGGGUUUGGGUGUGUUUCUAAAGUCCAUUUCAUGUGAGUUUUUUUUAAGUAAUUUGGAUCCCUAAAUUAGGAAUAAAUAGUGAAUCUGUCUUCAAAUAACAUGUCAGGCUGUCUAGUUAGAGAAUAUAUUUUAAUUUUUCAGCUUGCUGUUUUUUAUUUAUUUUACUUUUGGUGAAUUAUGAUGUUAAUAUGGUGAUUGCUGUGAUGAUGUAGAAAAUAUAUGAUUUGGGAGCGAGAUCAUUUUGGAUCCACAACACUGGGCCAAUUGGCUGUCUCCCUUCCAUCUUAGCCAAUUUACCAGGUCAAAAGGAUGAGGCUGGCUGUGCAAAGUCAUAUAAUGAAGUAGCUCAGCAUUUUAACCAGAAGCUGAAGGAAGCCACAGUUCAACUUAGGAAAGAUCUACCUUUGGCUGCAAUUACUUAUGUGGACGUCUAUUCAGUUAAAUACUCUCUUUUCAAGGAACCGCAAAAAUAUGGUAAGCCACUCAACCUUAUGAUAUUCACAAAACAUACCUAUAUAAAAUUUGCUUUUUUUUUUUUGUUUUUUUGUUUUAGCUUACAUACGUAAUUUCAAAUGAUUUCACUGGAUUGAUAAGUAUAUCACUUGUCACAUAAUGUAAUUCACUAAUGCGGUUUAAAAAUGUGAUCUCUUAAGCAUUAUUAAAAUGGAAAGCAUAUGCAAAGAAAUUCCAUGAAUGAAAUCUAUUUUCACUCUAUAUUAAAUUGGUUGCAAAUGUUUCAGGGUUUGAGCUCCCACUUGUUGCUUGUUGUGGGUAUGGUGGCAAGUACAACUAUAACAGUAGUUCUCAAUGUGGAGGAACAGCUAGAGUUAAUGGAAGGCAAACAUUUGUUGGCUCAUGCAAAGAUCCUUCGGUGAGAGUGAAUUGGGAUGGCACUCAUUAUACUGAGGCAGCUGCCAAGUUUAUUUCUGAUAAAAUUUCAACUGGAGCAUUUUCUGAUCCACCCCUUGCUUUGAAACAAGCAUGUCACAAGAGUUUGGCCUAAUAAUUAAAUAAAUAAAAAAAAUUAAAUACGUACAGACAGAUGCAUGCAGGUGGAAAUUAUUUUGUAUUGGAAUAAUUGUGUGUGUACUUUUGUAACUGCAGGUCCCUUGAGCCAUUUAGGUGGUACUUUAGAAUACCCAAUAAAGCCAGUGAGGUAUAACUCAGUUGGUUCAACUCUUCCACUUUCACUUAUGUAAACUCAAUAAAGGCUCAUAUACUUGAUUUUUAAUAAAAGAGUAAUGCUAGUCAUACUACAUUUAUAUACCACCUUGUGUUGACCAUCCCCUUUUUUAGUUAUCAUUUUUCUUUCUCUUAUUUAUGAGAUUCAAUACUUCUCUUUGAAUUCGAACAUUACUAUGAUUUAGUGUGUUUAAUCAAAGUUCCAACUAACAAUGCAAACUGAUUCGACAAAGUCUCAUAAUUAAUAUGAUUUAAUAUAUUCGACACUUUGGGUAGAAUUUGGUUAACAAAAAGCAUUGUGUUGAGAGUGUGAAUCUCAUGUUGGGAACUUAAAGUCUUAGAGCAUCUUCAAGGGAGAUGUCAAAUACUAAACGUUAAAUUUAAAUUUGAUAGCUGAUGUGACAAUUUGAUAUUUUACACAUCCACCCAAUAUGUCAAAUUAAAUUAUUAUUUUAUUACAUUUUAGUGUUGAUUUAUUUUUAAUUAAAAAUAAAAUAAAAUAAAAUAUUCAUUUGACAUCUUUCUUUUAGGAUGUCAAAAAUAACAUAUCAACCUCCAGCCUUCAUUCCACAUCAGCUUUGGCACAUCGGUUGAAGUGAUGUGAGAUGUUAUUCUAGCCAUUAAAUGUCUAUGUGGCACUUUUGACACAUCGGUUGGAGAUGCUCUUAGAGAAUCCACAAUCAUACUCUCUAUUUUUCAGUUAAUUUUGAGCUAAAAACAUAUUGAAGUUAUUUAGGAGCUCUCUAUAAAAUUUAAACUUCAAUCUUGCUCUCUAGUUUAUGGAGUCAUAAAUGCUAUAACUCUUUUCUAAUUGGUCAAUCUCCAUUAAAAAAUAAUAUAAAAAAUAAUUAGCAUUAACUAAAGGUUUGAAACACUCAUUAAAUAAAGCAACAUUAAAUUAUAGGGAGCCACUAGGAGUCCUUUCUCUCUCUUCAAAUUUAGGAGCUCCUAGAGAUCUCCCUAUUUGAGGAGAUGGAUAGGGAGCAUGGCUGGAGUUGCAUUUUUUCAAUUCCUCUCUAAAAUUUAUCUAAGAAUGUGGUUUAGGGAUCCCAUUGUGGAUGUUCUUAGAGCAUCUAUAAUGGACUCCCUAAACUAAAAUCCAAAAAUCUUGAUUUCAAAAUUCUUCUUUUGAUCUUUUCUUAUGCCUCAAAAAGUUCAUAAAUCAUUCUCUAAUUGCUUCAGCGCUUGACAAAAUGAACUUAGUCCCACUUUUCAUCCUUCCAAUUGCUUCAACACUUCACCAUUUUCUUUUCUACGUCUCACAUUUGCUUUCUUAAUUCUCUCAUUGAUGUAAUAAACUCCAUCUCCCUUAUUUCCAAGUCUUCUCUUCUUCUUCUUCCACCAUUUUCUUUUCUACGUCUCACAUUUUCUUUCUUAAUUCUCUCAUUGAUGUAAUAGUAAUAUACUCCAUCUCCUUUAUUUCCGAGUCUUCUCUUCUUCUUCUUCCACCAUUUUCUUUUCUACGUAUCACAUUUGCUUUCUUAAUUCUCUCAUCGAUGUAAUAGUAAUAAACUCCAUCUCCCUUAUUUCCAAGUCGUUGUCCUCUUCUUCUUCUUCUGGGAGGAAGAGUGGGCUGUUGCCCUCCACGUUUUAGAUUCUUCUCUUCUUUCUCUCUUUUUUUUUUUAAAAAAAAAUUACAUAUAAGGGCAUUUUGGUCAUUUUCACAUGGAAGGGUAUUUUGGUCAUUUUGCUCAAACUUCAUAAACAAUUUCCUGCGCGUUCGUUGAGUCGACUACUAUUGUCCUACCUCAUAAUCAUAAUUUUUUCAAUCCAAUUUCUUACACUUCCUUUGAAAAAUUCACAAAAUGUUACAUAAGGGCAUUUUUGUCCAACUUGAAAUUAAACACACUUAAUCCAAUAGUCUCAAUACAAAAUCACUUGAUAACAUCAAGCUGUAGCUCGUAAUUCUAUUUAGAGUAGAAAAUCAAAAUUAGAAAAAGAAACAAAUUGCAAUCAAUAUGAGAAAUCUGGUCAACUCACACCAACAUGGACCAAGGUAAUCAACUUGUGGGUGGAGGGAUUUGAAUUUGACAAUAAAGCUAAAUUCGUAAUUGCAGCGUUACUAUAAGCUUUACUCACCAAAAAAGAAGGUAACUACUGCUGACUACUUUUAGUGCAAAAACAAGAACCACAUAAGAGACUGCUGCAGUUGACUAACUCUCAUCAUAUGGUCCAUUGUGAGGAGCUGUUGUAUAUAUUAGCCAUAACUCUAUGCUUGAUCAAAAUGAUCAUCACACCCAGCAAAAACCAGAAAAUGGCUAACACACCCAUGCUAUGACAGCUGUUGUGCUCCAACGUCACAAAGACAUAUUCAACACAAGCACAAGCAUAUUCUUUGUUCUUAUCCGCUGAGUCAUCCUCAGGGAUCCUUGUCCUAUGAUUUUCUGUAUAGUCUCUUGUGUAUAUAUAUGCACCUUUUACCUCAAUUGUAAAUGUCAAGAGCGGCAAUUUUUUAUUGUCUCAUACAUUGAUUGUAACCCAAGUAUUAGACAGUGAGAAAGAAACUGAAAGGAGAAGAGUGCCCGCCCAUGUCCCAGGAUAAGUAACUUCAUUUGCAUUGGCAAUACUCGUCCGUCCGUGGUACUUAGAAAAUCAUUGGGAUCAAACGUAAGACGGUUAGUUGCGCCCAAAAUAAUUAUCCUGCCAAUGGAAUCAUUCUUAUCAUAAGUACGGAAAACAUAACCACGGUUACAUAAGUCACUGAGGGUCGUAGAACCAUCAUCAAGUGUCGAAGCACUAGAAGAACCUACCUGAGGAACAAAAGAUAACUAGGUUUCGGCAGUUCACUACUACAAAAAGUGAAAAAGACGACCAGAAAACAACGACGGUCUAAGUGAAAACCGUCGUGGUUUAUAAAAAGACGACGGUUCUAAAAACACCGUCGUGUAAUACAACCUUAGACAACUAAAAAAUGGAGUUUCAAAUGGCUGUUCAAAAACAACGACGUACAUAACUAAACAACCGACGUCUAUUUGAAACAGAUUUCCGCAGUGUAAAAUCAAUGCCAACAAAGAACGGCAGAAGUUAUGAAUCGACCGACGUAGAAAGUAAAGACGACGAUUUCAAUAAAAACUGCCGUUUUUACUCAUAAAAUAACACGACGAGGUUUUCGUAUAAGACGCCGUAUAAUUACAAACAAAUCCACGGCUUUAAAAUACAAAAUAUCGCCGUAUUAAAUUAAUUUACAACGACGGAAAAUAUAAAUAUAUCGACGUCAUUCUCGUAUAGUUCUACUACGUUAUCUUUAAAUCGUACAAUAAAAUUUAUCGUCGUAUUUAUUCAUUUUAUACGUCGUACCUUUAAUUUUAACGGUCGUCUUAAUAAGAAUUUUUGUUAACAAUUUUUUUCUUUGAUUUUCUUAUCCUACGUCGGUAGAUCUACUUAAUGACAAGAAUUGAAAUAACCACGACGGUUUAUAUAGAACACCGCCGACAUAAUCAGUUUUGUCUGAGAUCCCAAGGGUUACGAAAUCUUACCAGAUGGAACUCUGUUCCACAUCAUAAUCUUAACAGAUGACACAGAUUUGCAAAUAUUGCGUCGUGUUAGUUUACAAAUUCUAGAACAUUAAUUUCCCUCAUUUUAAAUUUCCUCGGGAAAGAAAAAUCUAUUUAUCACGCUUUGGAAUUGAAAACUAAAACUGAAAGAAUACGGGAAAAAAAACUCCAUUUAUAAUUUAAAAUUAAAAUCCACGUCGGUUGUAGUACACUUAACGACGUUUAACAAAAUAAUCUACGUCGGUAAUUAUAAAUCUACCGCCAUCGUAACUUAAUAUAGACGACGAGAAAAGACGACGGUAGAACAGAAAACCGCCGUUGUUUCAGUUUCUUUAACAUAUCUUUCUGCAGGACUUGUGUAGUUCAAAGCAUUGACAAUGUCUUCAUCAUAUCUCCCAGAAACUACUGAUUCAAUUGCUCAUGCUUUAGAGGCCAUCUGAAGCCAUUUCUAUUCUUUAUCGCAUUCUUGAAACCCAUCUUCUUCUUCUGAAGCUCUACGGAUAAAGGAAGAGGCUAUCACAAUAAAUCCGACGGAUCUUCUUAGGCAAGAAAAUCAAGCAGAGGAUCAGGCACAUCUGAUCUUCAGAUUUCCCUGAGAAGCGAACUUUCCUUCGACAGCGAGUGGAGGCCAGGCUUGCAUCUCUUUUGAUGGAAAGCAAGGAGUAUUCAGAAGCACUAAGUGUCCUAUCAGGCUUGAUCAAGGAAGUGAGAAGGCUAGUUGACAAGCUUCUUCUUGUGGACAUAUAUUUGAUGCGAGUAAGCUCAAUUUCUCUUUGAGAAAACAUCCAAAUUAUUAUCUUUGAGACAUGAGAGACUGAGAGAGGAAGAACUUGGAACCUUAAAUGUAAACCGAAAAUGAAUGAAAGCGACAAAUUUAUAGAAUAAAUUUUUAAAACCAACGGCGGUCCUUACAAACAAACCGCCGUUUAAAUUGUAAAAUCAACGUCGGUAUGAUCGACGUAUAUUACAGAAAUCCACGUCGGUAAAUUAAUAAAAACGACGUGUUAAAUAAUAUACCAUGACGCGAGUUAUUACUUAUGUACUUUAAUUUUUGAGUUUACUACGACGGUACCUACAAACUACUGUCGUAUUUAUUUACCACGUCCGAAGUUAAAUGUACCGUCGUAUUUUGUAAUUUAUACGUCGUAGUUAUAUGUAACCGCCAUAUUAUUUUUUUGAAAUGGUUUUAUAUGUAAGCAACUUUUCGUCUACUUGACUUACACAUUUGUUGUUUUUAUAUUCUUAUUUUAUUUAAAUCUGUCAUCCAAAAAAGAAACUUUACAUAUUGCAGAAUAUUAAUUUCCUUCGUUUUAAAUUUCCUCCGGAAAAAAAACUCUAUUUAUAACGCACUGUAAUUGAAAAAUAAACUGAAAGGUCACGGGAAAAAAAAUUCUAUUCAUAAUUUAAAAAUUAAAAUCCACGUCGGUUAUAUUAAACCUAACGACGUUAAAUGAAAUGAUUCCACGUCGAAUGAAAAAUAUUGCGUCGUUUUAGUUAAAAACGACGUAGUUAAAUGUAACCGCCGUAUUAUUUUUUUGAAAUGGUUUUAUAUGUAAGCAACUUUUCGACUUACACAUGCACUGUUUCCAAACCCGAUUAAAAAUUUCAAUCUCCCAGAGAAACCUUUUCGUCUUUUUUCCUUGUCAGAGCAUUGUCAGAGUUUCUCAUCGUCUUCCUCUCGUCUUCUUCGUCGUCUCUGAACUUAAACAUCGAUCAUCUUCCUCUUGCUUUCAUUGCACGCAAAAGGUAAGCUUUCAUUUUCACUAUUUUGGUUACUGUUUUGCAUGCUCAUACGUUUUUUGUUUGAAAAAUCUUUUUACCUUUUUUCUGGCCAAAAUCAUUUUACUUCUUUCCAAGUUUGAUAAAAUAUACAGACAAAGAGAGAAAGUUUCCAACUUUGAAGACAACUACAUCAACUAAAUAAGACGACGGUAGACCACGACGGUUCGUCAGUUGUUCUAGCGUCGUCUGAAAAUUGACAAAGUUGUUUUUAAAAUAAUAGUCUUUUUUUAUAUGCUUGUUUAAUUGCAGGUUUGAUUUCGCUGAACAAUGGUUUUUGUUUUUCCCUUAUUUGAUAAAAUAUAAAGAAAAAGAAACUAGGGUUGGUAUCUAAUAUAGACGAUAAAAUAUAAAUAAUAGUUUACCACGACGGUGUAUUACUAUUGACGUCGUGUGAACAUAUAUACCACGACGUUAUAUAAAUAAUGGUUUUAAACAUUUAUUACGUCUGAGAUUAUUUCAUUGCGUCGUCUAAAAUCAUAUCAUACGUCGUAUUUUGUUAAUACCGUCGUUUGUGUUCUUAAUGUUUUCCUGAAAUAUUUUCACUUGCAGUUUUGUCUGUUAAAAUGGUUUCUCAACAACAAACUAAGGAUUCUGGCUCCAAGAAGCUUGGAAUGGUAGCUCCUCAAGAUAAGUCUUCGAAGGAGAUGAAGUCUUCGAAGAAGAUGAAGUUUGCUUCAUCAUCUGCUGAGACAGAACAAACCAGCCAGACAACAAUCUCAGAUGAUUCAAAGACUGGUCGAGGUAUGAGCACAAUGCCUCGUGUUGUGAAGAGAAAGCUUCAGAAACUGAGGCCAAUUGUUGAGUACAAUAAAAGGGGGAAAGGUGUUGGCCAAGCACAUAUUGAGAUGCAGUCGUAUAUUGGUGUGUUGGCACGCUCCAGGAUCCCACUUGUGGACAAGAAAUGGUCCCAAAUCCCCAAGGAUAUAAAGGAGCAGAUUUGGGAAGCAGUUGACAUGGCUUUUGUCGUAGGCCAAGGGGGCAAGACCUCUGUUUUAGCUUCUGCUUCCAAGAAAUGGAAGGAUUUCAAGUCUACACUAACGAGGCAUUAUAUCCUUCCAUACACCAAUGACAGGGAGAAAUUAAGCCAACCCCCUGAAACAUAUAAAUUCAUAGAGAAAGCACAAUGGGAUGCCUUUGUAGCUUCAAGGCUAUCCAAAGAUUUUGAGUCUGUGCAUUCUCAACAUGCACAGAUUAGGGAGAAACUCGAGUACAAUCAUCGAUUGUCUCGAAAAGGAUAUGCUGGAUUGGAGGAUCAAUUGGAGGAAACCAUGCCUGGGGUAGAAAUUGAUCGAUCUACCUUAUGGAAGAGAGCUAGACAGGACAAACAUGGUAACAUCCCUGAUCCAAAGGUGGCAGAGAAAGCAAAAUUAAUUGUAAGCCUACUAUCACUCUGUUUUAAAUUUUUAUUAAACUGUGAAUUAUUCUUAUUACGUCGUAUGUUAUAUUUUUCGUCGUGUGAAUGAUAUUACCACGUCGAAAAGUUUUUAAAAACGUCGUUAAAGGUCUAAAUAGGAAUCACUACUAUGUUUUCUGUAAUUACAGCAUAAGACGUCGGUGGUUCAUUUUCGCGUCGUGUGAAUGAUAUUACCACGUCGAAAUUUUUUUAAAAACGUCGUUAACGGUCUAAAUAGGAAUCACUACUCUGUUAUCUUUAAUUAUAGCAUAAGACGUCGGUUGUUUAUUCAUUUCGUCGUUUUAAAUAAAUAACCACGUCGGUAUAACUACCGUCGUGAUAAGUUAUAAUAACGUCGGUUUAUACGUUAUUGCGUCGUGUGAAAUUAUAUAAUACGUCGUUUGUACAUAAAUAACCGUCGUGUGUUUUUUUGUUUAUCUUUGUUUUAGGAUGAAUUGCAGAAACAAGUCUCGGAAGGCAAAGUCAGAGUAGAUGGCAGCAAUGAUGUGCUGACCAUGGCUUUGGGCCCCGAGCAUCCAGGCAGGGUGAGGGGAGUUGGUGCUGGUGUUUCCCCAAGGCAAUAUUUCAAUUUGCCCAAACCACAGAGGGUGAGCUUUGACGACCGUUUGAAGGACAGUUUAAGAGUUCUCCUUCAAGAAGAGACUAAAAAGAUGGAGGCUAAGGCAAGGGAAGAGGCCUUAAGGAUGGAGGCUAGGACAAAACAAUUGGUAGAGGCUGAGAGGGAGCAUUUCCUGAGUCAGCUUUCCCAAUUAAUUCCCAAUUUUGAUCCAAGCAUGCUUAAACCAAGAAUUAGCCAAAGCCCCAAAAAUCCAAUGUCUGACAAAGCUAGCUGCUCUGGAGGUGAUGUGAGAUCCCUACAUUUGGAGGAUGAUACUGCCAAAAUGGGGAAACAUCAGCCAGAUGAAGAGAAGGAAGAAGAAAAAAGAGAUGAAGAGAAGGAAGAAGAAAAGGAGAAAGAAGAUGAAGAAAAGCAUGACGACAAGGUAUGUUCACAUAACUUUGCCUUUUUUAUUUGUUUUUCAAAAUUUCAGACGUCGAUAUUUUUAUUUAAUCCGUCGUUUGUUUAAAACUUAGACGGCGGAAUUUUUUUAAGACGUAAUAAAAUAUUUAAACGACGGUUUUUGCACCGUCGUUUAAAUGGUUUCAGACGACGCUUUAUUCAUAAAACCGUCGUCUUUAUUGAAUUACCACGACAGUUUUUUCACCGUCGUUUAAAUACUUUUAAGACGACGUUUUAUUACUUAAACCGUCGUCUUUAUUGAAUUACCACGUCAUUUUUUUUAUUUCUUUAAACAGGUUAUUGAAGUUGGUGCUUAUUCAAAAAUGGAGGCGCCAUCUUCUUUAAAAACCCUUUGUCGUUUUGUGGAAACGACACUCCUGCCUGAGGAUAAGACAGUCCAAUUUACAAUUGAUAAGGAGGUGUUUGGUGGUGAGCGCGAUACCUUCCUCCUGCCUGAAGAUAUUACACAAUUUGCAGGCAUGAAAGAAAUUGGAGCUACUGUAUUGGCUGUAUAUAUGAGGUUUGUACUUCUAAAAUAAUAACUCGUUGGUUUAUAUAUUGCGUCGUCUUAACUAACUAACCACGUCGUCUUAACUAACAACCGUCGUGAUAAAUAUAUUAUAACGUCCUCAUCUAUUUCAGUACGUCGUGUGAAAUAUUAUAAUACGUCGUUUUUUUAUACAUAACCGUCGUGUUUUGUGUGCUGACUUGUUUAUAUUAUUUUAUUUGUUUAGGUACUUACACGAUGUUUUGAAAAAAGCCAAUAUGUGCAGUAUGGUUGGCUUUAUCGACCCUGCUACAGUUAGUGCCAACUCUGGCACAAUAACUGAAAGAUCACGACUCGUAGCAGCUCGACUUCAGAAGACAGACGGUGAACAGAUUUUCAUGAUGCCUUACAAUCCAGGGUUAGUCUCCUUAGGAUUUUGUUUUUAUGAUUUUCAAUAAAUGACAGCUUAUAAACUAACCACGUCGGUGUUUUAUUUUAUUUAGUCGUUUGAAACUACUAACCACGUCGGUAUUUAUUUAUCGUCGUGAUAAAUAUAUAAUGUCGUCGUUAGCUACUUUACUUCGUCGUGUGAAAUACUAUAAUACGUCGUUUUUGUAAAUAACCGUCGUUUUUAUAUUAAUUUUGUGCAGCCGUCAUUGGAUUUUGCUGAUUGUAAGAGCAAAGAGAGAAACCGUCUAUUUUCUGGAUCCUCUGCCAGGAAAUCGUGUGGUCGAUGAAGAGGCCAAAAACAUCGUGAACAGUGCUUUAAAAAUAUAUAAUACCCACAUAGCCCGAGCAGGACGUAAAAAUGUAAUUUGGAAAACUCUCUCAGGCACACCAAAGCAACCCAGCAAUGUCGAAUGCGGGUAUUAUGUAAUGCGCUUCAUGAGGGACAUCAUCAUGGAUCCUUCCUUGGGGUUUGAGAAUAAGGUAAGAAGAAAUUACCUUCAUACAUUUCACGUCGUUUUUUGUAUUAUCAACGACGGUCGUGUAAAAUUAACGUCGUUGAAUGGAUAUACUACGUCGGUUAUGAAAAAUAUCGUCGUCUGUGAUUGAAUUUCUUUUUAUUUAUAAACCCUAAUAGUCAUUGUUUAUGCAGUAUGCCAAGGGAAACCAGGAAGCUUCAUACCCCCAAGAAGCCAUUGAUGAAGUCCGGAAUGAAUGGGCAGAGUUUGUUUUCCAAAUUAUUAAACAGGGCAAUUAUUGAACACUUGAUAUUUAUGUAUAAUGUACCAAUUUUCUCUAUAAUAUGUAAUGUAAAAAUUUGUUGAGGUUUUCUUAAAUUAAAAAAAAAACAAACAUACAAAUUGCUUAACCGACGUGUAAUACUUUUCCAACGACCUAAUAAAGUCAAUAACCGUCGUAUUUUGUUGUUGCGUGUUUUAAACAAAUACGACGUAAAAAAAUAGUUAGACGACGUUCUUUGAACAAUUGAGUCGUUAAUGGUUUACAAUAUCUUCAAUUUCUUAAGGGUUCAGGGUAUAAUCGACGACGUUUAUGUAACGACUGCGGUUAAGUCGUAAAAUAUAUAUUUUACGUCGUAUAGUUAAAUAGCCGCCAUGGUUUCUCAUUUUAACGACGUCAUUUUAACGACUUAGUAGUCUAUUACAAUUUACAACGUCUACAAUUUAUUUAACACCGACGUGGUUUGUUGUAUGGUAAGAAUAUUUUAUUAUUUUUAUAUCAAAAUAUUCAAAAUAAAUAUAAAAUAAAUCAGAAAAUUGAAAAGUCAACUCCUAUGAAGUCAUUGAUAUAUUUUCUUCCACAUAAACCUUGAAAAAAUUCAUUUUGAAUAACAAAAAUUUAAAAUGACCAUCCAAAACAAAAUUGUUUUGAUGAGUCAUAAAAUCACUUCUAGUUUUAUGGUUUAGGGUUUAGAGUCUAGGGUUUAGAGAUUAGGGUUGUUAUUUAUUGGGGUUUAUUUUUAAAGUAUAAUUUUUGGGUAGUCUAUGUUAUAUGUUAGGCUUUAAAACCAUAAAACCUUUUAUAAACUUAAUUUUUUAAAUUGUAUAAUUUAAUUUUAUGGGUUUAGUGUAUUAAUUUUUAACGACGGUGGUUGGGUCGUGGAAUACAUAUUUUACGUCGUACAGUAAAACAUACGACAUGGUUUACGCUUUAAACGACGUCAUUUUAAUAUGUAAGUCGGUUUAUAUAAUUUACAACGUUUUUAAUUUCUUAACACCGACGUGGUUUCUCAUUUUAACGACGUCAUUUUAACGACUUAGUAGUCUAUUACAAUUUACAACGUCUACAAUUUAUUUAACACCGACGUGGUUUGUUGUAUGGUAAGAAUAUUUUAUUAUUUUUAUAUCAAAAUAUUCAAAAUAAAUAUAAAAUAAAUCAGAAAAUUGAAAAGUCAACUCCUAUGAAGUCAUUGAUAUAUUUUCUUCCACAUAAACCUUGAAAAAAUUCAUUUUGAAUAACAAAAAUUUAAAAUGACCAUCCAAAACAAAAUUGUUUUGAUGAGUCAUAAAAUCACUUCUAGUUUAAUGGUUUAGGGUUUAGAGUCUAGGGUUUAGAGAUUAGUGUUGUUAUUUAUUGGGGUUUAUUUUUAAAGUAUAAUUUUUGGGUAGUCUAUGUUAUAUGUUAGGCUUUAAAACCAUAAAACCUUUUAUAAACUUAAUUUUUUAAAUUGUAUAAUUUAAUUUUAUGGGUUUAGUGUAUUAAUUUUUAACGACGGUGGUUGGGUCGUGGAAUACAUAUUUUACGUCGUACAGUAAAACAUACGACAUGGUUUACGCUUUAAACGACGUUAUUUUAAUAUGUAAGUCGGUUUAUAUAAUUUACAACGUCUUUAAUUUCUUAACACCGACGUGGUUUUUCAGUCGUCGUUAUAUAAAAAAUUCAAAAUAAAUUUAAAAUUAAUCCGAAAAAUGAACGGCCUUACGUUCUUAAUCCGAAAAAUGAAGUUUCCGUCGUGGAAUAUUAAAUUUACGUCGGUACUUGUAGAACUUUCGCCUUGGUUUUUCUUUCGACGUUUUAUAACGCGCGCGCUCUAAAAAUUUUCGCGCGACCUAAAUUUUUUUAGAUUUGGCUCUUAGUCUUAUACUUUGAUCCCUGAAACCUAAAAUUUCAGAUUUCACGCGACAUAACAUUUCGCUCUCUCACUUCUGCUCUAAUUAAAAGUUGCACUCUCCAGGCUCGUCGAAUCUGUAAGCUCGUCCAACCUGUAAGUACAAACCCUAUCUUCCCCUUGUAAAUUCAUUGAAUGAUAUUAGGUUGUUUUGUUAAAGGGUUUUAGGUAUAUGCUUUGCGAUCUGUUAAUAAUGUGCUUAUAGGUAUGGGUUCAUGGAUUUUCUGUUUAAUGGGUUCAUGACAAGAUCAAAUAAAGGUGUACUUUUGCUGGAAAUCAACACAAAAAGACACAUCACCAACUUCCAAAUGAUUUCCAGCAAAAGGACACCUUUAUUUGAUCUUGUCAUUUUCCGCUCUGGAGAAGGUGCAAAGUGCACCAAUGCUUAUAGGUAUGGGUUCAUGGAUUUUCUGUUUAAUGGGUUCAUGGAUUACAUUAUCUGUUAUGUUGAAUUGGGAAUGGAUUUAAUUUUGUCGUAUCUUUUAAUCACCCUAUGUUAUGUUGAAUUGGGAAUGGAUUUAUUGUUUUCAUGCUUGGUUUCAUGUAUAUGUUGGUUUCUUGCUUGGUUUCAUAUAUAUGUUGUGUUCUUAAUGGGUUUUGUGUUCUUGAAAAUAAACUGAGACACGACGAAUUUUAAGGCGUACGACGACGAUUACACGACGGUGUUUUUAAACUACCGUCGUUGUAUUACUUAUACACGACGGUUUUUUCAUAAACCGUCGUUUGUAUUACGUAUAAUAGACGACGUCUGUUGAAAAUCCGUCGUCUAUAUAUGCCAAAUACGUCUGUUUUUGAUUAAAACCCGUCGUCUCUGUUGUUUAUUACUUGCGAUUAGAUCAUUGUAUAAUCUGCUAUAGUGAUGGUCAUUGCCUGUAUUUUCACUUUAUUAUAGAUAAUAGGUUAUAGUGUCGGAGAUGGAUAAGUCAUGGAUGCACUCGGAUAGAAGAUCGAAGGCAUAUGAGUUUGGGGUGGAAGCAUUUUUGAACUUUGCUGUAGAAAAUCUUCUAACUACAACACAUAUCCGUUGUCCAUGUGUUAAAUGUGUUAAUUUGAAGUUGUUUGGGGUUGGAAUUAUAAGGGAUCACUUAUACUUUAAUGGAAUUGACCAAAGCUAUAAGAAUUGGACAUUUCACGGAGAACCUUGGGAAGCAACUACUAAUGCUUGAGAAGUACUUUCCCCCUUCAUUCUUUGAUAUCAUGGUUCAUCUAGUAGUACAUCUUGUCAGAGAAGUUCGUCUAUGUGGGCCAGUAUAUUUUAGGUGGAUGUAUCCGUUUGAAAGAUAUAUGAAAGUGCUGAAGGGGUAUGUUCAGAAUCGUACUCGUCCCGAAGGUUGCAUUGCUGAGCGGUAUAUAGCUGAAGAAGCGGUAGAGUUUUGUACUCAGCAUUUAUCUGAUGUUAGUACAGUUGGAGUGCCUUCAAGCCAAAAGAUGGGAGUUUCAAAGCCAUUAUCAGGUUGCACAGUGAGCGUAGUUGAUCAGGACCUGUUGAAUCAAGCACAUCUAUAUGUCUUGGAGAAUACGGAGGAAGUCCUACCUUAUAUCGAGUACGUAUGAGUUUUAUUCUUUAAGUUUCCAUUUAAAAUUAUUUCUUAUGUUUAUCUUAUAUAUUUGGGACCGUAAUGCUUGAAUUUUUCGUGUCAUGUAGGCAACAUAUGAUCCACAUCAAGACUGCUUAUCCAAAAUUUAGAAAGAGAACAAAGUGGCUGCAGGAUAAGCACAAUAGCACUUUCAUUCAAUGGCUACGCUUCAAGGUAUAUGUUGUUGAAUAACGUAUUUCUCUUUUAAUUUUCUUCUUAUUUAUAUGUUAGGAUGAAUUAAGAUAUGAUUAAUUUGCAGGUUCAAAGUGAAGUUGAGGAAGACAAUCAUGGCGUAUCAGAAAAUUUAAGGUGGCUAGCAGCUGGUCCAAACAUGUCAGUGCCAUUAUAUAGGAGCUAUCUUAUUAAAGGUAUUAAAUUCAAUAUCAAGGCACAAGAUGAUGUGCGGACAACUCAAAAUAGUGGAGUUUAUUUACUUGCACAUACCAUGCAAGUUGCUAGUGCCAAGGAUAAAAACCCAAUUCUCUCAAAUAUGGGUUUCUAUGGUGUCAUUCAAGAAAUUUGGGACCUUGACUACCAAAAGUUUACAAUCCCAGUCUUUAGGUGUGAUUGGAUAGAUAGUUCUGGUCUUGUAGUCGACGAACUUGGAUUUACCCUUGUAGAUUUGAGUAAAAUUGGACAUAGGAAUGACCAAUUUGUUUUGGCUUCUCAAGUCAAACAAAUAUUUUUUGUUGACGACCCGAUGCAUCGUGGUUGGUCGGUAGUGUUAUCAAUGCCUAGUAGAGAAUAUAAUGAUGUUAUUGGUGAUGAAGUAUUAGGUGAUGUGAUAAUUGAGUGUGAGCCAUUUACUAGAGGGAUGCCAAAUGUUGACACAUUUGAUGAACUGGUAGGUGAGUUAGGCGGUCAAAAUAUUCGAGAUGGGUGUGAAGAUAUAUGGAUUGAAUGAUGCUUAUGUAAUUGGCAGUGUAUGACAUUAAUUUUGUAAUAUAUUGUAAUGUGAUUUCUUCACUUUCUACGUUCAAAUAAAACACGACGUUAUUGUGAAUCAGUUAUUCAGCAUAUUUACCGACGUCUUAAAGCAACGUAACAAUGAAGAACCACGACGCUAUUGUGAAGCAAUUAUUCAGGAUAUCACGUCGGUGAAGGAUAAAGAACCGCCAUGUAAUUCAAAAUAACACGACUCCAAUCCCAUAAUACCGACGUCUAAAAAACGAGAUAUGUAAUCUGAACGUUAAAAAAUACGACGUCAUCAUACAUUUUCCACGUCGCAAGUUCUUUUAUAAACGAAGAGGAACGAAAUUAAUUCCGACGGAAAUUCAUUAUAACCGCCGUCUAAUAACAAUUAAACGACGUUAUUUGUAAUACGGCUCCCAUCAUAAUCUACGCCGUCUAUAUGUUCUGUAAUACGGCUCUCAUUUAUUUGGAACCGACGUUGUUUAGACGUUCAACGUCGUCUAUAUUAUUAAGUGCGUCGUGAGUAAUGAAUACAUAUAAAUACAACGUCGACUAUAUAAAUGUAUACGUCGUAAAUAAUGACACUGACAACUAUUUCCACGUCAUCUUUUUUAGAUAAAAUCGAAGUGGAAAAUUUAUUUCACGACGGUUUUUUGUAAAUAAGAGACGUUGUAGAACUUUAGCAGACUAAACACGUCUGUUUUUAUUGUUUUCCGACGUUGUUGUAUUUAACAACGUCUAAUAUUUAUGGUCGUUGUUUGUUUCUGAAAAUAGGACGUAUAAAUUUUUUAAUACGACUCUCAUAUAUUUGUAACUGACGUUGUUUAGUUUUUCAACGUCUACUAUAGAAACACAUACGUCGUAAAUAAUGACACUGACAACUAUUUCCACGUCAUCUUUUAUCAAAAAAUCGAAGUGGAAAAUUAAUUGUACGACGGUUGUGUUUAUAUGUGCGACGUAGUAGGUAUCAAUAACGUCGUCUUCUAAUGUAUUUAAAGACGUCAUAUUUUUUAUUGUCGUGAAAAUUAUAUUUAACGUCGGCGUAUUUUUAUUGUCGUCGUUGUAUGUCUAUCUUGCGGCCUUGUUCUCUUAAUAUGUGUCAUAUUUUCCCUUUUUAACGACGGUCUUUUUAGAGAAUUGGUCGUCUAUUAUCAUCAUCGAUUGCUUUUUUUAGAUCUUUUGCAGUACAAAGACGUCGUUUUGUAUUUUUUGAUGACGUUGUAUUGUUUAACAACGACAGUUAUUUAGCGUCGUGGUUUAUGAGGGAAAAGAUGACGGUGGAUUCCACGACCAUUGAAAAACCAAAUACACGACGGUGAUUUACCGUCGUCUUUUUGCUUUUUUGUAGUAGUGGUUACAGGGUGGCACAACCCGAACCACUACUUGUAGCUUAUCGUUCCUUUUGGACUUUGAGUUCAUCCCACCAUUUUGGAUAGCCAUUCAACUUGGAACAAGUUUCUUGACUGUGUUUCGGAUUUCCACAAUGUGUGCAACCUCCUUCAUUUGUCUGAGUCUUCAGUCAUGAAGUCGUAUUUGGCUUCGCAGUGUUCGCAGGUUCGGUGGUUGUCUUUGCAUAUGACUGUAUCUGAAGCUGUGCAAUGUCAAUAGAAGGAGGUGUCGAUCCCGACCGAUCGGUUUGUACUUUUUGUAGGAAACAAAUUUAUUUGGAGUACAUCCUUGUGAGCCUUGUCAAGUCGAUCAUCUAAUCCAUCUCGGAAAGUGUAAAAUCAAUGAAACUUAACCAAAAUUAGGGAAAUAAAAAGGAUUUUGACCCUUACUAUUUCUAGUUUCCAAAACAUCAAAACCUUUCAAAAAUACUUCACAAAAUAAAGGAACACGGGAGUCAAAGUAAGGUAUAUGAACUGAAAUUUCCAGAAAAAUACAAAGUUUCAUAAUUUUCUCAAAAGUGUCUUUCAACACACCUCAAUACCAUCCUUAAGGCUUGAAAUCAUACUCCAACAUCAUACCAUUGGCCUAAGCUUCCCAAAAACAAGAUUUGGAUCUAAAAUGUGAACACCCAAACCCAAAAAUUUAUCAACACACCCAAAAUCUGAAAAUCCUGAUUUCAAACGAGGGUGGAGAUGGGGAAUCUCCAAUAUGAAUAUUGCGGGUACAAAGUCGGGAAUAGGAGAAAAAAGCUUAACGAGGAUGGGAAUGAAAAUGGCAUACCCACCCCCAAUUUGACCAAUUGCCAUCCUUAAGUCACAUAAAUGACAUCACUCGAUGUCAUAUCUUACAAUUGCAUCUUACAGACAUUAAAUUUACAUUUGAAACGCACAGCUUUUCUAGGUUGGGCAAGGCAACCUAGGCAUCAAAUGCUGAAAUGUCAGCUAGCUAGAAUGAUCUAGAUGGUUUAAAACUUAUGCAACUUGGCAUUUUUUGCUUUCUCCAAAUGCUGUUGAAAAUUCCACCUUUUCUUCGCACUAUAAAACAAACAUACUCUUGGAUAAUUUAUUACUUCUCAUCUGCAACAUCUUUGUGGCAUAUAUUUGCUUUCUCCACUAUGGAGUCUUCUAGAAUUCCAAUCAAAGCUAUCGUUUCUCUAUUUUGCUCUUAUAUGCUUUUGUCGCACAUCACCACUUUGAGCCCUACCUUGGCUUUGGAAGACUGUGAGUUUCCAGCCAUCUUUAACUUUGGAGAUUCAAAUUCAGAUACUGGUGGAUUGGCUGCAUCCCUUUUGCCACCACCACCACCUUAUGGGGAGACCUAUUUUCAUAUGCCGGUUGGGAGAUUCUCAGAUGGCAGGCUCAUAAUCGAUUUUCUUGGUAGAGAUUUUUUGUUUUUGGGUUUUAUUUUUGUUUUUUAAAAUAUUUAUUUAGGAAAAGGUUUUAAUAGUAUAUGCUUUAAAAUUAAUUCUCAUCUUAUUCUUAUGGCUGACAAAUUCAAACACGUAUAAAUGGUGGAAAAAUUGCUUUUGUUUUCCAAAUUGUUUUCAAACGCCGUACACAAAGACCAAAGUGCAUGGUAGACCCAAUAAGCUUUCUGGACACUCAUUUUUCUUGAUAAUUUUGGGCAGUAAGUUUUAUAUAUAUCAAAUAAUAUUGGAUGAAGAGAAACAUAUAGCGACUUGACUUGCAGAGUAUUUUAGGUUCAAACAUCAUGACACUUGACAUUGUGUGUGAUAAAAUUCUCAUCUCCUAAUAUAAUUUGUAUAAAAAUAAAUAAAUAAAUAAAGCACUUCCUGUAAUAUGGACAUGUGUUGGCAUAAUACUUCUAUUUGCAUAAGUACUUCGUACUAAAUGAUAAGUUCCUUUCUUUUUCAACAUGCAUUUCGUUGUUAUGCGGUUUUCUUUUCUCUUUCCAAAUUUCUUGUCUAAUAAAACUUGUGGUUCAGCAAAGAGUCUUGGUCACCCCUUUCUAAGCGCAUAUCUGGAUUCCCUUGGGACAAACUUCUCGUAUGGUGCAAAUUUUGCCACUGCAUCUUCCACAAUCAGAUUGCCAGAUAACAUUAUACCAGCUGGUGGAUUUAGUCCCUUCUACCUCAAUAUUCAGUACAUGCAGUUCAUGCAACUAAAAUCCAGAUCACAACUCAUUAGGCAUCGAGGUAAAAAUCUAAUUAUUUAUUACUUAUUAGGGUAACAAAUUAUUUUCAAGCCAAAAAAACUUUGUGACUGGAGCUUUGUUUAAUUUGUAUAUAGGGGGAAUAUUUGCAAGUUUGAUGCCCAAGGAGGAGUAUUUCUCCAAAGCUUUAUACACAUUUGACAUUGGACAGAAUGACCUAGGAGAGGGGUUCUUUGGUAACUUGACUGUUCAAGAGGUCAAUGCAUCGGUUCCUGAUAUAAUUAGUGGGCUCUCGGCAAAUAUUAAGGUAAUUAAUCUUCUAGAGAUAAAGUUGUGGGUCAGCAAAGAGUCUUGGUCAAUGGGGCCCUAACUCAUUGUAUCAAUUAUAUUUUAAGAUCCUAUGUUCAACAAUUGGUCGUGUCUCUAUUAUUGGCGUCAUACAUUCAAAUAUUUAGUUAUAUAUCAAUUCUUAACACUCGUGAUAUAGAUAAAUUUUACAUUAUUUAAUUUUUAUAAAUACACUAAAAAAACAAAAAAAUUGGCAGUUGACCCUAUUAAAUUUAAUUAAUUAUUAAAUUAUUUUGAUAUCCUAUUGAAUGUUUUGGGUUUUUUUAAUAAGGUUUUGGAGUUCGGCUUGUUUUAAGAAAUUGAUGGCAGUUUUGUAAUUUAUAGAAAGUUCGAAGUCUCUUUAUUAUGUUGUGAAUGGGUUUUGAGUGUGUUUCUAAAGUCCAUUUCAUGUGAGUUUUUUUUAAUAUAAUUUGGAUCCCUAUAUUAUGUAUAAAUAGUGAAUCUCCCUUCAAAUAACAUGUUAGACUGUCUAGUAAGAGUAUAUUCUAAUUUUUCAGCUCACUGCUUGUUUUAACUUUUGGUGAAUUAUGAUGUUAAAUGUGGUGAUUACUGUGAUGAUGUAGAAAAUAUAUGAUUUGGGAGCGAGAUCAUUUUGGAUCCACAACACUGGGCCAAUUGGCUGUCUCCCUUAUAUCUUAGCCAAUUUCCCAGCUCAAACGGAUGAGGCUGGCUGUGCAAAGUCAUAUAAUGAAGUAGCUCAGCAUUUUAACCAGAAGCUGAAGGAAGCCACAGUUCAACUUAGGAAAGAUCUACCUUUGGCUGCAAUUACUUAUGUGGACGUCUAUUCAGUUAAAUACUCUCUUUUCAAGGAACCCCAAAAAUAUGGUAAGCCAUUCAACCUUAUGAUAUUCACAAGACAUACCUAUAUAAAGUUUGCAGUUUUUUUUUUGUUUUCUUGUUUUUGCUUACGUACGUAAUUUCAAAUGAUUUCAUUGGACUGAUAAGUAUAUAUAUCACUUGUCACAUAAUGUAAUUCACUAAUGCGGUUUAAAAAUGUGAUCUCUUAAGCAUUAUUAAAAUGGAAAGCAUAUGCAAAGAAAUUCCAUGAAUGAAAUCUAUUUUCACUCUAUAUUGAAUUGGUUGCAAAUGUUUCAGGGUUUGAGCUCCCACUUGUUGCUUGUUGGGUAUGGUGGCAAGUACAACUAUGACAGUAGUUCUGAAUGUGGAGGAACAGCUAGAGUUAAUGGAAGGCAAAUAUUUGUUGGCUCAUGCAAAGAUCCUUCGGUGAAAGUGAAUUGGGAUGGCAUUCAUUAUACUGAGGCAGCUGCCAAAUUUAUUUCUGAUAAAAUUUCAACUGGAGCAUUUUCUGAUCCACCCCUUGCUUUGAAACAAGCAUGUCACAAGAUUUUCCCUAAUAAUUAAAUAAAUCAAAAUAUUAAAUACGUACAGACAGAUGCAUGCAGGUGGAAAUUAUUUUGUAUUGGAAUAAUUGUGUUGCAGGUCCCUUGAGCCAUCUAGGUAGUAAUUUAGAAUACCCAAUAAAGCCUUUGGGGUAUAACUUAAUUGGUUGAACUCUUCUACUUUCACUCAUGUGGGUAGAGGUUUGAAACCUCAAAGCACCGAAUGAAUAUUUAUGUAAACCCGCCUUCCCCCUCUCUCCCCCCUCCCCCAAAAUUGCUUGCACUAAAAAAAAGUACGCCAUAAAAAAUAAAGGCUCCUACACUUGGUUUUUAAUAAUAGAGCAAUGCUAGUCAUAAUAAAAAAGCAAUGCUAGUUAUACCACAUUUAUAUACCAUCUUUUGUUGACCAUUCAAUUUUUUAGUUAUCAAUUUUCUUUCUCUUAUUUAUGAGGUUCAAUACUUCUCUUCGAAUUCGAACAUUACUUUGAUUUAGUGUGUUUAAUCCCAAUUUCAACUAACAAUGCAAACUGAUUCAAUAAAGUCUCAUAAUUAAUAUGAUUUAAUAUAUUCGACAUUCUGGGUAGAAUUUGAUUAACAAAAAGAAUUAUGUGUUGAAAGUGUGAAUUUCAUGUCGGCAACUUAAAGUCUUAGAGCAUCCACAAUCAUACUCUCUAUUUUUUUUUGUUAAAUUUUAGCUUAAAGCAUAUAAAUGUUAUUUUAGGAGCUCUCUAUACAAUUUAAACUCCAAUCUUUGCUCUCUAAUUUAGGGAGUCAUAAAUGCUAUAACUCUUUUCUAAUUGGUCAAUCUCCAUUAAAAAAUAAUUAGCAUUAAUUAAAGGUUUGAAAUGCUCAUUAAAUAAAGCAGCAUUAAAUUAUAGAGAGGUACUAGGAGUCAUUUCUCUCUCUUCAGAUUUAGGAGCUCCUAGAGGUCUCCUUAUUUUAGGAGGUGGAUAGGAAGCAUGGUUGGAGUUAUAUUUUCUCAAAUCCUCCCUAAAAUUUAUCUAAGAAGGUGGUUUAGGGAGCCCAUUGUGGAUGCUAUUAGAGCAUCUAUAAUGGACUCCCUAAACCCAAAUCCGAAAAUCUUGAUUUCAAAAUUCUUCUUUUGAUUUUCUUAUGCCUUAAACGAUUCAUAAAUUAUUAUGUAAUUGCUUCAACACUUGAUAAAAUGAACUUAGAACAAGAGUCCCACUUUUCAUACUUCCAAUUUCUUCAACACUUCACCAUUUUCUUUUCUACAUCUCACAUUUGCUUUCUUAAUUCUUCUUCUUAACUUUAGGCUGGGUGACUCAUCCUUUCAUAAUGGUGGAUUUGAAAGCUUGAGGCAAGGGGGAAAGAAUGGGAGGAAGAGUUUUUGUUGCCCUACACGUUUCAGAUUCUUCUCUUCUUUCUCUUUUUUUUUUUUUGGUUGAAAAUGCCUAUAAGGGCAUUUUGGUAAUUUUCACACGCAGGGGUAUUUUGGUCAUUUUGACCCAAACUUUAGAAAUGAUUUCCUAUGUGUUCGUUGAGUCGACUACUAUCGUCCUACUUCAUAAUCAUAAUUUUUUCACUCCAAUUUCUUAUAUUCCUUUGAAAAACUCACAAAAUAUUACAUAAGGGCAUUUUGUCCAAGUUGAAAUUAAACACACUUAAUCCAAUAGUCUCAAUCCAAAAUAACUUGAUAAAAUACCCAUAACCAUUCUUCACCAGAAUAUUAAUUUUAUUGAAAUAUGAAAAUCCAACUUGAAUUUUUAGGGUAUUACAUCAAGUUAUAACUCGUAAUUACAAUCAAUAAAUAUGGUCAACUCACGUCAACAUGGACCGUGGUAAUGUGAAAUUACUUGAUCAUAUUAACUACGACUCAACUUGGGGGUGGAGGGAUUUGAAUUUGACAAUAAAGCUAAAUUCGUAAUUGCAGCGUUACUAUAGGCUUUACUCACUAAAAAAAGAAGGUAACUACUGCUGACGUUUUUUUAGUGCAAAAACAAGAACCACCUAAGAGACUGCUGCAUUUGACUAACUCUCACCAUAUGGUCCAUUGUGAGGAGCUGUUGUAUACAGGAGGGAGUCACAUAGAUGACAAUCUCUCGAUGUCAUAUCUUACCAAUUGCAUCUUACAGACAUUAUUUACAUUUGAAACGCACAGCUUUUCUAGGUUGGGCAAGGCAUCCUAGGCAUAAGAUGCUGAAAUGUCAGCUAGCUUGAUUUCUACUUGGUUGAAAACUUACGCAACUUGGCAUUUUCUGGCUUUCUACAAAUGCAGUCGAAAACUCCACCUUUUCUUUGCACUAUAAAACGAACAUACUCUUGGAUAAUUUGUUACUUCUCAUCCAACAUCUUUGUGGCAUAUAUUUGCUUUCUCCACUAUGGAGUCUUCUAGAAUUCCUAUCAAAGCUAUCGUUUCUCUAUUUUGCUCUUAUAUGCUUUUGUCGCACAUCACCACUUUGGGCCUUACCUUGGCUUUGGAAGACUGUGAGUUUCCAGCCAUCUUUAACUUUGGAGAUUCAAAUUCAGAUACCGGUGGAUUGGCUGCAUCCCUUUCGCCACCACCACCACCUUAUGGGGAGACCUAUUUUCAUAUGCCGGUUGGAAGAUUCUCAGAUGGCAGGCUCAUAAUCGAUUUUCUUGGUAUGCAUUUUUUGUUUUUGUUUUUUUUUUAAUAUUUAUUCAUUAUCAUCUUAUUCAAACAUGUAUAAAUGGUGGAAAAAUUGCUUUUGUUUUCCAAAUUGUUUUCAAACGCUGCACACAAAGAUAAAGACCAAAGUGCUUGGUAGGCCCAAGAAGCUUUCUAGACACUUAUUUUUCUUGAUAAUUAUCCAAAGUAAGUUUUAUAUAUAUCAAAUUUUUGUCUGAUGAAACUUGUGGUUCAGCAAAGAGUCUUGGUCACCCCUUUCUAAGCGCAUAUCUGGAUUCUCUUGGGAGCAACUUCUCGUAUGGUGCAAAUUUUGCCACUGCAAAUUCCACCAUCAGAUUGCCAAAUGUCGUUCAACCAGCUGCUGGUGGAUUUAGUCCCUUCUACCUCAAUAUUCAGUACAUGCAGUUCAUGCAACUAAAAUCCAGAUCACAACUCAUUAGGCAUCGAGGUAAAAAUCUAAUUAUUUAUUCAAAUUAUUUUCAAGCCAAAAAACUUUGUGACUGGAGCUUUGUUUAAUUUGUAUAUAGGGGGAAUAUUUGAAAAUUUGAUGCCCAAGGAGGAGUAUUUCUCGAAAGCUUUAUACACAUUUGACAUUGGCCAGAAUGACCUAGCAGAAGGCUUCAUUGGUAACUUGACUGUUCAAGAAGUCAAUGCAUCGGUUCCUAAUAUAAUCAGUGGGUUCUCGGCAAAUAUUAAGGUAAUUAAUUUUCAAUGAUAAAGUUGCGGUUCAGCAAAGAGUCUUGGUCAAUGGGGCCCCAACUCAUUGUAUUAAUUAUAUUUUAAGAUCUUAUGUUUAACAAUUGGUCAUGUUUAUAUAAUCACCGUUAUACAUUUAAAUAACAUGUCAAAUUGUCUAGUAAAAGAAUAUAUUUUAUUUUUUCAACUCACUGUUUUUUCUUAUUUUUGGUGAAUUAUGAUGUUAAUGUGGUGAUUACUGUGAUGAUGAAGAAAAUAUAUAAUUUGGGAGCGAGAUCAUUUUGGAUCCACAACACUGGGCCAAUUGGCUGUCUCGCUUACAUCUUAGCCAAUUUCCCAGCUCAAAAGGAUGAGGCUGGCUGUGCAAAGUCAUAUAAUGAAGUAGCUCAGCAUUUUAACCACAAGCUGAAGGAAGCCACAGUUCAACUUAGGAAAGAUCUACCUUUGGCUGCAAUUACUUAUGUAGACGUCUAUUCAGUCAAACACUUUCUUUUCAAGGAACCCCAAAAAUAUGGUAAGCCACUCAACCUUAUGAUUUUCACAAAACAUACCUAUAUAAAGUUUGCAGUUUUUUUUUUGUUUUGUUUUUUUGUUUUUGCUUACGUAUGUAAUUUCAAAUGACUUUAUUGGACUGAUCAAGUAUGUCACCUGUCAUAUAAUGUAAUUCACUAAUGCGGUUUAAAAAUAUGAUCUCUUAAGCAUUGUUUAAACGGAAAGCAUAUACAAAGAAAUUCCAUGAAUGAAAUCUAUUUUCACUCUCUAUUAAAUUGGUUGCAAAUGUUUCAGGGUUUGAGCUCCCACUUAUUGCUUGUUGUGGGUAUGGUGGCAAGUACAACUAUAACCGUAGUUCUGGAUGUGGAGGAACAGCUAGAGUUAAUGGAAGCCAACUUUUUGUUGGCUCAUGCAAAGAUCCUUCCGUUAGAGUGAAUUGGGAUGGCAUUCAUUAUACUGAGGCAGCUGCCAAGUUUAUUUCUGAUAAAAUUUCAACUGGAGCAUUUUCUGAUCCACCCCUUGCUUUGAAACAAGCAUGUCACAAGAAUUUGGCCUAAUAAUUAAAUAAAUUAAAAAGUUGAAUACGUACAGACAGAUGCAUGCGGGUGGAAAUUAUUUUGUAUUGGAAUAAUUGUGUUGUACCUUUGUAACUGCAGGUCCCUUGAGCCAUUUAGGUAGUAAUUUAGAAUACCCAAUAAAGUCAGUGGUGUAUAACUCAGUUGGUUGAGUUCUUCCACCUUCACCCAUGUGGAUAGAGGUUCGUAACCCUGAAGCACCCAAUGUAUAUUUAUGUAAAAAAAAAAAAGUACCUCAUAAAAAAUAAAGGCUCCUAUACUUGGUUUUUAAUAAAAAAAGCAAUGCUAUACCACAUUUAUAUAUACCAUCUUGUGUUGAUCAUCAAGUUUUUCAGUUAUCAUUUUUCUUUCUCUUAUUUAUGAGGUUCAAUACUUCUCUUCGAAUUCGAACAUGACUUCGAUUUAGUGUGUUUAAUAAAAGUUUCAACUAACAAUGCAAACUGAUUUCUGAUUUUUGUUAAUUUAGUGUGUUUAAUCAAAGUAAUGUAUUCGACAUUCUGGGUAGAAUCUAAUUAACAAAAAGCAUUAUGUGUUGAGAGUGUGAAUCUCACGUCGGAAACUUAAAGUCUUAGUAGUUUAAAUAACUUUGGCUUCCUUCACAAUCUCACCCAAAAAUAAAUAAAUAAAUAAACUUUGGCUUCCUUCACUCAUUGUCCAAUGAAUUUUGAGUUCCAACUUGGAACCUCAACUUGCUUCAUUAUGCCACUUUAUAUUAUACAGUAGAAGGUCUAACAAGCAGAAUUCUUUAGUAUUUCUUCAUUGAUGAUAGGGGGGUCAUUUGCCAAGACCUUAUUUUGUAUUUUCUUUCAUGUUAAAGAAGCAUCUGCAGUAACUGCCAAACACUUGCUUGUUCAACACUCAUGCGUAAGAGGGUUGUUCUCUGCAUUGAUUUUAUCGCGGUUUUGUGUUUUCCACCAUUUAUUUAGAAAAUCACUUGUGUGAUUUAAAAGUCUGUUUAGAGCAUACAGCGCUAGCAUUGCUGGCCUCAUAAUUCGUUGGAUUCUCUGAACUGUUAUUUUACCAUAAACCCUUUUCACACGUAGCAACAGCAUAUGCCAUAUGUUAAUCUCUCUCUCUCUCUCUCUCUCUCUCUCUGGAGCAUUUUCAGAUUCACCCUUCUCUUUGAAACAAGCAUGUCACAGGAGUUUAGACUACUAACUUAAUCAAUAUACUUAAGUAUUGCAGACACAUACAUGCAGGUGGAAAUGUUUUCGUACUGCAAUGAUAGUGUUGUACAUUCUAGCAGAAAUGGCAAUGGCAUUGGCAUUCUACAAAAAUAAAGGUUUCAAAACUUAGUUAUAAGUUAUAAGUUGACUAUCUAGUUUCUAAAUUAUGAUUUUAUUUUUCUCUUAUGCUUAUGGAUGAAGUUCAAUAGUUUUCAUAAAAAACGAUGAACUGAGUACACGACUUCAAGUGCAAUUAUAAAUACCUUUAAAUACUUAAAAUUACAAAUACUAGUUGCCUCUGAACAAUCAUCAAGAAAAAUAAAAUUGGAUUAACAUUACUUUUUCUUUUUUUUGAAGGAAGAAUUAAGAUUAAGAUUACUUUGAUCUAUUGUACUCCACAAGAAAAUGCUUACUACCGUGUUUAAGAGGCUUCUCGACUAGACACUAUGUAAAGAAUAAUGGGUCACCUGAGUUUUAGUCCAUAACAUGCAAAGGCUCACCAGUCCAACCCGACAUCAAGAGAUCGGGCCUAAAGUCCAAUCUACAUAUGAUUUAAAAUUGAGUGUUGCUACUCAUACACCCGAAGAUUUGCUCGCUACAGACUUCACCCACACCUACAUCAAUCUUCUGGCAGCCCUACAAUAAGAACAAGCCGGCAAUCAACACACCAAGCUGAUGCACACGCCCUUUAAAUCACAAAACACAUCUUUUGUGUCUUUAAAAUUCUAAAACUAGUGUAUGCAUACGUACAUAAGUACAUGUGAUUCAUACAUAAGCACUCUAAAGAAAACUAGAGUUCCUUUGUUUUUUUUUUCUCCCUACACUUGUGCAGCGAAGGAGACGUGUUAAAGUCUUAAAGACACGUGCCUCCAAAAUCAAUAAUUUUAUGGGAGAAAGAAAAGAUGCAUGGAUCCAUCGGGUCAUGGAAACACACACAGCCAAGGAUCAGUGUCGGCUAUUAACCCAAAAAAAAAUUUAAGGAUCAGUGUCGGGAUGUACAUAUUGGAUGAUAAUUUGUCAGUACUGGAUGCAUUCAGCCAACAAAAUCAUGUCCACUUUGUCAAAAGCUGUCCAAGUAAUUGUCUCUCCAUUUUUAGAGCUACGCACGUUGCAAGUUCUAGUGGCCUUCAUCUCCACACACACACACGCACACACGCACACACAAAAGUGAAGGAAAAAACUAAGACAUGAUCCACCUUUUCAGAAUGGCUGUUGGUCGCAACUCGCAACCAUCUAAUUAACACCAAAAUAAUAAUGUCACUUGAAUUUGAUGGGUUUCUUGACCCUCAAGUUUCAAGAGCCCGCAUUACUUAAAUAGUAGAUGGCUUAGUACUCGAAAUGUGAAAGUGGCUUUUCAGAAACUUGCUCGGAAAUCAAUUAACUUUGUAAAAGAUGAUGUGAUAACUUGAGAUAAGAUAUCAUGUCAUGUGGGCUGUUCCAGCUUGAAGUGAAAUAAAGAAGAAAAAGAAGGAAUUUUAGGUCACAAAUGCUAUAUAUAUACCUAAAAACUGGAAAUUUUGUUUGGCCUAGCAAGCUAGAUACCUUUUUUUUUGUCAAACAGCUAGCUACCUACCUUGAGAAAGAGGUCCUUCAAAAUUAUGGCUUUAUUAAAGCAAACUUAUAAAGGUUGCUUUGGUGUUCCUGGCCAAGUUCGUGAUUUGAUUUUUUGGUGGAUAUUCAUGACAUGAGGGUUGAGGGGUCCUCAAAACUCAAAAGUCAUUGCGUUCCCUUUCCUGCUAUAGAUACAUACACGUGAGCGUUUGUGUCUUAUUACUACAAACAUUGAUACUGUUCUUAAAUUAAUUCCUUGCAUAAAUCUAGUUAGUGCCAUGUUAUUAAUGAGGAAACCACUCACAUAUAUUUUAUUUUAUUUUAUCAUGUUUCUAAUAAUAUUUUUACAUUCUUGAGCAGUAAGUUCUUUGGCAACAAUGUCAUGAAGUAAAAUUUUCCUAAUGGAAAUAAAUGCAAAUGCACAUAAAUAUAUUCAUAUUUACUAUAUUGCAAAUGCAGCCACACAACAAAUGAAUCAAAAUUUCUUUUAAUAUCGUUGUAAUUGUAGGGGGCCCUUGACAUUUUCGUCCACAUAAUUUGAAGUCUUUCUCAAGCUACCACGUAUGUCCUAAAGUAAAUAUCAAUCAAGCUCCCAUUGGCUAGAGCAAUGACAAUGGCAUUAGCAUUCUGGGACCUUGCGUAUCCAAUUAUCUGUUUGAUCAAUCAAUGACCUGUAAGGCCUUGGAGAAAAUAUUAUAGAGUACGAAACUAUUUUUUUCACACUUAUUUACUACAUUGUUGGACACUAUAUUUCCUAUUGUGAAUAAAUCUUACAUAUGUGAGAUAUGAGGUACAUAAACAUAACUUUAAUGUCACCUUAAUGAAUUUGACCCAAAAAAAAAAAGUAGUCAUCUAAUAAUGGAUGAAGCGAUAUUAUUUAUACCAUAUUUAUCGACUACAUUGUUGACAUAUCUCUCCCACUAGUGAGAUACAUUUGAUUUGUCUGUUGCCACCUCUACACCUCUAUAUGUGAGGUACAUGUGAUAAGAAAAAUGUCAAGGUUGAUAUGGAAUUAAUGGUUUGGAUGGAAAUUGCCCAUAUUUAUGUGCCCUUUGUUGCCACAUCUACACAUAGUGAAAAAUCACAGAACAAGCACCUUUUGGUUGGAAACAUCCGCAAGUGAAAACAAUGCCAGAAGCUUCAUAGAAACCUUUUAGUAAUUUAGAUUAACAUCUAAAAUACCAGAUAGAACAAAUCAAUUUAAUUGUCUGGGACCAGUUUCCAUGCCUAAUGUUUCAAACCUGUCUCUUUCACCAGUGAAGAACAAGAAUGGGAGAGAAGAAACAAACGUCUUCCUCUUAUCCUUCACACAUAUUCAUUGGCUCCAGAAGAAUCAUCACAACCAUGGCAGUUUCUCCACCUCAGAAAUUUCACAGCCAAGUGAACACAAAAACCCUUAUCUAAUUCCCCCUUAGUUUCAAUCUCCUUCCCACCCAUUGCACCAAUUUCAACUUACCCUUUUUUAUUUUCUUCUCUAUCUUCAGCAAUGGCAGCUGAAAAUUCAUCAGGCACCAGGAGAAAUUCCAACACUCAGCUCCUGGAAGAGCUGGAAGCGCUCAGCGAGUCGCUCUACCAAUCCCACACUUCGAGUACUAGCACUCGAAGAACUGCCUCCCUUAUUCUUCCUCGAAGCUCAGUUCCUGCGAUACCGUCGAAAGAUGAAAUUGUUCCGGCUAGUGCUGAGGAGAUUAGACUCAAGAACAAACCCCGAAGGCGCAUGUCUUUGUCCCCGUGGCGCUCCCGCCCGAAGCUUAUCAAUGAUGAUGAUGAGAAUGAGCAAAAAGAUCGAGGCAAGAAGGCGACGAAUAAUAAUUUGCCGGGGUUGAGAAGCUUGGAUGACAAGGCGACUGCCACCACAGAGAAAAAGGGUAUCUGGAACUGGAAGCCGAUUCGCGCUAUCUCUCACAUUGGAAUGAAUAAGGUCAGCUGCUUGUUCUCUGUUGAGGUUGUCGCUGCACAAGGCCUUCCAGCUUCAAUGAAUGGCCUCCGGCUUUCUGUCUGCGUUCGGAAGAAGGAAACAAAAGAUGGAGCUGUUCAAACAAUGCCGUCAAGAGUUACACAAGGAGCUGCUGAUUUCGAAGAGACCCUUUUCCUUCGGUGCCAUGUGUAUUGCAGUAAUGGCCAUGGGAAGCAGCAGAAGUUUGAGCCAAGACCCUUUUGGAUAUAUGUGUUUGCAGUUGAUGCUGAAGAGCUUGAUUUUGGGAGGAGUUCUGUGGAUUUGAGUCAGCUUAUUCGGGAGUCCAUUGAGAGGAACAAUGAAGGUCAACGAAUUCGACAAUGGGAUACGAGUUUUAAGCUGUUAGGGAAGGCAAAAGGAGGAGAGCUUGUUUUGAAAUUGGGGUUUCAGAUUAUGGAGAAAGAUGGAGGAAUUGGAAUUUACAGCCAGACUGAUGAUUUAAAGUCUGUUAAGUCCAAGAAUUUCUCUUCUUCUUUUGCUAGGAAGCAGUCAAAAACAUCAUUUAGUGUGUCUAGUCCAAAAUUGUCAAGCAGAGGAGAAGCUUGGACUCCUUCACAAGCAGGAAAAGCAGCUGAUCUUCAGGGGAUUGAUGAACUGGACCUUGAUGAACCAAACCCAGUUCCAAUAUCAUCUUCUUCGUCUUCUUCAGCUGUGAAGCCAAAAGAACCAGAAGUCCCAAAGACAGAGGAUCUUGAUGUGCCAGACUUUGAAGUAGUGGAUAAAGGAGUUGAAUUCCAAGACAAGGAAGCGGAAUAUAGGGAAGAGCAAUCAGAAAAGUCUGUUGGGGCAAAAUCAGCAGCAUCAAGUGAGGUUGUGAAGGAAAUUGUACAAGAUCAAGUGCAUAUAACAAGACUGACAGAGCUUGAUUCUAUUGCUCAGCAGAUUAAAGCUCUUGAGUCUUUGAUGGGAGAAGAAAAAACCAACGAUAAAGAUAACGAAAUUGAAUCACAGAGAUUGGAGGCUGAUGAGGAAAAUGUAACAAGGGAGUUUCUUCAAAUGCUUGAGGAGGAGGAGAUCAUCAUGAACGAAUAUAAACUGAGCCAAAAUGAUGUUCCUCCUUUGGAGCUUGAAGGAGCAGAGGAAUCUGCAGAAGCUGAAUCAGAGGUGUGCCUUCCUGAUCUUGGGAAGAGCCUAGGCUGUGUGGUUCAAACCAGGGAUGGAGGGUACUUGGCAGCCAUGAACCCAUUAGAUACUUUGGUAGCAAGGAAAGACACUCCAAAACUUGCCAUGCAGAUAUCAAGACCAUUUGUUCUACCAUGGGAUCAGUCCAUGAGUGGAUUUGAAUUGUUUCAGAGAAUUGCAGCUAUUGGACUUGAUGAACUGAAUUCUCAGCUUCUAAAUUUGAUGGCCUUGGAUGAACUGAUGGAUAAAACCGCAGAGCAGAUCGCUUUUGAAGGCAUUGCUUCGGCGAUCAUCCAAGGGAGAAACAAAGAAGGUGCUAGUUCAACUGCUGCCAGAACCAUUGCUGCUGUUAAAACCAUGGCAAAUGCAAUGAGCACAGGUAGGAAAGAGAGGAUUUCAACUGGGAUUUGGAAUGUGAAUGAGAACCCCUUGGCAGCAGAGGAGAUUCUGGCGUUCUCCCUGCAGAAAAUUGAGGCCAUGGCUCUUGAAGCUUUGAAAAUUCAGGCUGAAAUAGCGGAGGAAGAAGCCCCAUUCGAUGUUUCUCCAUCGAACGGUACAACAAGUGGUGCAAAAGUUCAAAAUCACCCACUUGCUUCUUCUAUAUCACUGGAGGAUUGGAUCAAAAACCACAGCUUGGCCAAUUCAGAUGGGGAUCAAGAUCAUUCAGAAACAAUCACACUGGCAGUUAUUGUUCAGCUGAGGGAUCCAGUAAGGCGGUAUGAGGCAGUUGGAGGCCCUAUGAUUGCACUGAUUUAUGCAACAAGAGCUGAUGACACCAUUAAAGUAAAUAAGUAUGAGGAGGAAAAGAAAUUCAAAGUGACAAGUUUGCAUGUGGGAAGCUUAAAGGUGAGGACAAGAGGGAAGAGGAAUGCAUGGGAUAGUGAGAAGCAGAGGCUAACUGCAAUGCAGUGGCUGGUUGCUUAUGGAUUGGCAAAAGCUGCAGGGAAGAGAGGCAAGCAUGUGACAUCCAAAGGUCAAGAUUUGUUGUGGAGCAUUUCAUCAAGAGUAAUGGCUGAUAUGUGGCUCAAGUACAUGAGAAACCCAGAUGUAAAGUUUACCAAGUGAACUACAUGUAUUGUAAUAUUUGAGUGACAUCAUUUAUUUUUGUAAUUUAUUUGCUGCAAUAACAGAUACAAGGAGUAAACAGUGUCAGCUUGUAACAGCUCCAAAUAGUAAAAUAUGUUGCACUUGUGAAUAACUUCUAAGAAAAAUAUUAGAAGUCUCGCAAAACAAAACAAGAGAAAGUAACGCAGUUACUGUUCAAAUUCAACAUAUAUUGGAACAGCGCAAUUGCAGGAUUCGAACUCACGAUCUCUUCUCUCAUUCGAAUAAUUAUUUCAUACUAUAGCAAGUCAUGUUUUUUACCACUUCCUGACAAAUUUGUCUAAAUACUUUGAGGAAAAUCCUAAGAUGAUGAUUAGAACUUGAAAGAGGAAAGUCUAAAUUGCAGGAUUGUAAGCAAUGGAAUCCAAUGUGAUCCUUGAUUUGUAGGGAAUAUUGUCAUUCACUCAUGUUAAUUUAACCACGUCCAACACGAACGACCCGUUAAUCAUAUGUUUCCUAGCUUAUGUUCAUUCUUAAGUUAGGCAACAUCUAUUAGACAUAUCAUAUAUGGUAUAGUAUAUGUCCUCAUCGUAUAUCAUACUGUAUAUUGGACCAUUUUAAACAUACUCCUUGCCAUGUUUAUGUCAAUCCGACUCAACUUAUACCUUUAAUUAUUGAUGAAGUUGGAGGGAGAUUCAUGUCUUGUCAUUUUCGUCCACCGCAUUAGAAAACUUUAGAAAACCUACAUGGUGGUCCUAACCCUAAACAAAGAUCAAUGGUCCAAUUGAUUUGAGCAAGCCAGAACUUGGGACAAAUUGAACCAACGAAGGAGACAAGUAAAGAAAUUUGGCCUAGUGGCUCUCUUGCCAGGUACAUCACAUGGAUGACGACUUGCACAUGGGAAGAAUAACUGAGACUCACGACAUUUUUAAUCCAUCAUUAAAAACAUGUUAAAGGCAUUUAUUUAUAAAAUAAAUCAAUAAAUGAAUUCUUUUGCUCUGGUGACAUACAAUUCCAUUUUCAGUUUUCUUUACUGGAGGGAACACGGUCAUAUUCAACCAUCAAAACAAGUGUUAGACAAGUUCCAGAUCCACAAGAAUGGGCCCUUUGCUCCAUUGUUUUCCCACUUUGUGAACCUAACAUGGGUCUAGCUUUCAAAUGUUUGGUAUGGAGAGGAACUACAAAUCAAUUUGAUCUUCUUUUUUAUUUUUUUUAUUUUUAUAACAAUGAGAAACCAAAGCAUAUAUUUCAAGAACCCUUUUACAACCUGUACUGUUUAAAGAAAUCAAGGAAAAACAAAAGAAAAGAAGGCUGAGAGUUGAAAGCCAGAUAAAAGCACAUUUUUUAGGGGAAUGAUAAAGUAAAGAAUUUGACUCUACCACCCUCAAUAAUAUAUGACUUUAUGGAGCUUCUACCCACAGAUGAGUAUGGUGGAGGAAAAGACUUGUGUCACUUUCUGUACAACCCCCUUUAUUCCAUGGCCCCCCUUCUCUUUGUCAGGGUUCUUAUCCAACCCUUCCUUACCUUGACUCCUUCCACCUUGCUGCUCACAUGGCACACAUUGCCCUUGUUGGACCUCUUCCAUCUGAUGAGCUGGAACAAGUGCCCUAUCCUCUUCCGCCACCUAAGCGGCGUAUGGGAUUUCCCAUGCUCUAUCACACUCUUGGUGUCCUUAGCCUCCCUGACCUCCUUAGCUUCCUUAGCUUCCUUGCUGAAGUUGUGAUUCCAGGACAUGUUGCAAUGCUCUAGAGAGACCUUAGACACUCUGUUCUUCUCCCAUGAGGCAACUCCAUUCUCUUCAAACUUGAUUGAUAUGAACGAGUCUGCAAAAGCCAUUUGCAUUGUGAAAUUGUGAUUACGGAUGCCAACAAAAAUCACAAAAAUACACAUUCUUUAUAACAGUUUUUUUUUUUUUUUUGGUAAUUAGAAAACUCCCAUGACCCACUAUCUCAUUGAGUAUUGAGUAUGAGGUCUUAGGAUAAACCCCAAAUACGCAAUCAUACGCAAACUACAUGUACUUAAUACUAAGAACAUGAUUAAUCAGCGAGUUACUACAUUACAAUGGUUACAAAAAUGGCCCAAAGGGUCCCCUCCUACAUCCUAAUUUGCCCGAAUCUGCAUGACCAAAAUCAACAGCAAAUGUAGUUCAAUUACAACAACAACAAAAAAUGUAACUAGAGCGACUUCUGCAUAAAUCUAUGCAAUUAGAUUUCAUUUCUUUCAAAAUGGCGCUAAUGAUUCUAAUCUUCUCUGUUUAAAUUAUGUGAAUAUUUGCAAAUAGAAUAUGUUAGUCAAAUGUAACAACUGCGUCUUCAUUCCCUCCAAACUUUACCUUCAUUAUUAUUAAUUAUUAAUAGUUGGUUGGGAUGGAAGGAGAGAGGGUUGAGUGCAAGCAAAGAGAGAGGAAAACAAAUGGAGGUUAGAACUAAAGAAAUAAGGUAAUAUAUAAUGAUCAUACUACCUUUUUCUCUUUAAAAUAUUUAAAAUAUCAAAUUGAGUUACUUAAAAUAAUGGAAGUAUGGUGAAUAUUUCAGAUAUUUCUAAAGGGGGUUUUUUUCCAAAAAUAAUAUAGAUUAGAAGGAGUAGUGCUCCUCACUUAUUUUGAAGUGAACAAAUGCAAUUGCACAAAAUCUCAUAAAGGAAACUACCAUUUACUUCUAAAACCAAAAAAGGAUGCAUCUUGGUACAAAAGGAUGAAGCUUUCUUACAUAUUCGUCAAACUCAUCUGCUUAUGGUUUAAAAAACUCAAUGAUGGUUUCUUCAUAAACACCGUAAAAAAUUGUGAAUUGAUUAUUAAACCCCAAAACCCAACUCUUUUUUUGCCAUCUGACAACCGAUUUUUUCUUUUUCAUGCUUGUUAUUAACCAAUUUAAUUAAGGAAAAAAUGGAAUCUUACAUCUCCAAUCUGCCCAUUAAUAUUCCUGUAUGAACAUAUAUAUACUUUGACCCUAAUUUUGUCAUUAUUACCCAAAAAGCAACUAAUUAUGCAAACAUAAUCAACCAGACCGCCACAAACAAACACACAUACAAAUCCAAGCACAAUGCUUAGCCUUUAACUUUGUUUAUAUCACCCGGAAUUAAUAUCUCAUUAUCACUAAAAGCUGCAAGACAAAAAAUAAAACUAAAAAGACUAAAACUUUACCACUCACCCACAAGAAAAAAUUACCUUCUUGGCUGGUGGAGGCCUCUUGAUCCAAGUAAUUUGGCUUCCACUGUCGAUUGAAGAAAGAGCUGAAAGCAAAGAUCUUGGGGAGGCUAAUGGGUGGCUUCUUGUGCAUGCCACUCGGAGUUCUAUGAGCACUAGCUCUGCCACUGGCUGAAGAAACAUGGUGGCCCUUUUUUGCAGCCAAGAUGAGAAGCUUCUCGGUCAAGCACAGAGAGCAAACACCCACAACCACCUCCUUUGGGUGGAAAUAGCAAUAGGAGUUGUCUUCAAAAUGCCCAUUCAUGUUAAGGCUGAGAGAAUUGGUUUGUUGAGAAGAGUUGAGGGUUUGAUUGAUGAGAAAGGUGAAAAAGAAAAGCGAAAAGGAAAGGGAAAAAAAUUUUGUGACUUGAAAAGAAAGAAUAGGUUCUGUUCUGUUCUGUUCUCUGUUCUGCUCUGCUCUGUGUCCGAGAAGUGGGAAUACGUGUUGUGUGUAUAUAUUGUGGAAGUCGUCAUUUAUAGUUGGGAAAAAUUUUAGAUCAACGGAGGUGAUCAUGUGGUUGGCCCACAAAUCAAUUUGGCCAAUAUAAAAUGUAGGAAUUGGAUAGCCCUGUAUGGAGUACUAAGACAUUACAUAUACAGUAUUACUAAGCAAACAUCUUUCCUUGCUAGGUUUUAAGUGUAAAACUGGCCAAACGUGUAAAGUCGUUUAGUUCUUUUAUUAUUUUUUAAUACAAACGAUAGUCUAAAUUAUAAAUGGAAAAGAGAUUUUUCACACAGACAUUACUAAUGUAUUAUGGGAAUUCAAAUCUGAGACCACUCAUCUACAAGUCAAAGUCAUUUUCCAUUAAGUUAGACCUCGUUGAUAGUUCUUUUAUUGUUUAUUUUGAGUUUGUAAAACAAAUUUCAUUGUAGGAUUUGAGGAACAAAAUCUCCACUCAAAGUUCAAAAUACCAAAACUCAUGCCCCAUACUUAUAACUACCUAUAAGGCCAAACCAAUGCCCCCAAAUUACAAACAUAAUUUUAAAAUUCACAUUGAAAUCCUAAAUUUAGAAAUCGUCAUAUCUAAUCCCAAAAUGUCAAAAUCCACACUUCAAACUCUAAAACGUUAAAAUUCACGCUUGAAACUCUAAAAUGCAAAAUUCAAACCCUACACUACAAAAUCCCAAAAUCCACACUUGAAGAUUAGAAAAUAAUGUAAACCCCAGAAAGUAAAAAUUCCUCCAAAACUCAAAAGAUUCACAUCUCAAACUUAAAAUAACAAAGUUCACACCUGAAUCCUCAAAAUGUCUCCAAUUCACACCUCAAACCCAAAAAGUAAUUCUUCUAUGCGCAUCUACUUGAGCUAGUGGAUUCCCAACAGACUUUUAAUCCACAUCCAAUCCAAUGGCUUUUUAAAGUAAAACUGUUAAACUUGUGACUUAAAGUUUGUAUUGGGUGCUUCUGUUUUUUAUCUUUUCUGUUCUGUUUCAACAAAAGCAUGGAGAAAAUUACUGGUAAUGUGGCCUAAGACCAUUCUGCUCCCUAGCCUAGAGGAAAAACAAGAACAAAACUAUGCAGUCAAUUGAUGCUGGUGCCCACACGUUCAGUUGAAUGAUUAUAUAUUUAUUUAUGGCUAAUCGUAAUCAUGGUAUGUAUUUUUCCCAAAAGUGAAGACUUAAUGCCUAGAAUUUGACAAAACCAACCCAAGAAACCCUAUAAAAAAACAAUUGGAUUGGGAUGUGAAGUUGGCCACUGGCAUGUGAGGUUCAAGUCAAAAAGUGCGACUUCCACUUUAUUUCUAACUUUAUAAAGGCACACAGCGCAGCAAAACUGGCAUAGGAUGUAACUAAAGCGGAGGGAAGAGUGCAAAGUGGAGCUGUUUUUGGGUCUUGGUGGGUAUUUUGUAGAUGCCCAAAGGGAAGCUCACAAGAUUUGGCAAUUUUUUUUGUAGUGGUUUUUCUUUUUUCAUCACGUCUUGGAAAAGGCUGUGGUGUUGUGCAUGCCUAUCUCCAAGAAGGUUAUUUUCUCUACAAAUGUAGUCAAGGCCUUGGUAUUGCAAAUUCCCUUGGAAGACCAGAGAAUGUACUUAUAGAAUUUGUGAAAAACAGACAUGUUUUUUCUUUUUCAAGAUCUUGGCGACAUUUAUGCACGCCCCCAAUCUCCAAAAGCUCACAUUCAUAUGUCGAUCCUUACAAGUUUAAUUUUGUCCAUUUUUGGUGUUUCAAGAUAAAGAUCUCUCAUGUACUUUGACAAAACAUGUCUACCUUAUUGUUCUUAGAAAACCACGCCCUAAAACCUUAAGCUAUUAUAUAUACACCAUCCCUCGCAUGGAGAGGCAAAUCAAUAGGAAGAGAGAGACAAACAUAUAAACGAGAGCAAGUUGAAAUCUGCAUAAUUUAGUACUUUCAAGAAAUAUACGUCUAAUUGUUGAUUGGAUAUAACGUCUUUGGCCAUUGAAGGAUGAAUUUCAUAUAAUCAUUAGAUUUUCCGUGUGAAGUAGAAAUACCUAACCUUAAGAAAGUGGCAUGAGUAAAAAGUGAGAUUUUAAUCUAGAAAUUACAUACAUGGAAUGCCUUUUUUUUUUUUUUUUUUUUUUUUUUUUUUAGGGUGUGAGAUUGGAAGAUAUGUUACGAAAAUCCUUAAAGGCUUGAAGCUUAAUACCUUGUAAGGUCGUCGUUUUACUCUUGCCCUAUGGAAAAUCCUAAAAGGUUUAGAAGGUGAAGUAAACAAGCAAAGUACACAAAUUUGUAGAAAAUUGGAAAAAUUAAAAAUUUAAAAAAAAAAAAAAAAAAAAAAAAGAGGUGAACAACCAAAGUACUGGGCACAUGGGGAGCGGGAAGUGGAGUGGGGCUGCUUCUAGUUUGGCUGCCUCAACUCUCAAGUCAGGUUCAUAUCAUGGACUGUGGACCAGAUUUGGAUUAACAGGCCUCCUUUUAGGCCAUAGGCCAUGUGACAUACAUAUCAUCAUUGGCCGGAGAUGGCACUACGUGGCUAUGAUAGCAAAACAAUACUACCUCUAUUAUAACUAAGUUUUUCUCUCCUUUCUAGGGCUACCCAAGUAUGCUUGGCCAAAACAAAAAAAGGCUACCCAAGUAUCAACAUUCUUCCACUAAAUUCACAAGCUAUCCAAGUGUCAACAAAUUUAAAUCCAAGUCUAGACAUACAUCUCUCUCGAAAACAAACCUAGACGACUAGUGUCUGCAACCCAACCUAGAUGUCAACUGAUCCCAAAAACAUAAAAAUAAAAUUCAUCACCAGUUGACUGUCUGCAACCCUAUGCUCUUCUGGUGGCAACUUCAACAACAGUAACCAUAUUAUCCAUCUGCAAGCACUUACCAUCCUUGUGAGUGAACCGCUCCGAUGAGCGUUUAGGAAACACACCAUAUGGGUUACAUAAGCGCUAACCUUGGCUGCACCAUGGACUGCCCAAAGUUCCUCCAAAAUAAAAAAGACACAAAAGGAAUGGUUAAGGAAGAUUUCAAGUUUCAAGUUGUGAAAGCAUAACAUAAAUGUUUGAAAUCCUUUUAUGUUUCUGAUGUACAUAUAACAAUUAUAAAUACAAAGGCUUCAUUGGUAUAUAAAGAGUAGGGAAGAAAUUAAAGAAGCACUAUGAGACACAUGGAAGAUAGUGUAGCAGACUCACCAUAUCAGAGUCGGGAAGCUGGUUUCUUAUCUGAUUCUCAUCUCUACGCCCUCCUGAUCUUUUCUCUGAUUUAAAAAUCAAAGUGUUCAAACAAAACUCCCAAAUGAAUCACAUUCACAUUUUAUAUGGCUUAUAAAUGUACGUCUGUUAACAAUGGGAUUCUUAUAUAUCUUUGCUGCAAGAGAUUAAGGUUUCAUUAUGAAGGACUUGAUAAAUACUUAGAGACAAUAUAUACUCUAAUAACGCAAACACCUGAAAAUGUGAAGCAACUGUGGGAACUCAGAGUCUCCGGGGAACAGAGUCUGCCUCCUCCUCACCAUCUCAGCUGCAAUUCAAAAAUCCUUAAUUUGGUAAUUCAAAGUAGUGAUGAAAUCACACACACUAAACAUUUUGAUUUCACAUAACUCACCAUAAUGAAUAUCAAACACUAACACAGAAACUCUAUUUUCUUUUCCCCUCAAAGUUCGAAGUAUCAACAUCACGAAUUGGAGAAAGGACUUUUUAAUUCAUUUUCUCUUGUUUGUAUAUCAGUAUCAAUAAAGUUAUACGUAAAGAAUUUAGAUAUAUUUAUUUUAUUAGGUAUGGCCUUCCUUCUUCAAUUGCAUGCCGCUUCAUAUGAAUUCCAUCAGCUUCGAUCUCAUGUUGCCCUUGUUCCCCUUCUUCUCAAUAUCUUCAGGGUAGAUUAUAUUAUGUUGCCGGAGUGGGUAAAUCCCAUCGUGUUGCCGCUGUUGUCUCUCAUAGCCACCCCUUUAAUUUUCAUAUCAUUGCUGUUGGGAUUUCCAGCAAUGCCAUGCGUGGAUUGCUCUUGACCCAUAUUGUCUCACUGAUUGAUUUUUAGUUGGGAUCUGCGUGUUUGCUUUGAGGAUGAACUCAUUUUGCUUUGAGGAUGAACUCAUUGCCUCAUGGUCGCCUUUUAUAGUUGUUGGCAUGCACAUAUGAAGAUGAUAUCCUUUUUCUUUGGAUGCUCGAUACGCUCUGAGCAUGAUCUAUAUUGAUCAUAAUAUUCAUCACAUAUAUUUACAUUCAUAUCUGCUUGGAAUAAUAUACUCGAGUAUAAAGGUUGCUAAUUUGCCUCGUCCGAUAGCUUUAAUGAGAAUAUAUAAAGAAUAUAUAAACAUGCAUGUCACAUUUGAAGUAUCCUUACCUUGCUUGCCAAGCCACUCCCUAUGCCAGCCUUCAGAACAACCUCAAAUUAUGGCGAAGCAAUUCAGUUUUCUCCUCUAAGGAUUGAAAAUUACAGCCUGUACUAGAGAAUACUCUAGUUUACGCUUGUCUUCUUGGAAUAAUAUACUACAGUACUGUCGUAGUGGCCUUUCUUUUUCUCUUUUUAGCUACUAGUAAUAGUUCAACACAGUUAAAACUAAGACACAUGAUUGAAUAGUGAAUUAUUAUUUCAUACUUCUCCUUCUCUUAUAUAUAUACAAGUAUAGGUUGACUUCUCCAACAAGGAAAGAAAUUAGCUAAUUACAAAGAAUCAUAACUAAGUAACAACUCUAAUUAGGUAAAGUGAAUUGCACAUACUCUAAUUAGGUAAUAUGACUCAUGCCAACACUCUCCCUCAAGUUGGUGCAUGGAUAUCUCAUAUGCCCAAUUUGUCAAGUAAGUAAUGAAAAACCUUUGCAGAUACCGCAUGUUUUAAGACAUCUGCCAGAUGUUCUCCUGACCUUACAAACGGUAUAUCAAUUAACUUUUUCACCAACUUCUCCUUGAUAAAAUGCUUAUCCACUUCAACAUGCUUAGUUCUAUUAUGUGAAACUGGAUUAUUUGUUAUCUCCCUACCAACUUGGUUAUCACAAUAAAGCUUCAUGGCCUUCUAUGGUGGAAACUCAAUUUCAAACAGGAGUAUUCUUAGCCAAAUAAGCUCACAAACUCCAUGCCACAUCCAUGUACCCCCAAUGAAAGUGAAGUAACCUAAUGUAAAACGUCUAUCUGUUAUAUUGUCUGCCCAAUAUGCAUGUAUAUAACCCUUGACAUCAAAAUGCCCUAGUUUUCUCAAUAUCAAAUCUCUUGCUGGAGCUUUCUUCAAAUAACUCAAUAUUCUCAUAAAUGCUGCUAAGUGAUACUUACUAGGGGAAUGCAUGAACUCACUAACAACACUAAUCGCAUAUGCAAUGUCUGGUCUAGUGUGUGAGAGAUAAAUAAAUUUUUCCACUAACCUCUGAUAUAUAUAUAUAUAUAUAUAUAUUUUCUUGUUGGUUGGCACUUGAUUAGGACAUGUUGCUAAAUGAUGAUUCUACACAAUAGGGGUUUAGGGUGGUGCACGCCCUAACAUACCACUCUCUAUCAAUAUGUCUAGAACAUACUUCAUUUGAGAAAGACAAAUACUAGUAGCUGAGCGAGUUACUUUGAUUCUCAGAAAAUACUUCAAAGCUCCCAAGUCCUUCAUCUUAAACUAUGAGGCUAAGUACUUCUGUAAUUUACUCAUUUCAUUAAUGUCAUCACCACUAAGAACCAUAUCAUCUACAUAGAUUAUCAGCAAAGUAACCUUACCAUCCCUACGUUUGAUAAAUGUAGUAUGAUCCAAAUUACCUUGGUGAUAUUCAUACUUCUUCAUUGCUUCAGUGAACCUCUCAAACUAUACUCAUGGAGACUGGUUCAAACCAUAAAGAGCUUUGGAAGCCUACAGGCCUUCCCACUGCCACUAGACAACCCAUAACUAGGUGGUAGAUCCAUGUACACUUUUUAUUCAUGAUCUCCAUGUAAAAAGACAUUCUUCACAUGAACUACUUGAAAUGCCAAUCUAAAUUAGUUGCUAUGUACAAUAGAACUUGCACUGUAUUCAUUUUCACAACUGGAGCAAACCUAUCUUGGUAGUCAACUCCAUAUGUCUGCGUAAACCCCUUGGCUACAAGUCUUGCUCUAUAUCUGUCAAUUGUCCUAUCAAGUUUGUGCUUAACUGUAUACACCCAUCGACAUCCAUUAUGUUUCUUUCCCUCAGUUUGCUGAACAAUUUUCCAUUUUUAUUAAAAUCGCUAUGAAAGGUUUACCAAAAUGCUAUAAAACAAUAGUAGAUUAUGGCUCUCAGAUGUUUUCAUCUUCUUCUUCAUCCAAGCAGAUCGAUAACAUAUGGUCACUACUGACUUUUUUUCUUGUAGUUCUCAACUUCCAUCUUUCAAGCUAUCAACCAAGUUGUUGCAUUGCUCCUCACUGUUAGAAGAGCCUCCCUUCCCUCCUCCUCGAUUGAUUGAAAGAAAGAAAACAAAAGCAACUUAUGAAACAAGCCCCUCAUUUCCUUGUUAAACAUAAAUCGACCCAUUAUUAACGAGGACUCAGAAUCUAAGAGCACACUAGUAAUUAACCUGAGUGAGGAAUAUGGAUGGUGGAUCUCUCUCUCUCUUUUUUGAAAAAAUCAACUUCAUUAUCCUUGGUGAAUUUGUUCUGAAUUAGUCGUGUCAAGCUAUUACUAGCUAGCUAAAAACAAUACUGUAGUAUAUUAUUCUCUGCAUUUGGGCAUGCCAACAACAAAAAAUAUUAUUCUCUAUUAUAGCAUAGAGACUAAUUAUCAAAACAGAAAAUAUGAAAAAAGAAGCUCCCAAUCCGAACUUUAAGUCACAAGUUUAACAGUUUACUUUAAAACAAAAGCAAGUUACGAAACAAUCCCCUGAUUUCCUUGUUAAACAUCAACCGACCCAUUAUUAAUGAGGAUUGAGAAUCUAAGAGCAUAUGGACGAUGGAUCUCUCUCUCUUUUUGAAAACAAAAACAAAAACAAAAAUCAACUUCAUUAUCCUUAGUGAAUUUGUUCGGGAUUAGUUGUCUUGAAUUAGUACAGCUUACUUACGCAAUCGAAUAUCAAACCUAGCUAGCUAAAAAGAGAAAAAGAAAGGCCACAACGACAGUACUGUAGUAUACGUGAAGAAUCUUAUGAUCUAUAAUAUUCUGUAUUAUUGGCCAUCAUUUUCAAUCCUUAUUAAAGAAAACUUGCUUCGCCAUAAUUUCAAGUUGUUCUGAAGGCAGGCGUAGAGAGCACGUAGCUUGGCAAGGGAGGUAAGGGCACUUCGAAAGAUUCCUUCUCAUCAUCUAUACAAGGAAAUGUGUUCUCAUCAAGCUAGGGGACAAGGCAAAUUAGCAACCUUUAUACUCGAUAUAUUAUUCCAAGCAAUAUUAUGAUGAUGAUCAAUACGGAAUCUCUGUAUCAUGAUCAGUGGAUGUAUCGAUCGACCAUCCCAAGAAAAAGGAUAUACGUACUCUGCAUAUGUGCAUGCCAACAACUAUAAAAGGAGACCAUGAGGCAAUGAGUUGAUCAUCAAAGCAAACACACAGAAAUCCCAACUAAAAAUCAAUCAGUGAGACAAUGGCUGGAACCAAUGAUAUUAAAAUUAAAGGGUUUGAUUUGAGCAACAACAAAGGCAACACGUCGGGAUUAACCCACUUCGCCAACAGAGCUGCCGAGGGCGACAAGGGCGACAAUAAAAUCGAGGUUGAGGAUGCUAAAGGGCAAGGGAACACGGGAAACUUGAAAGUACUGACCGACUUCGCCCAACGCGGUAAAGUGGGCCAGUCGGAUCGCCAAGAACUACUCAAACCUCAGGCAUGAAAUUGAAGAAGGCCAGACCACAACAACUUGUCUGCUUGAUAGAUAUAUGUGCUAAAUUAUCUACACAAAAAUAAGAGCUGAUGUUUUAUCUGAGGCUCCUUCCUUGGUUAGGCCUCGUUAUCAUGUGUAAUAUUAAUAUUAUUAUUCUAAUAAAAUAAUGGUAGCUUAUUAUUAAAUAUAUCAGAAUUCUAUACGUAUAACUUUUAGAUUAUUGAUACUGAUGUCAACAAGAGAAAAUGAUUAAAAAUUCCUUUCUCCAAUUCGUGAUGUUAGACAAGAAGCAAACAAAUUUAGGAUAAUGGAUUUUAAAAGUUUGGUGACAAAUGAUGGUAAAGAAGAAUUUAGCCACUACUACAAAAAGUGAAAAAGACGACCAGAAAACAACGACGGUCUAAGUGAAAACCGUCGUGGUUUAUAAAAAGACGACGGUUCUAAAAACACCGUCGUGUAAUACAACCUUAGACAACUAAAAAAUGGAGUUUCAAAUGGCUGUUCAAAAACAACGACGUACAUAAUUAAACAACCGACGUCUAUUUGAAACAGAUUUCCUCAGUGUAAAAUCAAUGCCAACAAAGAACGGCAGAAGUUAUGAAUCGACCGACGUAGAAAGUAAAGACGACGAUUUCAAUAAAAACUGCCGUUUUUACUCAUAAAAUAACACGACGAGGUUUUCGUAUAAGACGCCGUAUAAUUACAAACAAAUCCACGGCUUUAAAAUACAAAAUAUCGCCGUAUUAAAUUAAUUUACAACGACGGAAAAUAUAAAUAUAUCGACGUCAUUCUCGUAUAGUUCUACUACGUUAUCUUUAAAUCGUACAAUAAAAUUUAUCGUCGUAUUUAUUCAUUUUAUACGUCGUACCUUUAAUUUUAACGGUCGUCUUAAUAAGAAUUUUUGUUAACAAUUUUUUUCUUUGAUUUUCUUAUCCUACGUCGGUAGAUCUACUUAAUGACAAGAAUUGAAAUAACCACGACGGUUUAUAUAGAACACCGCCGACAUAAUCAGUUUUGUCUGAGAUCCCAAGGGUUACGAAAUCUUACCAGAUGGAACUCUGUUCCACAUCAUAAUCUUAACAGAUGACACAGAUUUGCAAAUAUUGCGUCGUGUUAGUUUACAAAUUCUAGAACAUUAAUUUCCCUCAUUUUAAAUUUCCUCGGGAAAGAAAAAUCUAUUUAUCACGCUUUGGAAUUGAAAACUAAAACUGAAAGAAUACGGGAAAAAAAACUCCAUUUAUAAUUUAAAAUUAAAAUCCACGUCGGUUGUAGUACACUUAACGACGUUUAACAAAAUAAUCUACGUCGGUAAUUAUAAAUCUACCGCCAUCGUAACUUAAUAUAGACGACGAGAAAAGACGACGGUAGAACAGAAAACCGCCGUUGUUUCAGUUUCUUUAACAUAUCUUUCUGCAGGACUUGUGUAGUUCAAAGCAUUGACAAUGUCUUCAUCAUAUCUCCCAGAAACUACUGAUUCAAUUGCUCAUGCUUUAGAGGCCAUCUGAAGCCAUUUCUAUUCUUUAUCGCAUUCUUGAAACCCAUCUUCUUCUUCUGAAGCUCUACGGAUAAAGGAAGAGGCUAUCACAAUAAAUCCGACGGAUCUUCUUAGGCAAGAAAAUCAAGCAGAGGAUCAGGCACAUCUGAUCUUCAGAUUUCCCUGAGAAGCGAACUUUCCUUCGACAGCGAGUGGAGGCCAGGCUUGCAUCUCUUUUGAUGGAAAGCAAGGAGUAUUCAGAAGCACUAAGUGUCCUAUCAGGCUUGAUCAAGGAAGUGAGAAGGCUAGUUGACAAGCUUCUUCUUGUGGACAUAUAUUUGAUGCGAGUAAGCUCAAUUUCUCUUUGAGAAAACAUCCAAAUUAUUAUCUUUGAGACAUGAGAGACUGAGAGAGGAAGAACUUGGAACCUUAAAUGUAAACCGAAAAUGAAUGAAAGCGACAAAUUUAUAGAAUAAAUUUUUAAAACCAACGGCGGUCCUUACAAACAAACCGCCGUUUAAAUUGUAAAAUCAACGUCGGUAUGAUCGACGUAUAUUACAGAAAUCCACGUCGGUAAAUUAAUAAAAACGACGUGUUAAAUAAUAUACCAUGACGCGAGUUAUUACUUAUGUACUUUAAUUUUUGAGUUUACUACGACGGUACCUACAAACUACUGUCGUAUUUAUUUACCACGUCCGAAGUUAAAUGUACCGUCGUAUUUUGUAAUUUAUACGUCGUAGUUAUAUGUAACCGCCAUAUUAUUUUUUUGAAAUGGUUUUAUAUGUAAGCAACUUUUCGUCUACUUGACUUACACAUUUGUUGUUUUUAUAUUCUUAUUUUAUUUAAAUCUGUCAUCCAAAAAAGAAACUUUACAUAUUGCAGAAUAUUAAUUUCCUUCGUUUUAAAUUUCCUCCGGAAAAAAAACUCUAUUUAUAACGCACUGUAAUUGAAAAAUAAACUGAAAGGUCACGGGAAAAAAAAUUCUAUUCAUAAUUUAAAAAUUAAAAUCCACGUCGGUUAUAUUAAACCUAACGACGUUAAAUGAAAUGAUUCCACGUCGAAUGAAAAAUAUUGCGUCGUUUUAGUUAAAAACGACGUAGUUAAAUGUAACCGCCGUAUUAUUUUUUUGAAAUGGUUUUAUAUGUAAGCAACUUUUCGACUUACACAUGCACUGUUUCCAAACCCGAUUAAAAAUUUCAAUCUCCCAGAGAAACCUUUUCGUCUUUUUUCCUUGUCAGAGCAUUGUCAGAGUUUUUCAUCGUCUUCCUCUCGUCUUCUUCGUCGUCUCUGAACUUAAACAUCGAUCAUCUUCCUCUUGCUUUCAUUGCACGCAAAAGGUAAGCUUUCAUUUUCACUAUUUUGGUUACUGUUUUGCAUGCUCAUACGUUUUUUGUUUGAAAAAUCUUUUUACCUUUUUUCUGGCCAAAAUCAUUUUACUUCUUUCCAAGUUUGAUAAAAUAUACAGACAAAGAGAGAAAGUUUCCAACUUUGAAGACAACUACAUCAACUAAAUAAGACGACGGUAGACCACGACGGUUCGUCAGUUGUUCUAGCGUCGUCUGAAAAUUGACAAAGUUGUUUUUAAAAUAAUAGUCUUUUUUUAUAUGCUUGUUUAAUUGCAGGUUUGAUUUCGCUGAACAAUGGUUUUUGUUUUUCCCUUAUUUGAUAAAAUAUAAAGAAAAAGAAACUAGGGUUGGUAUCUAAUAUAGACGAUAAAAUAUAAAUAAUAGUUUACCACGACGGUGUAUUACUAUUGACGUCGUGUGAACAUAUAUACCACGACGUUAUAUAAAUAAUGGUUUUAAACAUUUAUUACGUCUGAGAUUAUUUCAUUGCGUCGUCUAAAAUCAUAUCAUACGUCGUAUUUUUUUAAUACCGUCGUUUGUGUUCUUAAUGUUUUCCUGAAAUAUUUUCACUUGCAGUUUUGUCUGUUAAAAUGGUUUCUCAACAACAAACUAAGGAUUCUGGCUCCAAGAAGCUUGGAAUGGUAGCUCCUCAAGAUAAGUCUUCGAAGGAGAUGAAGUCUUCGAAGAAGAUGAAGUUUGCUUCAUCAUCUGCUGAGACAGAACAAACCAGCCAGACAACAAUCUCAGAUGAUUCAAAGACUGGUCGAGGUAUGAGCACAAUGCCUCGUGUUGUGAAGAGAAAGCUUCAGAAACUGAGGCCAAUUGUUGAGUACAAUAAAAGGGGGAAAGGUGUUGGCCAAGCACAUAUUGAGAUGCAGUCGUAUAUUGGUGUGUUGGCACGCUCCAGGAUCCCACUUGUGGACAAGAAAUGGUCCCAAAUCCCCAAGGAUAUAAAGGAGCAGAUUUGGGAAGCAGUUGACAUGGCUUUUGUCGUAGGCCAAGGGGGCAAGACCUCUGUUUUAGCUUCUGCUUCCAAGAAAUGGAAGGAUUUCAAGUCUACACUAACGAGGCAUUAUAUCCUUCCAUACACCAAUGACAGGGAGAAAUUAAGCCAACCCCCUGAAACAUAUAAAUUCAUAGAGAAAGCACAAUGGGAUGCCUUUGUAGCUUCAAGGCUAUCCAAAGAUUUUGAGUCUGUGCAUUCUCAACAUGCACAGAUUAGGGAGAAACUCGAGUACAAUCAUCGAUUGUCUCGAAAAGGAUAUGCUGGAUUGGAGGAUCAAUUGGAGGAAACCAUGCCUGGGGUAGAAAUUGAUCGAUCUACCUUAUGGAAGAGAGCUAGACAGGACAAACAUGGUAACAUCCCUGAUCCAAAGGUGGCAGAGAAAGCAAAAUUAAUUGUAAGCCUACUAUCACUCUGUUUUAAAUUUUUAUUAAACUGUGAAUUAUUCUUAUUACGUCGUAUGUUAUAUUUUUCGUCGUGUGAAUGAUAUUACCACGUCGAAAAGUUUUUAAAAACGUCGUUAAAGGUCUAAAUAGGAAUCACUACUAUGUUUUCUGUAAUUACAGCAUAAGACGUCGGUGGUUCAUUUUCGCGUCGUGUGAAUGAUAUUACCACGUCGAAAAUUUUUUAAAAACGUCGUUAACGGUCUAAAUAGGAAUCACUACUCUGUUAUCUUUAAUUAUAGCAUAAGACGUCGGUUGUUUAUUCAUUUCGUCGUUUUAAAUAAAUAACCACGUCGGUAUAACUACCGUCGUGAUAAGUUAUAAUAACGUCGGUUUAUACGUUAUUGCGUCGUGUGAAAUUAUAUAAUACGUCGUUUGUACAUAAAUAACCGUCGUGUGUUUUUUUGUUUAUCUUUUUUUAGGAUGAAUUGCAGAAACAAGUCUCGGAAGGCAAAGUCAGAGUAGAUGGCAGCAAUGAUGUGCUGACCAUGGCUUUGGGCCCCGAGCAUCCAGGCAGACUGAGGGGAGUUGGUGCUGGUGUUUCCCCAAGGCAAUAUUUCAAUUUGCCCAAACCACAGAGGGUGAGCUUUGACGACCGUUUGAAGGACAGUUUAAGAGUUCUCCUUCAAGAAGAGACUAAAAAGAUGGAGGCUAAGGCAAGGGAAGAGGCCUUAAGGAUGGAGGCUAGGACAAAACAAUUGGUAGAGGCUGAGAGGGAGCAUUUCCUGAGUCAGCUUUCCCAAUUAAUUCCCAAUUUUGAUCCAAGCAUGCUUAAACCAAGAAUUAGCCAAAGCCCCAAAAAUCCAAUGUCUGACAAAGCUAGCUGCUCUGGAGGUGAUGUGAGAUCCCUACAUUUGGAGGAUGAUACUGCCAAAAUGGGGAAACAUCAGCCAGAUGAAGAGAAGGAAGAAGAAAAAAGAGAUGAAGAGAAGGAAGAAGAAAAGGAGAAAGAAGAUGAAGAAAAGCAUGACGACAAGGUAUGUUCACAUAACUUUGCCUUUUUUAUUUGUUUUUCAAAAUUUCAGACGUCGAUAUUUUUAUUUAAUCCGUCGUUUGUUUAAAACUUAGACGGCGGAAUUUUUUUAAGACGUAAUAAAAUAUUUAAACGACGGUUUUUGCACCGUCGUUUAAAUGGUUUCAGACGACGCUUUAUUCAUAAAACCGUCGUCUUUAUUGAAUUACCACGACAGUUUUUUCACCGUCGUUUAAAUACUUUUAAGACGACGUUUUAUUACUUAAACCGUCGUCUUUAUUGAAUUACCACGUCAUUUUUUUUAUUUCUUUAAACAGGUUAUUGAAGUUGGUGCUUAUUCAAAAAUGGAGGCGCCAUCUUCUUUAAAAACCCUUUGUCGUUUUGUGGAAACGACACUCCUGCCUGAGGAUAAGACACUCCAAUUUACAAUUGAUAAGGAGGUGUUUGGUGGUGAGCGCGAUACCUUCCUCCUGCCUGAAGAUAUUACACAAUUUGCAGGCAUGGAAGAAAUUGGAGCUACUGUAUUGGCUGUAUAUAUGAGGUUUGUACUUCUAAAAUAAUACCUCGUUGGUUUAUAUAUUGCGUCGUCUUAACUAACUAACCACGUCGUCUUAACUAACUACCGUCGUGAUAAAUAUAUUAUAACGUCCUCAUCUAUUUCAGUACGUCGUGUGAAAUAUUAUAAUACGUCGUUUUUUUAUACAUAACCGUCGUGUUUGUUUGUGCUGACUUGUUUAUAUUAUUUUAUGUAUUUAGGUACUUACACGAUGUUUUGAAACAAGCCAAUAUGUGCAGCAUGGUUGGCUUUAUUGACCCUGCUACAGUUAGUGCCAACUCUGGCACAAUAACUGAAAGAUCACGACUGGUAGCAGCUCGACUUCAGAAGACAGACGGUGAACAGCUUUUCAUGAUGCCUUACAAUCCAGGGUUAGUCUCCUUAGGAUUUUGUUUUUAUGAUUUUCAAUAAAUGACAGCUUAUAAACUAACCACGUCGGUGUUUUAUUUUAUUUAGUCGUUUGAAACUACUAACCACGUCGGUAUUUAUUUGUCGUCGUGAUAAAUAUAUAAUGUUGUCGUUAUCUACUUUAUUUCGUCGUGUGAAAUACUAUAAUACGUCGUUUUUGUAAAUAACCGUCGUUUUUAUAUUAAUUUUGUGCAGCCGUCAUUGGAUCCUGCUGAUUGUAAGAGCAAAGAAGGAGACCGUCUAUUUUCUGGAUCCUCUGCCAGGUCAUCGUGUGGUCGACGAAGAGGCGAAAAACAUCGUGAACAGUGCUUUAAAAAUAUAUAAUACCCACAUAGGCCGAGCAGGACGUAAAAAUGUAAUUUGAAAAACUCUCUCAGGCACACCAAAGCAACCCAGCAAUGUCGAAUGCGGGUAUUAUGUGAUGCGCUUCAUGAGGGACAUCAUCAUGGAUCCUUCCUUGGGGUUUGAGAAUAAGGUAAGAAGAAAUUACCUUCAUACAUUUCACGUCGUUUUUUGUAUUAUCAACGACGGUCAUGUAAAAUUAACGUCGUUGAAUGGAUAUACUACGUCGGUUAUGAAAAAUAUCGUCGUCUGUGAUUGAAUUUCUUUUUAUUUAUAAACCCUAAUAGUCAUUGUUUAUGCAGUAUGCCAAGGGAAACCAGGAAGCUUCAUACCCCCAAGAAGCCAUUGAUGAAGUCCGGAAUGAAUGGGCAGAGUUUGUUUUCCAAAUUAUUAAACAGGGCAAUUAUUGAACACUUGAUAUUUAUGUAUAAUGUACCAAUUUUCUCUAUAAUAUGUAAUGUAAAAAUUUGUUGAGGUUUUCUUAAAUUAAAAAAAAAACAAACAUACAAAUUGCUUAACCGACGUGUAAUACUUUUCCAACGACCUAAUAAAGUCACAAACCGUCGUAUUUUGUUGUUUCGUGUUUUAAACAAUUACGACGUAAAAAAAUAGUUAGACGACGUUCUUUGAACAAUUGAGUCGUUAAUGGUUUACAAUAUCUUCAAUUUCUUAAGGGUUCAGGGUAUAAUCGACGACGUUUAUGUAACGACUGCGGUUAAGUCGUAAAAUAUAUAUUUUACGUCGUAUAGUUAAAUAGCCGCCAUGGUUUUUCAUUUUAACGACGUCAUUUUAACGACUUAGUAGUCUAUUACAAUUUACAACGUCUACAAUUUAUUAACACCGACGUGGUUUGUUGUUGUGGUAAGAAUAUUUUAUUAUUUUUAUAUCAAAAUAUUCAAAAUAAAUUUAAAAUAAAUCAGAAAAUUGAAAAGUCAACUCCUAUGAAGUCAUUGAUAUAUUUUCUUCCACAUAAACCUUGAAAAAAUUCAUUUUGAAUAACAAAAAUUUAAAAUGACCAUCCAAAACAAAAUUGUUUUGAUGACUCAUAAAAUCACUUCUAGUUUUAUGGUUUAGGGUUUAGAGUCUAGGGUUUAGAGAUUAGGGUUGUUAUUUAUUGGGGUUUAUUUUUAAAGUAUAAUUUUUGGGUAGUCUAGGGUAUAUGUUAGGCUUUAAAACCAUAAAACCUUUUAUAAACUUAAUUUUUUAAAUUGUAUAAUUUAAUUUUAUGGGUUUAGGGUAUUAAUUUUUAACGACGGUGGUUGGGUCGUGGAAUACAUAUUUUACGUCGUACAGUAAAACAUACGACAUGGUUUACGCUUUAAACGACGUCAUUUUAAUAUGUAAGUCGGUUUAUAUAAUUUACAACGUCAACGUCUUUAAUUUCUUAACACCGACGUGGUUUUUCAGUCGUCGUUAUAUAAAAAAUUCAAAAUAAAUUUAAAAUUAAUCCGAAAAAUGAACGGCCUUACGUUCUUAAUCCGAAAAAUGAAGUUUCCGUCGUGGAAUAUUAAAUUUACGUCGGUACUUGUAGAACUUUCGCCUUGGUUUUUCUUUCGACGUUUUAAAACGCGCGCGCUCUAAAAAUUUUCGCGCGACCUAAACUUUUUUAGAUUUGGCUCUUAUUCUUAUACUUCGAACCCUGAAACCUAAAANNNNNNNNNNNNNNNNNNNNNNNNNNNNNNNNNNNNNNNNNNNNNNNNNNNNNNNNNNNNNNNNNNNNNNNNNNNNNNNNNNNNNNNNNNNNNNNNNNNNNNNNNNNNNNNNNNNNNNNNNNNNNNNNNNNNNNNNNNNNNNNNNNNNNNNNNNNNNNNNNNNNNNNNNNNNNNNNNNNNNNNNNNNNNNNNNNNNNNNNNNNNNNNNNNNNNNNNNNNNNNNNNNNNNNNNNNNNNNNNNNNNNNNNNNNNNNNNNNNNNNNNNNNNNNNNNNNNNNNNNNNNNNNNNNNNNNNNNNNNNNNNNNNNNNNNNNNNNNNNNNNNNNNNNNNNNNNNNNNNNNNNNNNNNNNNNNNNNNNNNNNNNNNNNNNNNNNNNNNNNNNNNNNNNNNNNNNNNNNNNNNNNNNNNNNNNNNNNNNNNNNNNNNNNNNNNNNNNNNNNNNNNNNNNNNNNNNNNNNNNNNNNNNNNNNNNNNNNNNNNNNNNNNNNNNNNNNNNNNNNNNNNNNNNNNNNNNNNNNNNNNNNNNNNNNNNNNNNNNNNNNNNNNNNNNNNNNNNNNNNNNNNNNNNNNNNNNNNNNNNNNNNNNNNNNNNNNNNNNNNNCUGUUUUUGUUUAAAACCCGUCGUCUCAUGUUGUUUAUACCUUGCGAUUAGAUCAUGUAUAAUCUGCUAUAGUGAUGGUCAUGCCUGUAUUUUCACUUUUAUAUAGAUAAUAGGUUAUAGUGUCGGAGAUGGAUAAGUCAUGGAUGCACUCGGAUAGAAGAUCGAAGGCAUAUGAGUUUGGGGUGGAAGCAUUUUUGAACUUUGCUGUAGAAAAUCUUCUAACUACAACACAUAUCCGUUGUCCAUGUGUUAAAUGUGUUAAUUUGAAGUUGUUUGGGGUUGGAAUUAUAAGGGAUCACUUAUACUUUAAUGGAAUUGACCAAAGCUAUAAGAAUUGGACAUUUCACGGAGAACCUUGGGAAGCAACUACUAAUGCUAGCAGAAAUGUUGAAGAAGAUGAUGGCCAUAGUAGGUACAGUUUUGUGUCUGAAGAAAUUGAUAUGGAUGAUAAUGAUUUUGGUGAUUUUGGUUCGGAUCCGUAUGAGUUUGCCAAUGUGAUUGGGGAUGGAGAUCAACCAGUGUACCCUGGUUGUAGAAAGUACACGAAGUUAUCGGCAUUAGUGAAGUUGUAUAAUUUGAAGGCAAAACAUGGGAUGAGUGAUGUCUGUUUUACAGAAUUAUUGAUACUUCAAGGCGAUUUGCUUCCAGAAGGAAAUACAAUACCAACCUCCAUGUAUGAGGCUAAAAAGACUUUGUGUGCAUUGGGGCUGAGUUAUGAGAAAAUGCACGCAUGCCCCAAUGAUUGCAUCUUGUAUAGGAAGGAGUAUGAGGAUUCAACUAAUUGUCCUACUUGUGGUAUCUCAAGGUGGAAGGAAGGCAAAGAUGCAAUCUUGAAAGAGGGUGUGCCAGCGAAGGUGGUGUGGUAUUUUCCCCCAAUUCCAAGGUUUAAAAGGAUGUUUCAAUCACAUGAGACAGCUAAGAGUUUGACUUGGUGGCAUGUUGCUAGAAAAUCAAUUGACGGUCAGAUGUCUCAUCCGGCGGAUUCCCCGUCUUGGAAACUUCUUGAUGAUAAAUGGCCUGAGUUUGGUAAUGAGCCGAGAAACUUGAGAUUGGCUCUUUCAUCUGAUGGAUUCAAUCCCCACAGUUCUCUAAGUAGCAGAUAUAGUUGUUGGCCGGUUAUCUUAGUUACAUAUAAUCUCCCUCCAUGGCUGUGCAUGAAACGAAAGUUCAUGAUGUUAACCUUAUUGAUUUCCGAUCCUAAACAACCCGGAAAUGAUAUAGACGUCUACUUGGAGCCUUUGAUUGAUGAUUUAAAAUCCUUGUGGGUUGGGAUUAGAGGAGUGUAUGAUGCACAUAAUGGAGAAUACUUUACACUCAGAGCUGCAUUAAUGUGGACAAUUAAUGAUUUCCCCGCCUAUGGAAACUUAUCUGGUUGUGUUGUUAAAGGAUAUAAAGCUUGUCCAAUAUGCGGCGAUGAUACACCUAGUCAAACAAAUAUUUUUUGUUGACGACCCGAUGCAUCGUGGUUGGUCGUGUAGGCGUGUGAGUGUGUGUUUGUGUUUGUUUUUGUGUGUGUGUGUGUGUGUGUGUGUGGUGUGUGUGUGUGUGUGUGUACCAUUACUNNNNNNNNNNNNNNNNNNNNNNNNNNNNNNNNNNNNNNNNNNNNNNNNNNNNNNNNNNNNNNNNNNNNNNNNNNNNNNNNNNNNNNNNNNNNNNNNNNNNAUGUAAUUGGCAGUGUAUGACAUUAAUUUUGUAAUAUAUUGUAAUGUGAUUUCUUCACUUUCUACGUUCAAAUAAAACACGACGUUAUUGUGAAUCAGUUAUUCAGCAUAUUUACCGACGUCUUAAAGCAACGUAACAAUGAAGAACCACGACGCUAUUGUGAAGCAAUUAUUCAGGAUAUCACGUCGGUGAAGGAUAAAGAACCGCCAUGUAAUUCAAAAUAACACGACUCCAAUCCCAUAAUACCGACGUCUAAAAAACGAGAUAUGUAAUCUGAACGUUAAAAAAUACGACGUCAUCAUACAUUUUCCACGUCGCAAGUUCUUUUAUAAACGAAGAGGAACGAAAUUAAUUCCGACGGAAAUUCAUUAUAACCGCCGUCUAAUAACAAUUAAACGACGUUAUUUGUAAUACGGCUCCCAUCAUAAUCUACGCCGUCUAUAUGUUCUGUAAUACGGCUCUCAUUUAUUUGGAACCGACGUUGUUUAGACGUUCAACGUCGUCUAUAUUAUUAAGUGCGUCGUGAGUAAUGAAUACAUAUAAAUACAACGUCGACUAUAUAAAUGUAUACGUCGUAAAUAAUGACACUGACAACUAUUUCCACGUCAUCUUUUUUAGAUAAAAUCGAAGUGGAAAAUUUAUUUCACGACGGUUUUUUGUAAAUAAGAGACGUUGUAGAACUUUAGCAGACUAAACACGUCUGUUUUUAUUGUUUUCCGACGUUGUUGUAUUUAACAACGUCUAAUAUUUAUGGUCGUUGUUUGUUUCUGAAAAUAGGACGUAUAAAUUUUUUAAUACGACUCUCAUAUAUUUGUAACUGACGUUGUUUAGUUUUUCAACGUCUACUAUAGAAACACAUACGUCGUAAAUAAUGACACUGACAACUAUUUCCACGUCAUCUUUUAUCAAAAAAUCGAAGUGGAAAAUUAAUUGUACGACGGUUGUGUUUAUAUGUGCGACGUAGUAGGUAUCAAUAACAUCGUCUUCUAAUGUAUUUAAAGACGUCAUAUUUUUUAUUGUCGUGAAAAUUAUAUUUAACGUCGGCGUAUUUUUAUUGUCGUCGUUGUAUGUCUAUCUUGCGGCCUUGUUCUCUUAAUAUGUGUCAUAUUUUCCCUUUUUAACGACGGUCUUUUUAGAGAAUUGGUCGUCUAUUAUCAUCAUCGAUUGCUUUUUUUAGAUCUUUUUGCAGUACAAAGACGUCGUUUUGUAUUUUUUGAUGACGUUGUAUUGUUUAACAACGACGGUUAUUUAGCGUCGUGGUUUAUGAGGGAAAAGAUGACGGUGGAUUCCACGACCAUUGAAAAACCAAAUACACGACGGUGAUUUACCGUCGUCUUUUUGCUUUUUUGUAGUAGUGAUCGGAAACUUGACUAAUUAGAAUACAACAUAUGUCGAAAUAUUUUUAUCAUAAAUGGUCUCUAAGGUUCGUGAAAUUAUUAGCUUUAGUCCUUCAUGUUUUUUUGUGACAUCAUUGGUCCUUUAUGUUACUCCUCUUCACACAUCAAUUUGGUUCUGCCGUUUGGAUUCGUCAAAAUUUAUGUUAAAUUGAUGGCAUGACAUGUAUAUGGUGCCUACAUAUCCAAUGAGAUAAUGACCCGUGGAUCUAAGUAAAAAAUUUGUUUUAAAAAAAUAGUUUCAUAUUUAAAAUUUUUAAAGGGCGAAGACUCAUUGGGUAACUCGAAGUUUGGGUUGUUGAAGCCUUCAAGCAUGGUUUUGCUCACAAAAGAUUGGAACGCAAUGUGUUGGGUUGAGCACUGAAAACCAAAGAAUAUCAAAAAUGUAGUAGGGGGGAGAGAGAGAGAGAGANNNNNNNNNNNNNNNNNNNNNNNNNNNNNNNNNNNNNNNNNNNNNNNNNNNNNNNNNNNNNNNNNNNNNNNNNNNNNNNNNNNNNNNNNNNNNNNNNNNNACCUCAUGUCAGCACUUAAUAGAAAAUUUGACGGACCCUAACGGCAUGGAUCAAAUUGAUGUGUGGUGUGUAACAAAAAGGAUCAAUAAUGUCACAAAAAACAUAAAGGACCAAAGUUGAUAAUUUUGCGAACCUUAUACACCAUUUAUGAUAAAAACCCUAUAUUGUAUAAUUUUAGUGUGUUUUUUUCUUAAAUGCUAUUGAGAAGAGAUUUUAUAAAACUGCUAUAUAAAAGGUUCACCACAAUGCUAUAAAACAAUAGUAGAUUAUGGCUCUCAGAUGUUUUCAUCUUCUUAUUCAUCCAAGCAGAUCGAUAACAUAUGGUCACUACUGACUUUUUCUUGUAGUUCUCAACAUCCAUCUUUCAAGCCAUCAACCAAGUUGUUGCAUUGCUCCUCACUGUUAGAAAAGCCUCGUUUCCCUCCUCCUCCUCCAUUGAUUGAAGGAGAGACAACAAAAGCAACUUAUGAAACAAGCCCCUCAUUUCCUUGUUAAACAUAAAUCGACCCAUUAUUGAUGAGGACUGAGAAUCUAAGAGCACACUAGUAAUUAACCUGAGUGGGGAAUAUGGAUGAUGGAUCUCUCUCUCUCUCUCUCUCUCUUGAAAAAAUCAACUUCAUUAUCCUUGGUGAAUUUGUUCUGAAUUAGUCGUGUCCAGCUACAAGCAAUACUGUACGUAGUAUAUUAUUCUCUGCAUUUGUGCAUGCCAACAACAAACAAAUAUUAUUCUCUAUUAUAGCAUAUAGGCCGUCAUUUUCAAUCCUUAUAAGAGAAAACUUGCUUCGCCAUAAGAGUACGUAGCUUGGCAAGCAAGGUAAGGGUACUUCAAAAGAUUCCUUCCAUCAUCUAUAUAAGACACAUGUGACAUUGCAUGUCUCAUCAAUCAUGUUAAGAUAAAGCUAGCUGGCAAGGCAAAUUACCAACCUUUAUGCUCGAGUAUAUUAUUCCAAGCAGAUAUAAAUGUUAAUAUAUGUGAAGAAUAUUAUGAUCAAUAUAGAAUAUGUAUCAUGAUCAGUUAUGGUAUCGACUGUCAGAAAAUAUCAUCCGCAUAUGUGCAUACCAACAUUAUCGAAAGACAGUAGGAGUAUCGUCAUAUCCGAUACAAGUAUCGGAGCAUGGGUAAGAGUAUAUAUACAAGCAUACCCGUCCAAUUAGGAGAAUCAGUGCAACAUAGAUGAAAAGAAAUUAGAUGUGAUUUCACAUAUUUUUAAAGAAUAGGGGAAAUAAACCAAUUAAUCUCUUUUGUCUUCUCCAUACAUUUUUGGUUGUGAAUUUUGGUUUUCGAAGAAUUUGGCAUUUCAAGCAACUUGGAAAACAUUUUGAUGAUCCAUUGAACCUUGUUAAAGUCGAUAUUCAAUCUCUAUGGACUUUGGCCGAAAUGUCUCAUUUCAAUUGGAAAGUGACAUUGAGAUUUGAAAAGACUAGACAUUAAGGUGGCAAGAGAAGUCUAAAAGGAUCAAACAGAAAAAAAUAAUGAAAAAUUGAAAAUAACCUAGAAAGGGGAGAAAAAAUUAGUUGCAAUAGGGAUAAUAAUGUUUGAGUAAUGCUAAACGAACUCUAAAAUUAACUUAGUACACCCUACUAUCAAACUAUUUAUUGAAUUACUAAUUUACCCUAAUAUAAAAUGACCAAAAAGGAUAUAUUGAAUUGUGCAGCAAAUGUAAUUUUAAUAAGUACACAUUACUCACCAUAUUCAACCCUAAUAUUCGAUGGAGGCGACAUUGAAUGCUAUGAAUCCAACCCAAACCCACCACCACCGUCCCUCUCUCUCUCUCUCUCUCUCUCUCUCUCUCUCUCUCUCUCUCUCUCACAAAUUAUCUUAUUUGCUCUAAAUUUUUUGCAAUGAGUCAGAAUCUUCUAUGUGUAUGUGGCAUUCGUUCAUUAGACUUGGUUAAUGCAUUCAACCCACCCAAAACAAUAAUCAUUUGAUGUUCAUCCUCGAUGUUGGUGGUUUCAAGUGAGCAUGUUCCCAAACGGCUCUUACACUUGCCCACUAGAACUCCAGCUCCUCACCCUCUGAUGAAUCUAAUGACAAUUAUGUUGUUGUUUGCACCAUAAACACCAACUUCCAACAACUCCAAUACAACCUAUUUCUUCUUAAUUAGAUACCUUGGGGGUUGAUAGCAACCUCAAUAGUCUAAGAAACAAACCCACUUCGGAAUUUUCCUUCUUCCACUAGUUGAAGGGAGAUGGGUUCCAACACGAUAUUACGCGCUUAUUAGAAUCUUAUACUCGUCGAGUCUGGGUUGGCUGGUGAUAAGCAGGGGAAGGGUGGAGUUGGGUUGUGUUAGAGAGAGAGAGAGAGAGAGAGAGAGAGAGAGAGAGAGAGAGAAAGAGAAAGAGAGAGAGAAGGGCGGUAGUGGUUGGGUUGGGUUGGAUGCGAAAGGGCUUAAAUCAGAGGAGGAAGGACGGGUUUGGCUGGGUGGGUGACAGGACCCGACCCAAUUUCCGCUUUGGAAUCCGAGCUGAAUCCUGUGCGUGUCCGACACCUGGCGAAUGUCGGGCACGAAUGACCUUUUUACCCUUCUCUUUUCAAAUUCUUUUUUUUUUUAAACUUCCCUUAGACUUCUACCGAAAAUUCGACAGAGUCUCCCCUGUAUUUUGACCAAACCCAAAGUCUUCCACCUGUCAAACAGUCUCAAAUAACACACCAACUACCAGACUAACUCAACCAACAGAUCUCAACUCCAGUUUCUCAUGUUCAACAAGAUAUCAAAGCAUUUCUAUACAAAUUUACAGAACUAUGAGAAAGUUACAACGAGAUCCUACACUUUGGGGGUGGGGCGAAAGCUGGGAAGAUGGCCCGAGUGGUUUCCUUCGUACUUCUAUGGCCUGGGGGCGAAAAACAAGGUUAAAAUUGUGAGUGGACAAAAAUAAAAUUCUUUAAAACAAAAACAAGUUAGAACAUAAUAACCCCCGUUUUGAAAUACUAGGGAUAUAAAUCGUUAAUUUAGCUAUAUUUCAAUAUAAGGAAUUCAAUAAACAUGAAUAAAUAUACUGACGAAUAAACUUGCAUAACUGAUCAAAUAUAUAUAAAGAUAAUAACGCAUGAAUAUCAAGAAACUGGUAUAAAAUCACGGGAAAUCAUAACUGGAUAAAAGAGCUCAAAAUCCUUUGAAACUACCACCUAGAUGUACCCCUGUCAUAUCCGUCAAUUCCCCUGGCAGGUCUCGGGCGUCACGCAGUCUACCCGAGCCGCAAACUGGCGAAAUCAAGGGACUAUGAUCAGCCUGAUCCGCCGGCAGGUCUCGAUGACACCAAGUCGACUCGAGCCGCUCUGGCAGGAUGCAGGGGACCGCAGUCAGCCUGAUCCGCAAUCCUGGCAGGUCUCGGGGACACAGAGUCAGCCGAGCCGCAAAUCCUGGCAGGUCUCGGGACACCAAGUCUGCCGAGCCGCAAAUUCUGGCACUCACGGUCCGAGCGUCCCCGAAACUCGUGAGGCAAAGUCAAGUGCACUGACGUAACUGAAAUCAGACUGGAUGUUCGUAGACAUCGGUCCGACUGUGGGUAAUCACCAUAAAUAGAUGGGUACAUGGUGGUUUAACAAGAAAUUCUGAUAACUCUCUGAAAUCUGAUAAGUCUGAACUAAAUUACUAUCUUUGUAUCAAAAGUCUCAAGUUUACUGCUCAACCAAUAUUAUAAAAAUAAAGAUAUUUCACAAUGCAAAUCAUGCUUCGAAAUUACGUAAUAACACUUAUUCAAGAUCAAAUAGAAAAUAUAAUUAUAAAAUCUUUUAGGAAAGAAAAGUCCACUCACUGUUGGUCCGAGCUAUCUGGACCCUUCGAAGAUCCCUCAUGUGGGUCAACUGGACCUCUGGUGCCUUACUCGAUUGAUUUGGUGGAGAAUUGAAGGAGAACGAAGGAGAUGAAGUUUGGAUGAAAAACAGGCGGAAAUCGCCAGUUUCCGGCCAAUUCCCGGCGGUCCAAGGCCGGCGACGGGUCGAGGAAGGGAGGCGGCGGCGAGGCGGACCGAUUGACACCAACGGCGGAGGUCGCCGUGCCCUGUAGCGACGGCACGCUCGAUCUGAAACAGGGAGGGGGGCGGCGGUUGCGACGGGAGAGAGAGAGAGAGAGGAGAGAGAAAUGAGGAGAGAGAAGAGAGAAGGAAGAGAUAAAAUCUGACUUUUUUUUCAAAUUACCGUUUUGCCCUUCGAGGUAAUUUAAUCGUAUCUUCUUCAUUACAAUUCCAAUUCGGGUCUACUCCGUGUCUACGGACUCGUUUCGCCGUGCUCUACGCAACGGCGCAAGCGAAAUUCUCAAAUUCUUUCUUGAUCAAAAAGUCAAAUUUUCCCCUAUUAAAAUAUGCGAGGGCAAAAUCGUCUUUUGGGUAGAAUAAAGAAAUCCUAAUUUUUAGAUAUUUUAGUUUGGGUUAUUACAGUGGGGGGUGGAGAGAUGAUGGGAGGUCGAUUUAACAGGGUUAAGUGUUGUUAAGUGGUUUACCACAUGUCAAAAAAAUAGAAGGAAAACAUGUCGGGCACAUGGCAUUUGGUAACAGUAAAAUUGGACUCAUGAAUGAGUUAGGUGUUGUGUGAUAGAGUGUAUUAGGGUGUACCAUGGGUAUUUUUAGUAGUUAAAUAGGAUGUACUGAGUUAAUUUUAUAAUUUGAUUUAAAUAUUAGGGUAUACUUAGAUCAUAGGGUGUACUCAGUUAAUUUUAAGGUUUGUUUAGCAACAUUCUAAUGUUUUGUUAUCCCCGGUCAAUAAUUUUAUAUCGUGUGGCUUAGAAGGAGGCCUGUUAUCCAACUCAUCUGGUCCACCGUCCAUGAUAUGAACCCGACUUGAGAAUCUUUUGGUGAAGUAGAACAACCCAACUUGAGAGUUGAGGCAGCCAAACUAGAAGGGAAGCAUCCCCACUCCAGUCCCGCUCCCCAUGUGCCCAAUACUUUGCUUGUUUACUUCACCUUUUAAACCUUUUAGGAUUUUCCAUAGGCUAAGAGGAAAACAACAACAUUACGGCCCAGUUUACGAAUGGAUUCGAGGGGAAAUUACUUCCCAUGCCAUUUUUUAAGGGAUGGAAAAUGGAGAUUCAUUUCCCAUAUUUGAUAAUCCUAGGAAAGUAACUAAGAAAUACUACUUUAUUUCCUUUCACAUAUUUGGUUUGUGUAGGAAUGUAAAACAAAGUUAGUUUAAUUUUUCAAUUAUAUCCAUAUGAAAUUAAAUUUUAAAAAAAAUGUAUUUAAUGCUAUAUUGUUAAUGGGGACAAUAUGGUCAUGAAAAAUGUGUAUUUAAUGUUGGCUAAUUUUCUCAAACUUUCUCAUGUGCAAGACAACGAUUUCUCAUGCCUAGACUUACCAAAUAUGGGAAAGCAAUUGAUUUCUCAUCACCAAGCCUCCUUUCCCAUGAACCAAACAGGACCUACAAGUUAUUAGCUUCAAGCCUUCAAGGAUUUUCAUAACAAAUCUUCCAAUCUCACACAAAAAUAAAAAAGCAUCCAUGUAUGUAAUUUCUAGAUUAAAAUCUCACUUUUUAGGCAUUCCAUUUUCUUAGGAUUAGGUAUUACUACGCACGGACAAUCUUACGAUUAUCUGCAAUUCAUCCUUCAAUAGCUAUGGACGUUAUAUCAAAUCAACAAUAAGACGUACAUUUCUUCAAAGAACUAAAUCAUGCGGAUGUCAACUUGCUCUCACUUAUAUGUUUGUCUCUCCAUAUGAGGAAGGGUGUUUAGCUUAAGGUUUUAGGGCGCGGUUGUCUAAGAACAAUAAGGUGAACAUGUUUUGUCAAAGUACAUGGGAGACCUUUAUCUUCAAACACAAAAAAUGGCCAAAAUUAAAUUAGCAAGGAUCGACAUAUGGAUGUGAGCUUUUACACAUUGCCACUAAUUCUCUCCAUACUUUUGUUGAAAUCAUUUACAAAAUAAGAAAACUUUAGUAAUUGAAGCGAAAGAGAAGAAUUACCAGAACAGAAAAUAAGAAAAAAGAAGCACCUAACCCAAACUUUAAGUCACGAAUUUAACAGUUUACUUUUUAAAAAAAGUAAGUUACAAAACAAUCCCCUUAUUGAUGAGGAUUGAGAAUUUAAGAGCACUAAUAACUUGAGUGAGGAAUAUUGCACAUGGACGAUGGAUCUCUCUCUCUCUCUUUGAAAAAAAAGAAAAAAGAAACAAAAAUCAACUUCAUUAUCCUUAGUGAAUUUGUUCUGGAUUAGUUGUGUUGCAAUGGAACAUCGAACCUACCUAGCUAAAAGGAAAAAAGAAAGGCCACUACGACAGUACUGCAGUAUAUUAUUCCAAGAAGACAAAUGUAAACUAUAUACGUGAAGAAUAUCUAUUAUUGGUCGUCAUUUUCAAUCCUCAUAAAAGAAAACUUACUUCGCCAUAAUUUCAGGUUGUUCUCAAGGCAGGAAGGUAAGGACACUUGAAAAGAUUCCUUCUCAUCAUCUAUACAAGGAAAUGUGUUCUCAUCAAGCUAGGGGACAAGGCAAAUUAGCAACCUUUAUACUCGAUAUAUUAUUCCAAGCAGAUAUACAUGUGAAGAAUAUUAUGAUCUUGAUCAAUAUGGAAUCAGUGGGUGUAUCGAUCGACCAUCCAAAGAAAAAGGAUAUCCUCUGCAUAUAUGUGUGCAUGCCAACAACUAUAAAAGGAGACCAUGAGGCAAUGAGUUGAUCAUCAAAGCAAACACACAGAUAUCCCAACUAAAAAUCAUUCAGUGAGACAAUGGCUGGAACCAAUGAUAUUAAAAUUAAAGGGUUCGAUUUGAGCAAAAACAGCGGCAACACGUCCGGAUUAACCCACUUCGCCAACAGAGCUGACGAGGGCGACAAGGGCGACAAUAAAAUCGAGGUUGAGGAUGCUAAAGCGCAAGAUAACAAGGGAAACUUGAAAGUACUGACCGACUUCGCCCAACGUGGUAAGGUGGGCCAGUCGGAUCGCCAAGAAAUCACGGGGAGCAAGCCACUUCAGACGGCAGCAUGAAAUUGAUGAAGGCCAUACCAUAAUAAAAUAUCUACACUAAAAUAAGAGCUGAUGCAGUAUCUGAGGCUCCUUCCUUGGUUAGGCCUCAUUAUCAUGUGCAAUACUAAUAUUAUUAUUCUAAUAAAAUAAUGGUAGCUUAUUAUUAAAUAUAUCAAAAUUCUAUACGUAUAACUUUUAGAUUAUUGAUACUGAUGACAUACCAACAAGAGAAAACGAUUCAAAAGUCCUUUCUCCAAUUCGUGAUGUUACAAAAUGAGACGUCAAAUUUAAAAAUAUAGUUGCAUACGAGUAUAAACUGAACCAAUAAGCAAUGUAUGAGUGACCAAAGGUCUCAAACGAUGCAUUUAAGAAGAAGGGUACUAAAUUAAAAGAUGUACGCCAGUGAACUAUGGCAAUCUCUCGUUGCAUGCACGCAUAUGCAAUUGAAGAAGACCUAACUUAUAUCACGAAGAAGUGGAUGGGUCUUUACAUAUGAAGUUUUUAAAAUUAACACUACCGGAAGACAAUAGGAGUAUCGGCGUAUCUGAUACAAGUAUCGGAGUCUCGGAGUAUUAGAUUUGAGCAUACCUGUCCAAAUAGGAGUAUCGGUGCAACAUAGAUGAAAAGGAAUUGGAUGUGAUUUCACAUAUUUUUAAAGAACAGGGGAAAUAAACCAAUUAAUCUCUUUCGUCUUGUCCACACAUUUCUUGUUGCAAAUUUUGGUUUUCAAAAAAUUUGGCAUUUCAAGCAACUUGGAAAACAUUUUGAUGAUCCAUUAUUGAACCUCUAAAGUCGAUAUUCAAUCCCUAUCGACCUUGCUCAAAAAAUGUCUCAUUUCAAUUAGUGCAGAGAAAAAUAAAGGCAGAGUUGAAAAUAGAUUUUUCAGUUUGGAAAGUGACAUUGAGAUGUAAAAAGACUAGACAUUAAGGUGGCAAGAGAGAUCUAACAGGAUCAGACAAAAAAGGAAAAAAAAAUGAAUGAAAAAUAGAAAAUGCCCUAGAAAGGGGAGAACAACUUAGUUGCAAUGGGGAUAACAAUAUCUUGCUAUUACUGGUCAAUAAUUUUAUACCACGUGGCCUAGAAGGAGGCCUGUUAGUCCAACUCAUCUGGUCCACUUCCCAUUAUAUGAACCCGACUUGAGAGUUUUGGUUUUUUGGUUGAAGUAGAACAACCCGACUUGAGAAUUGAGGCAGCCAAACUAGAAGGGAAGCAGCCCACUCCACUCCCGCUCCCCAUGUGCCCAGUACUUCGCUUGUUUACUUCACCUUUUAAACCUUUUAGGAUUUUUUUUAUAGGAUAAGAGGAAAACGACGACAUUACAAGUUAUUACGCAUCAACGUAUGUAAUUUCUAGAUUAAAAUCUCACUUUUUACGCAUGUCAUUAUCUUAGGAUUAUGUAUUACUACGCACUGACAAUCUUACGAUUAUCUGCAAUUCAUCCUUCAAUGACCAAAGACGUUAUAUCAAAUCAACAAUAAGACAUACAUUUCUCCAAAUAACUAAAUUAUGUGGAUUUCAACUUGCUCUCAUUUAUAUGUUUGUCUCUCUCCUCCUAUUGAUUAGCCUCUCCAUAAGAGCAAAUAUGAAAAAAGAAGCUCCCAAUCCGAACUUUAAGUCACAAGUUUAACAGUUUACUUUUAAACAAAAGCAAGUUACGAAACAAUCCCCUGAUUUCCUUGUUAAACAUCAACCGACCCAUUAUUGAUGAGGAUUGAGAAUCUAAGAGCAUAUGGACGAUGGAUCUCUCUCUCUUUUUGAAAACAAAAACAAAAACAAAAAACAAAAAUCAACUUCAUUAUCCUUGGUGAAUUUGUUCUGGAUUAGUUGUUUUGAAUUAGUACAGCUUACGUACGCAAUGGAACAUCGAACUUAGCUAGCUAAAAGGAAAAAAGAAAGGCCACUACUACAGUACCGCAGUAUAUUAUUCCAAGAAGACAAAUGUAAACUAUAUACGUGAAGAAUCUCUAGUAUUGGUCGUCAUUUUCAAUCCUUAUAAAAGAAAGCUUGCUUCGCCAUAAUUUCAGGUUGUUCUCAAGGCAGGCAGAGAGAGUACGUAGCUUGGCAAGAAAGGUAAGGGCACUUCAAAAGAUUGUUUCUCAUCAUCUAUAUGAGGAAAUGUGUUGCCAUCAAGCUAGCGGACAAGGCAAAUUAGCAACCUUUAUACUCGAUAUAUUAUUCCAAGCAGAUAUACAUGUAAAUAUAUGUGAAGAAUAUUAUGAUCAUGAUCAAUAUAGAAUCUGUAUCAUGAUCAGAGGGUAUCGAUCCAGCAUCCAAAGAAAAAGGAUAUACUCUGCAUAUGUGCAUGCCAACAACUAUAAAAGGAGACCAUGAGGCAAUGAGUCGAUCAUCAACGGAAACACACAGAUAUCCCAACUAAAAAUCCAUCGUGAGACAAUGGCUGGAACCAAUGAUAUUAAAAUUAAGGGGUUUGAUUUGAGCAACAACAAAGGCAACACGUCGGGAUUAACCCACUUCGCCAACAGAGCUGACGGGGGCGACAAUGGCAACAAUAAAAUCGAGGUUGAGGAUGCUAAAGGGCAAGGGAACACGGGAAACUUGAAAGUACUGACCGACUUCGCCCAACGCGGUAAAGUGGGCCAGUCGGAUCGCCAAGAACUACUCAAACCUCAGGCAUGAAAUUGAAGAAGGCCAGACCACAACAACUUGUCUGCUUGAUAGAUAUAUGUGCUAAAUUAUCUACACAAAAAUAAGAGCUGAUGUUUUAUCUGAGGCUCCUUCCUUGGUUAGGCCUCGUUAUCAUGUGUAAUAUUAAUAUUAUUAUUCUAAUAAAAUAAUGGUAGCUUAUUAUUAAAUAUAUCAAAAUUCUAUACGUAUAACUUUUAGAUUAUUGAUACUGAUGUCAACAAGAGAAAAUGAUUAAAAAGUCCUUUCUCCAAUUCGUGAUGUUACAAAAUGAGACUUCAAAUUUUAAAACUAUAGUUGCAUACGAGUACAAAACUGAACCAAACAAUGUAUGGGCCAGAGUGACCAAGGAUGUACGCCAGUGAACUAAUGGCAAUCUCUCGUUGCAUGCACGCAUAUGCAAUUGAAGGAGGCAUUAUCUGAGGCUCCUUCCUUGGCUAGGCCUCAUUUUCAAUUUUGAUUUCAACUUUGAUUUUGCUUAAACUUUGAUUUUGAGCUAGACUGUGAUUUCGACUUUGAUCUCCCAAUUCGUGCCUUAAGAAUCAGUUUCUCCCAACUCUAUUUACCAAAACCGAAAACUCUGAACUUUUCAAUUCGUCUGGCUACUCUCAGGGUUUCAUGCCUUAGUUUCCUCUCGCCAAAAAGCCAAAAAGACUUGGCUUUCAUGUAAUGCUAUACUCCUCGAUUGAACAAGCCGCGUCUUCAAAUUCAGCUUUCUCACUUCCUUUCUCUUUACUUUCUUUCUUUUGUUUUCCGGCUGGGAAAAUCAUGGAAGCAUUACAAAUUUAAGAGAAUAUUCUAGUAUUAGGGUCCAAACUGUACUAUUUAGGUAUUUUCAUUCUGAUUAAGAGUUCUUUUCUAGAAAUUUGGGGAAGAAAAAAUAGAGUUUCUGUUUUAGUGUUUGAUUUUCAUUACAGUGAAUUAUGUGAAACCGAAAUGUUUCUUGUCUGAUUUCAUCACUGCUUUCAAAUUGCAAAUUAAGGAUUUGAAGGUUAACAAUGCCCGUCUUUAACAAUGUCGCAUUUCAAUUAGUACAAAAGAAAAAUAAAGGCAUAGUUGAAAAUAGAUUUUUCAGUUUCGAAAGUGACAUUGAGAUUUAAAAAGACUAGACAUUAAGAUGGCAAGAGAGAUCUAAAAGGAUCAAACAAAAAAAGUGAAUGAAAAAUUGAAAAUGCCCUAGAAAGGGAGGAAAUCUUAGUUGCAAUGGGGAUAACAAUGUUUUGCUAUCCUCGAACAAUAAUUUUACACCACGUGACCUAGAAGGAGGCAUGUUAAUCUAACUCAUCUGGUCCACCGUCCAUGAUAUGAACCCGACUUGUGAGUUUUUUUUUUUUUUUGUUGAAGUAGAACAACCAAACUUGAGAGUUGAUGUCACAUCUCAGGAUCGGCUUCACCGUAGCACGAUAUUGUCUGCUUUGGGCCCCCUCGCUGUCCUCGCGGUUUUGUUUCUAGGAGCUCACGAGCAACUUCUCAGUUGGUCACUCAUCUUAGGAUUGCUCUGGCCCAAACUCACUUAACUUCGGAGUUCUCAUGACUCCGAAGCUAGUGAGCUCCUAAAAGGCCUCGUACUAAAUGGAAGUGGGCAUAUAUAUAUAAGGCACAACACCCCAUCUUCGUUGGUUGAUGUGGAAUGUUACAAUCCACCCCCCUUAGAGGUCUGACUUCCUCGUCGGCACACUCUCACCACACGGCAGAGUGGCUCUGAUACCAAACUGUCACAUCCCGGGAACGGCUCCGUCGUAGCACGAUAUUGUCCGCAUUGGGCCAACCUUUCUGCCCUCACGGUUUUGUUACUGGGAGCUCACGAGCAACUUCCCAGUGAAUCACUCAUCCUGGGAUUGCUCUAGCCCAAACUCGCUUCACUUCGGAGUUCCUAUGACUCCGAAGCCAAUUAGCUCCCAAAAGACCUCGUGCUAGAUAAAGGUGGGCACGUACAUAUAAGGCACAUCACCUUCUCUUCGUUGAUCGAUGUGGGAUGUUACAGUUGAGGGCUCCGUUGGUCGAUGUAGGAUGUUACAGUUGAGGCAGCCAAACUAGAAGGGAAGCAACCCAACUCCACUCCCUCUCCCCAUGUGCCCAGUUCUCUGCUCGUUUACUUCACCUUUUAAACAUUUUAGGAUUUUCCAUAAGCAAAGAGGAGAACGACCACAUUACGGUCUCGUUUGGUUCACGAACAGAUUUAAGGGGAAAUAACUUCUCAUGUCAUUUCUCAAGGGAUGAGAAAUGGAGAUUCAUUUCCCAUAUUUGGUAAUCCUAGGAAAAUAACAAAGAAAUACCACUUUAUUUCCUUUCACAUGUUUGGUUUGUCUAGGAAUGUAAAACAAAGUUUGUUUAAUUUUCCAAUUAUACCGAUAUGAAAUCAAAUAAAAAAAGAAUAUUUAAUGUUAUAUUGUAAUUCUAAACUGUUAAUAGGGACAAUAUGAUCAUGAAAAAUGUGUAUUUAAUGUUGGCUCAUUUGCUUAUUUUCCCAAACUUUCACAUGAGGAGGAAAACAAAACCCAAGGGGGGAGGAUGGCUUCACUUUCCCCUCUACUUUCCCAUGUACAAGGCAACGAUUUCUCAAGUCUGGACUUACCAUACAUGGGAAAGAAAUUAAUUUCUCAUCCCCAAGUCAUUUUUCCCAUAAACCAAACGGAGCCUACAGGUUAUAAGCUUCAACCUUUAAGGAUUUUCAUAACAAAUCUUGCAAUCUCAUACCAAGGAAAUAAAAAUAAAAAAAAGGAUCCAUGCGUGUAAUUUCUAGAUUAAAAUCUCACUUUUUACGCAUGCCAUUAUCUAAGGAUUAGGUAUGACUACACACGAACAAUCUUACAAUUAUCUGCAAUUCGUCCUUCAAUGGCCAAAGACGUUAUAUCAAAUGAACAAUAAGACGUACAUUUCUUCAAAGAACUAAAUUAUGUGGAUUUCAACUUGCUCUCACUUAUAUGUUUCUCUCUCUCCUCCUAUUGUUUAGCUUAAGGUUUUAGGGCGUGGUUGUCUAAGAACAAUAAGGUAAACAUGCUUACAAAAAAAGAUGGACAGCAAGGAUGGACAUAUGCGAAUGUGAGCUUUUACACAUUGCCACUAAUUUUCUCCAUGAUUUUGUUGAAAUCAUUAACAAAAUAAGAAACUUUAGUAAUUGAAGCGAAAGAGACUAAUUAUCAGAAGAGAAAAUAUGAAAAAAGAAGCUCCCAAUCCAAACUUUAAGUCACAAGUUUAACAGUUUACUUUAAAACAAAAGCAAGUUACGAAACAAUCCCCUGAUUUCCUUGUUAAACAUCAACCGACCCAUUAUUGAUGAGGAUUGAGAAUCUAAGAGCAUAUGGACGAUGGAUCUCUCUCUCUUUUUGAAAACAAAAACAAAAACAAAAAUCAACUUCAUUAUCCUUAGUGAAUUUGUUCGGGAUUAGUUGUGUUGAAUUAGUACAGCUUACUUACGCAAUCGAAUAUCAAACCUAGCUAGCUAAAAAGAGAAAAAGAAAGGCCACAACGACAGUACUGUAGUAUACGUGAAGAAUCUUAUGAUCUAUAAUAUUCUGUAUUAUUGGCCAUCAUUUUCAAUCCUUAUUAAAGAAAACUUGCUUCGCCAUAAUUUCAAGUUGUUCUGAAGGCAGGCAUAGAGAGCACGUAGCUUGGCAAGGGAGGUAAGGGCACUUCGAAAGAUUCCUUCUCAUCAUCUAUACAAGGAAAUGUGUUCUCAUCAAGCUACGGGACAAGGCAAAUUAGCAACCUUUAUACUCAGAUAUAUUAUUCCAAGCAGAUAAACAUGUAAAUAUAUGUGAAGAAUAUUAUGAUAAUGAUCAAUAUAGAAUCUGUAACAUUAUCAGAGGGGUAUCGAUCGACCAUCCAAAGAAAAGGAUAUCCUCUGCAUAUGUGCAUGCCAACAACUAUAAAAGGAGACCAUGAGGCAAUGAAUCAUCAAAGCAAAGACACAGAUAUCCCAACUAAAAAUCAAUCAGUGAGACAAUGGCUGGAACUGGAACCAAUGAUAUUAAAAUUAAAGGGUUCGAUUUGAGCAACAACAGCGGCAACACGUCGGGAUUAACCCACUUCGCCAACAGAGCUGAUGGGGGCGACAAGGGCGACAAUAAAAUCGAGGUUGAGGGUGCUAAAGCGCAAGAUAACAAGGGAAACUUGAAAGUACUUACCGAUUUCGCCCAACGCGGUGAAGUGGGCAGGUCGGAUCGCCAAGAACUUCUCAAGCCUCAGGCAUGAAAUUGAAGAAGGCCAUACCAUAUAUGUGCUGAAUUAUCUACACAAAAAUAAGAGCUGAUGUUUUAUCUGAGGCUCCUUCCUUGGUUAGGCCUCGUUAUCAUGUGUAAUAUUAAUAUUAUUAUUCUAAUAAAAUAAUGGCAGCUUAUUAUUAAAUAUAUCAAAAUUCUAUACGUAUAACUUUUAGAUUCUUGAGUGGGAAACCCUAGCUGCAUUCUGGUCCCUUUUCUUCUUGCCGACAACCAACCACAAGGAAACUAAAGGGGGAGGUGGCCACUGCCCCUCCCCCCCUUCGCCCAUCUUCCCUUUCUCUCCUCAUCUUCCCUUCUUUUUCUCCCAUCUUUUCCCUUCCUCUUAUGCCCUCUUCUCUUCCCAUUCCCUUUCCCAUAUAGUCUAGAUCUAUUUGGAUCUAGGUUUUGUUUGUUUGUUUGUUUGGUUUGGUUUGGUUGUUUUUGCAGUAUUCUAGGUGACUGGUAGUGACGUUGGAUUGUGUCUAUUAUCGGGAGAGUUGUGAUACCUAGUGGCUGAUGUUUUGUCUCUGUUUCAACGACGGCGGCAGUAGCGACACUAGUGAUAGUUAUUGGAUGUGGUGCUCUUCUUUAUUCUGCACUUACCGAAGAACUAUGCUUGGUCAUAGGAGGUUUUCUUUGUCAGAUUCUGAGUUGAAGUGGAGUGCUUCUUAGGGGUCCUUUUAUUGUUGCUUCUAUGUUCCUCCUCUGUGUUCUCUCCUGUUUUCUGUUAUGGUAUGCCUUGUAGUUUGUAUGGGUGUCAAAAUACUAUGAUUUUGCUCAUAGAAGGCUUCUUUUGACAGUUGGGAUAUUCUACGAUCCUCUUCUGUGGGUUUACUAUUUGGGGUUUCUGUCGUUCUCUCAUGUGGGUGUACUAUGUUGGUAUCUAGUUGAGGUUUUCGUCGGAGUUCUUUUUGUUAGUUUUCGUUUUUGAUUUGUUCUUUUAUUGUAAUGGUCCAAAGCGACCAGAAUUAAACUCUCUUGUUAGUCCAUGACAUGUGUGGUACUCUUUUCUCCCCGGGGUUUGUCCCUUGAGAUUGCCCUAGGAAGGUUUUAACGAGGCCACUAUAUCAUGUUGCUCAUUGUACGUCUUUGGUUCUAUUAAUUAAUUCUCUUUCUUAAAAAUAACAAAAAUAAAUAAAUAAAUAAAUAAAAAUUUAGAUUAUUGAUAACGAUGUCAACAAGAGAAAAUGAUUAAAAAGUCCUUUCUCCAAUUCGUGAUGUUACAAAAUGAGACUUCAAAUUGUAAAACUAUAGUUGGAUACGAGUAUAAAACUGAACCAGGCAAUGUAUGGGCCAGAGUGACCAAGGUUGUACGACAGUGAACUAAUGGCAAUUUCUCGUUGCAUGCACGCAUAUGCAAUUGAAGAAUGCCAUAAUAAUAUGUGUUUUUACUAAAUUAUCUACACUAAAAUAAAAACUGAGGCAUUAUCUGAGGCUCUUUCCUUGGCUAGGCCUCAUUUUCAAUUUUGAUUUCAACUUUGAUUUCGCUUAAACUUUGAUUUUGAGCUAGACUGUAAUUUCGACUUUGAUUCUGAUUCUCUCCCAAUUCAUGCCUUAAGAAUCAGUUUCUCCCAACUCUAUUUACCAAAACCAAAAACUCUAAACUUUUCAAUUCGUCUGGGUACUCUCAGAGUUUCAUGCCCUAGUUUCCUCUCGCCAAAAAGCCAAAAAGACUUGGCUUUCAUGUAAUGCUAUACUCCUCGAUUGAACAAGCUGCGUCUUCAAAUUCAACUUUCUCACUUCCCUUCUCUUUACUUUCUUUUCUUUUGUUUUCCAGCCCGGAAAAUCAUGGAAGCAUUACAAAUUUAAGAGAAUAUUCUAGUAUUAGGGUCCAAACUGUACUAUUUAGGUAUUUUCAUUCUGAUUAAGAGUUCUUUUCUAGAAAUUUGGUGAAGAAAAAAUAGAGUUUCUGUUUUAGUGUUUGAUUUUCAUUAUAGUGAGUUAUGUGAAAUCGAAAUGUUUCUUGUGUGAUUUCAUCACUGCUUUCAAAUUGCAAAUUAAGGAUUUGAAGGUUACAAAUUAUUAUGUAGAUAAUUUUUGGGAAUUUAAGAGGCAGUACAGUGUUUGUAUAAGUCUUGAGAUAGACCAAUUUACCACAUGCUCGAUUUCUAUAUAUAAAUUUUUUUAAAUCAUUCUUUUGUUUUAUUUAUUCUGUUAAUUUGUCAUAAUGUGUAAUAUGAUAGCUUCUAAUUCUUUCUUCCUAUUUCUUCUUUUUUGUUAUUCUCUCCCAAAUGAAAUGAAGACCUAACUUAUAUCAAGAAGAAGAGGAUGGAUCCUUACAUAUGAAGAUUUUAAAAUUAACAUUAUUGGAAGACAGUAGGAGUAUCGGCAAUUUGAUACAAGUAUCGGAGUAUCAAAUACGAGCAUGCCCGUCUUUAACAAUGUCUCAUUUCAAUUAGUACAAAAGAAAAAUAAAGGCAGAGUUCAAAAUAGAUUGUUCAGUUUCGAAAGUGACAUUGAGAUUUAAAAAGACUAGACAUUAAGAUGGCAAGAGAGAUCUAAAAGGAUCAAACAAAAAAAAUGAAUGAAAAAUUGAAAAUGCCCUAGAAAGGGAGGAAAUCUUAGUUGCAAUGGGGAUAACAGUAUUUUGCUAUCCUCGAUCAAUAAUUUUAUACCACGUGACCUAAGGAGGCAUGUCAAUCUAGCUCAUCUGGUCCACCGUCCAUGAUAUGAACUCGACUUGAGAGUUUUUUUUUUUUUUUUUUUUUUUUUUUGGGGUUGAAGUAGAACAACUAGACUUGAGAGUUGAUGUCACAUCUCAAGGUCGGUUCCACCGUAGCACGAUAUUGUCUGCUUUGGGCCCCCUCUUUGUCCUCGCGGUUUUGUUUUUAGGAGCUCACGAGCAACUUCCCAGUUGGUCACCCAUCUUGGGAUUGCUCUAGCCCAAACUCACUUAACUUCGGAGUUCUCAUGACUUCGAAAUCAGUGAGCUCCCAAAAGGCCUCGUGCUAAAAGGAGGUGGGCAUAUACAUAUAAGGCGCAACACCCCCUCUCCGUUAGUCGAUGUGGAAUGUUACAAUCCACCCCCUUUAGAGGUCCGACGUCCUCGUCGGCACAGUCUCACCACACGGCAGAGUGGCUCUAUGCCAAAUUGUCGCAUUCCGGGAUCGGCUCCGUCGUAACACGAUAUUGUCCGCGUUGGGUCAACCUCUCUGCCCUCACGAUUUUGUUUCUGGGAGCUUACGAGCAACUUCCCAGUAGAUCACUCAUCCAAACUCGCUUAACUUCGGAGUUCCCAUGACUCCGAAGCCAGUGAGCUCCCAAAAGACCUCGUGCUAAAUGGAGGUAGGCAUGUACAUAUAAGGCACAUCACCUCCGCUCCGUUGGUCGAUGUGGGAUGUUACAGUUGAGGGCUCCGUUGGUCGAUGUACGAUGUUACAGUUGAGGGCUCCGUUGGUCGAUGUAGGAUGUUAUAGUUGAGGCAGCCAAAAUAGAAGGGAAGCAACCCUACUCCACUCCCUCUCCCCAUGUGCCCAGUUCUCUACUCGUUUACUUCACCUUUUAAACCCCUUCGUACUUGAAGACCUGGCUGGCAAUUUGAUUGAAGCGAAAGAGACUAAUUAUCCAUGCUUUUGUUGAAAUCAUUAACAAAAUAAGAAACUUUAGUAAUUGAAGCGAAAGAGACUAAUUAUCAAAACAGAAAAUAUGAAAAAAGAAGCUCCCAAUCCGAACUUUAAGUCACAAGUUUAACAGUUUACUUUAAAACAAAAGCAAGUUACGAAACAAUCCCCUUAUUUACUUGUUAAACAUCAACCGACCCAUUAUUGAUGAGGAUUGAGAAUCUAAGAGCACAUGGACGAUGGAUCUCUCUCCCUUUUUGAAAACAAAAACAAAAACCAACUUCAUUAUCCUUAGUGAAUUUGUUCUGGAUUAGUUGUGUUGCAAUGGAACAUCGAACCUACCUAGCUAAAAGGAAAAAAGAAAGGCCACUACGACAGUACUGCAGUAUAUUAUUCCAAGAAGACAAAUGUAGACUAUAUACGUGAAGAAUAUCUAGUAUUGGUCGUCAUUUUCAAUCCUCAUAAAAGAAAACUUACUUCGCCAUAAUUUCAGGUUGUUCUCAAGGCAGGAAGGUAAGGACACUUGAAAAGAUUCCUUCUCAUCAUCUAUAUAAGGAAAUGUGUUCUCAUCAAGCUAGGGGACAAGGCAAAUUAGCAACCUUUAUACUCGAUAUAUUAUUCCAAGCAGAUAUACAUGUGAAGAAUAUUAUGAUCUUGAUCAAUAUGGAAUCUGUAUCAUGAUCAGUGGAUGUAUCGAUCGACCAUCCAAAGAAAAAGGAUAUCCUCUGCAUAUAUGUGUGCAUGCCAACAACUAUAAAAGGAGACCAUGAGGCAAUGAGUUGAUCAUCAAAGCAAACACACAGAAAUCCCAACUAAAAAUCAAUCAGUGAGACAAUGGCUGGAACUGGAACCAAUGAUAUUAAAAUUAAAGGGUUCGAUGUGAGCAACAACAGCGGCAACACGUCGGGAUUAACCCACUUCGCCAACAGAGCUGCCGAGGGCGACAAGGGCGACAAUAAAAUCGAGGUUGAGGAUGCUAAAGGGCAAGGGAACACGGGAAACUUGAAAGUACUGACCGACUUCGCCCAACGCGGUAAAGUGGGCCAGUCGGAUCGCCAAGAACUUGUCAAACCUCAGGCAUGAAAUUGAAGAAGGCCAUACCAUAACCACUUGUCUGCUUGAUAGAUAUAUGUGCUAAAUUAUCUACACAAAAAUAAGAGCUGAUGUUUUAUCUGAGGCUCCUUCCUUGGUUAGGCCUCGUUAUCAUGUGUAAUAUUAAUAUUAUUAUUCUAAUAAAAUAAUGGUAGCUUAUUAUUAAAUAUACCCAAAUACUAUACGUAUAACUUUUAGAUUAUUGAUACUGGUGUCAACAAGAGAAAAUGAUUAAAAAGUCCUUUCUCGCAUUCGUGAUGUUAGAA
rnacentral:lncRNA from 1 species